CGCGGUGUGGGCCUUCUUCUUCUCGCGGUACUUCCUGACGGCGGCGCGGUUGCCCGAGGGCCGCUGCUUCUUGGCGUCCGGCAGGGACUCGGAGGUCUCGGCGGCGUCAUCGGAGGCGGAGAGGAUCUUGGUGUGGACGUGGACGCAGGUAUGGGUGUGGUGCGCGAGGUCGUGGACGGGCGGGUUGCAGGUGUGGGUGUGGGUGCAGGCGAGGUGGUCGGCGUCGCUGUUGAGGAUGUCGUCGAAGUAGCUCCCCAUGGAGCAGCUGGCGGGCGGGUCGUUGCCCAUGGCCUCGCACAGGUACGUCUCCGGGUUGGAGAAGUCGAUGUCCCCGUCGUCCAUGGCUGGGCUUGCCGCAGGGGGGCGAGCACCCGCCACGAAGACCUGCAAACAGAGCACAACAGCCGCCUCAGAUGCGCCACCGAAAAAUUCAAGUUUCUUGUAAAAAGAACCAAAAUUUCGGAGCGACGGGCAGCAACGAUUUCAUCUAGCAACAGAAGUAGCAGCGCAUGCGGGCGGAGGCUGAAAAGCGGGGGUUCCUGGUAAGCAAAUUGGUGCUAGCAAUAAUUAACAAGCUGCUUCGCCUACGAUUGUUUUGUCCCACGGUCCGUUGACCGAUUGGGGUUGCGGGCAAUGGACGCCACGGCAGAAGCUAGCUAGUUAGACGGCCCGGGCAUGGCAACCGGGCCGCGCGCCGGCGGCGACCGGUCGAUCCGAUCUCGGCGGUGGAAGGGGGGGGGGGAGGACGAAAGCGGAGAAAGAGGAGCGCUUACCGUCCGUGGAGCAGCCGCGGCGGCCGUUCCGGGCCGGCGGUCCGGCGGCGGGGGAGGACUCUGGCGGCGGAAGAGAGGGGGGGAAGGCGGCGCUGGCGGAGGGAAUUUAUCUCGGGGGGCGGUGGUGAGGCGAUGGAAGUGGUGGGGCGGAAUCUGAGCCACCUGCGGACGGACGGCCGCCAAUAAUCAGAGGCUCGCUCGUACAGUACGAUUCGGGCCCCUGCUUGGAUCGUGCGGGGAGAUUGCUUCACUGCUCCCACAAAUCUACCGCGACAGCAAUAUCACGCAUUUGCAAUCAGAUCUACUUCUAGUAGUAGUAUAUACAGUAUAAAAGUUCAUUGAAGUACCGUGUAUUUCAAUAUAAAAACUGCAUCGAGAUUCCAAGCCCACUGAACAUUCACUACUGCGGCUAGAACCAGCCGUCGCUCUCAAAUCGGAGUUGGCUUGACCUCAUCGAUGACAUCCGAGAAAUUUUCGUGCAAGUGCUCAUAAAGACCAGCGCUCUGGAGCUGUAGCCGUCGUCGUUGAACCCUUGCAUGGAUCACAAGCGUGUGACAUCAAAUAUCGAUGCAGCCCGGGUCGCGGCCUGAGGAGAGCGGUGCGACCACGGUCCACGAGGGCCCGGGUGCUGCAGGGGGCGCGCGGCUAGGGUUGCGAUAUACACACCCACCCACCCCACCCCCACCCCCCCACCCCCCGUCUCCCAUUCCAGAUCUCGAUCCACUGCUCGACCACUUCUCGGACACCUCUAGGAUUUCCUCCUCCUUCAGUUGGUGGGAGGGGAAGGUGGGAGGAGACCAGAGAUCCUUCGCAGGUUGCUGCCUCGCCACCACGAUCGCAAGCCAUGGCGGGGCGAGAGAGUGGCAACCGCAUCAACUGAGGGGAUGGCGGCGGGGAGGGGCGAUUCGGGCGUGGUGGUGGUCGAUUUGGGCGAGGUGGAGGUCGCGACCGUGGUGGUGGCGGUGGUGGCCGCAACUUGGUGUGGAUGCGUGACAACGACGACGGCGGUCAAAAUUCAUCCAACAUGGAUCCGCGCCACGGAUCAUCCGACAAGGCGAGGUGGGAAGCCGCGACUAUGAGCAAGGAGGUGGCCGCGGAUCUGAGAAGUGGGGCGCCAACAGCAACAAUACCGUGGCUGGUGGAGCCGCGGGUGGUCGACAACAGCAAGAUAUGUGACAACAACAAGGCGCUCACCAAGUUCAAGAGUGUCGGCAUCCCACACCCGGCAAGAGGAACGCCCCCCCCCCCACUAGUGGGAGGUGCUGAGGUUUGCGUUACUUGCAAGGAAUCUAGACACCUGCUUGCUUAUUGUCCUCGCAUUGUUUGUGGUAGAUGUGGUAAUCAUGGUCACCUAGCCUGUGUGUGUAAUAUUGUUCUUCCUUGGGAAUGUGUGGUUCCGAUGUGUGGUUUCCAAGCUAGAGGGGAGGGGUUCUUUUACAUCCAUGAUCAUAGCACUCCGAAUCAGACCAUAGAUAUGAAUAGAUUCAUUGUAAUAUUUGUUGUGGAAGGGCACGCUUCUGGGAGGCAGUUGGAAGAGUUAUCCAAUGCUUAUACUAACACAAACUGGAGAUGCUCUGCUAGAUCCAUUGGUCCAAAUACGUUUGUGAUGAGAUUUCCUUCACCUAGAGAUGUAGAUAAGGCUUGCUUUGCUGAGAGUAUGAAUGUUAAAAGUUGUGGUGAUGUCAUAAAUCUAAGGAAAUGGUCUGAAUCUAUGGGUGCCAAGGGUAUACUUAACAUUGCUUAGGUCAAUGUUAGCAAUAUCUCUCUGGAUAAAAGACAUGAAAAAAAUAUUGCUUAUGUGGGGUCUUUGGUUUGGGUGACUUUGGAAAUUGAUAAAGCUACUAUUAACAGACCCGAGUCUGUGAGGAUAAAAUUGGGAUGUAGAGAUGCUGAAGAUCCCUACUUCAGCAGAAGGAGUGUUGGGAGGGCAUUUCUAUGAUUUUUUCUUCUCUGUGGACAAGAUCCUUGUGAAAAAUCCACCUAAGGAAAAGGUGAAUGUGCAAAUGGAGACUGAAGGGGGGACCUCCCCAAAAAGGGCUAAACUUAAUGAGAACAAACGCCCAGAAGGGCAAAAUGCUUCUUCGUCUACCAUGAUGUAGUCUUCGGCUCCCCCUGGAACGGCUCGAGGAAAAAAUAUGAAGAAUAUGAGCUUGGAACCUGUUAAAGAAAAUGAGGAAAAUGAAAAGAAUCAUGAAAAUAGUGAUGAGAUCCAAUCAGAGGAGUAAAGUGAAGAAGUGGAUGACAUGUUACUCAUAGAUGCUAUGGCUGCUGAAGUAGAAAAGAAUCAGUUGAGGGAAAUUUUAAAAUUGUCCCCUCAAGUUAUUUCUUAUGAUAAGAUUGUGGUGAACUCGAUGCAAAUUGUUCCGAGUCCUGUGAUUGGCAGAAAAUUUUCCUCUUAUCUGGAUGCUUGUGUUCGAGAGCCUAUUGUAACUGAAUUGGAGCAUGAUGACAAUUCUUGUCAUAAAAAAGAUCAAACUUACUAUGUGCAGUCAUCUGUCGCAUCCAUGAAUUUAUGGAUGCAAUACCUACCCCUCCUGCUAUAGAGGAAGUGCAAACUAGAUUUAGCAAGAGGACAGCUGGGGUCAACAUGGAACACGUGGGCGUCACGGCUGAGAAGAUGGCUAAGAAGAGAAACCUGCAAGGUAAUGAAACACUUUUUAGCAAUUCUUUUGAUGUUCCUUCGAAUAUGGAAAUCAUUUCCACUGCUUCGCAAAUGGGAGUGAAUAUUCCUGAUGAUAAUUUUGCUGUUAUUGAUUAGAGAGCUUGAGAAAUCUAGAGCCAAUAUAGCUAAGAAAAUUAAUAACAAUGAGAAACAACAAGAGAAUGUGCUGUUGAUUACUAAUGCUGCAGGAGAAUCAUCUCCUCUAAACACAUCUUGGGGGAUGAGGGGGACCUGGAUGAGGAAGGAUUCAAAAUUGUCAAAUCUAGGAAAAGAGAAAGAAAGAAAGUUAAUGUGGUGAUCUCUAAACCUUUGACUAGAAGCCGGAAUCAAAAAUUGAGUGGAGUUGCAGGUAAGACCAUGGAUCCUGGUAAACCUCGCAACAAAACUCAAUCCCCCAAACAUAAGAAAAAAAUGAUUUGUCUCUUUUGGAACUGUAGGGGGAUUAGGAAGAGAGGCAUGGCUACAUAUUUGGCUGACACUAGUAGAAAACGGGCCUUUGGCCGGGACCAUUUAGUCCCGGCCUGCCUCUGGGCCGGGACUAAAGGCCUGGCCACGUCGCCCCAAUUCUCAUAUCCUCCCUCGAGGCUUUAGUCCCGGCCCGUAAGGAGCCUUUAGUCCUGGUUCGUGUCCCAAGCCGGGACUAAAGGGCUACGUGGUGGGCAGCCCGCAUGUGCGCCACCUUUAGUCCCGGUUUGUGUCUCAAACCGGGACUAAAGUCCUCUGCCUAUAUAUAGCACAGCCCCCCUCUCCCCUCUUCGUUGCAAUUUUUCUUGGAUGGAGGAUUGUGGGUGGGUGCUUGCUCUCCACUUUUUUUGAUGCACUAGAGGUGUUUGUUGAAAUGUGUGUUAGAGCGAUGCCGCUUCAGUUCACCGAACACAACUACAAUAUGAGAUGCCCGAGCCACGCUUAAACCUCUUCCUCUUUAUUUCUACUUAUUCUAAAAGGUUAGCAACUAUAUUUCCUCGUUUAGAUCGUGCGGUACUAAUUUUUAGGAUCGUGAUUGUAUUUGAUAUACUGUCGUAUAACGCAGAUGAGCCAUCCAUGGAUGUACGAUGAUCGACGCACGGCCGCUUACAGAGAAGGCGUGCAUUCUUUUCGAGAUGCAGCCGAUGCGAACAAGCAUGGUGGUGGCUAUAUGUUUUGUCCAUGUGUUGAAUGUCGGAAUGAGAAGGAUUACACUUCCUCAAGAGUCAUUCAGAGCCACCUGCUUCGGUCCGGUUUUAUGUCAGGCUAUAAUGUUUGGACCAAGCACGGAGAAAGAGGGGUUAUGAUGGAAGACUACGAUGAAGAAGAAGAGAAUGAUGAUGACAACUACCGAUCUAUGUUCCCUGAGUAUGCUGAUACCGCAAUGGAAGACAAUGAAGAAGAAGAUCAGGAUGAAGAACGGGAACUAGAUGAGCCCGCUGAUGAUCUUGGCCGGGUCAUUUCUAAUGCACGGCGAGGUUGCGACACAGAAAAGGAGAGGUUGCAGUUCGAGCAGAUGUUACAGGACCAUAACAAAUUGUUGUACCCAACUUGUGAAGAUGGCCAGAAGAAGCUAGGUAGCACACUGGAAUUGCUGAAGUGGAAGGCAGAGACCAGUGUGACUGACUCGUCAUUCGAAAAGUUGCUGGUACUGAUGAAGAAGAUGCUUCCAAGAAAGAACGAAUUGCCCGCCAGCACGUACGAAGCAAAGAAGCUUGUCUGCCCUCUAGGAUUAGACGUGCAGAAGAUACAUGCAUGCCCUAAUGACUGCAUCCUCUACCGCGGUGAGAAGUACGAGAAUAUGGAUAAAUGCCCGGUAUGCACUGCAUUGCGGUAUAAGAUCAGAAAAGAUGACCCUGGUGAUAUUGAGGGCGAGCAACCCAGGAAGAGGGUUCCUGCGAAGGUGAUGUGGUAUUCUCCUAUAAUACCACGGUUGAAACGUCUGUUCAGAAAUAAAGAUCAUGCGAAGUUGUUGCGAUGGCACAUGGAAGAUCGUAUGAAAGACGAUAAGUUGAGGCACACCGCUGAUGGUCGGCAGUGGAGAAAAAUCGGGAGAGAGUUCCCGAGAUUUGCAGCUUACGCAAGGAACUUAUGGUUAGGUCUGAGUACAGAUGGCAUGAAUCCUUUUGGGGAGCAGAGUUGCAGUCACAGCACCUGGCCCGUUACUCUAUGUAUCUACAACCUUCCUCCUUGGUUGUGCAUGAAGCGGAAGUUCAUUAUGAUGCCAGUGCUUAUACAAGGUCCAAAGCAACCCGGCAACGAUAUUGAUGUGUACCUAAGGCCAUUAGUUGAUGAACUUUUACAGUUGUGGGCCGAACCAGGUGUACGUGUGUGGGACGAGCACAAACACAAGGAAUUUGACCUUCGAGCAUUGCUUUUCGUAACCAUCAAUGAUUGGCCUGCUCUUAGUAACAUUUCAGGACAGUCAAACAAGGGAUACAAUGCAUGCACGCACUGUUUGGAUCAGACAGAAAGUAUAUAUCUCGACAACUGUAGGAAGAAUGUGUAUCCGUACAAUCGUCGUUUUCUUCCGCCCAAGCAUCCCUUAAAGAAAAAAGGCAAGCAUUUCAAUGGCAAGGCAGAAUCCCGGGGGAAGCCUGUCAUCCGUACUGGUGUUGAAGUAUUUGAUAUGGUCAAAGAUUUAAAAGUAAUCUUUGGAAAGGGUCCUGGCAGCCAACCUGUUCCUAACGGCCCUGAUAAGCGCUACCCAUGUGGAAGAAGAAAUCUAUAUUUUGGGAGCUACCCUACUGGGAAGUCCAUGAGGUCCGCUCGGCAAUCGACGUGAUGCACCUGACGAAGAAUCUCUGCGUGAAUAUUCUAGGCUUCCUGGGCUUGUAUGGGAAGUCAAAAGAUACACCGGAAGCAUGGGAGGACCAGGAACGUCAUAAAGGAAGAGAUGGCAUGCAUCCAGGGCAGUUUCAAGGGCGUGCCAGCUACGCUCUUACUAAGGAACAGAAGGAAAUCUUCUUUGAAGUCAUGUUCAGUAUCAAGGUCCCGACUGGCUUCUCGUCGAAUAUAAAGGGAAUUGUAAAUAUGAAAGACAAAAAAAUUCCAAAACCUAAAGUCUCAUGACUGCCACGUGCUUAUGACGCAAUUGCUUCCGGUUGCAUUGAGGGGAAUUCUACCGGAAAAUGUUCGCCUGGCAAUUGUGAAGGUAUGUGCAUUCCUCAAUGCAAUUUCUCAGAAGGUAAUCGAUCGAGAAAGUCUAUCAGGGUUACAGAUUGAUGUGGUCCAAUGUCUGGUCAGCUUUGAGUUGUUGUUCCCGCCAUCCUUCUUCAAUAUAAUGACACACCUCCUAGUUCACCUAGUCGAAGAGAUUAGAAUUCUCGGUCUUGUGUUUCUACACAAUAUGUUCCCCUUCGAGAGGUUCAUGGGAGUCUUAAAGAAAUAUGUCCGUAACCGUGCUAGGCCAGAAGGAAGCAUCUCCAAGGGCUAUGGAACAGAGGAGGUCAUUGAGUUUUGUGUGGACUUUCUUCCUGACCUUAAGCCGAUUGGUGUUCCUGAAUCUCGGUAUGAGGGUAGGCUGACAGGAAAAGGCACACUAGAAAGGAAAGCAAAAGUAUGUAUGGACGGGCAUUCUUUCUCUCAAGCACACUACACAGUUCUACACAAUUCCACCGUGGUGGCUCCGUAUAUCGUGAGACACAAGAAUAUUCUACGCUCCGAAAACCCGGGGAAGGUUGACUCUUGGAUUAAAGGGGAACACGAGAAGACUUUCGGCAGUUGGUUGCAGACACAUCUCAUGAAUGACGACACCGUUGAAGAUGAGCUGUACUGUUUGGCCAGGCCACCAUCUUCGACUAUAUGUACUUUCCAAGGGUAUGAGAUAAAUGGGAAUACAUUUUACACGGUUUCCCAAGAUAAAAAGAGCAUCAACCAAAAUAGUGGUGUCCGCUUUGAUGCAACAGACGAGAAUGGGCACUGUUUGGAAACAUAUUACGGGUACAUAGAGGAGAUAUGGGAACUUGACUAUGGACCUACCUUUAAGAUCCCUUUAUUUCGGUGCAAAUGGGUGAAGCUGACAGGAGGCGGGGUAGUUGUAGACCAAAAGUACGGCAUGACAACAGUGGAUCUCAACAAUCUUGCGUACAUGGACGAAUCAUUUGUCCUAGCCAAUGAUGUCGCUCAGGUUUUCUAUGUGAAGGACAUGUCUACAUUAACGAGAAAAAGAAAUUAGCAAAAGAAGAUAUUGUCCGAUGAGCCAAAACGCCACAUAGUUCUUUCAGGGAAAAGAAACAUCGUGAGAGUAGAUGACAAGACAGACAUGUCAGAAGAUUAUAAUAAGUUUCAUGAAAUUCCGCCCUUCAAAGUAAAAACUGACCCAAGCAUCCUACUGAAUGAUAAAGAUUCUACAUGGCUACGACCCAGAAGAAAACAGAAAUAAUAGAUAGGAAUAUUGGUGCAAUAAUGUAAUAAUGUAUUAAACCUUUUAUGUAAUGCAUGUAUGGAAUCUACUAAAUUUCAAACACUUUUCAUUUUCAUAGUAUCCAUGUAAGAGAUGAGUUCUCGUUCUAAAUUUUAUGGUGUGCCUUUGAAUGGUGCAUUUUGAACACACAAGAAGUAUGGAGUUCAAAUAAGUUUAAAAAAAUAAAAUCCCUUUGUAAGAGAUGAGUUCUCGUUCGAAACCCUGAUACUUCGAGAGAGAUUGUCCGUUUUGUACACGAAGUGCAUCCAGUUUUUUGUCGUAGCCCUCUCAACUUUUUUAACACAUGCUAUGUGGGUGAAAUGAUGAUAGCAUGCCAACUUUCAACAUUUUCAGAGUUCAUUUGUAGUGCUUUUCAAUUUCAGGGUCAACUAGCUCAAAAAAAAAUAAGUAAAUGCACGAAAUAUACCAAAUGAAGUCAGAAAUUGUUGAAAUUUUGUGGUGUGCCUUUGAAUGGUGAAUUUUGAACACACAAAAAGUAUGGAGUUCAAAUAAGUUCAAAAAAAUGAAAUCCCUUUGUAAGAGAUGAGUUCUUGUUCGAAACCCUGAUACUUCGAGAGAGAUUGUCCGUUUUGUACACGAAGUGCAUGCAGUUUUUGUCGUAGCCCUCUCAACUUUUUAACACAUGCUAUGUGGGUGAAAUGAUGAUAGCAUACCAACUUUCAACAUUUUCAGAGUUCAUUUGUAGUGCUUUUCAAUUUCAGGGUCAACUAGCUCAAAAAAAAUAAGUAAAUGCACGAAAUAUACCAAAUAAAGUCAGAAAUUGUUAAAAUUUUGUGGUGUGCUUUUGAAUGGUGCAUUUUGAACACACAAAAAGUAUGGAGUUCAAAUAAGUUCAAAAAAUCAUUGCAGAACAUAUGACCAAAUUAAUACAAGUUCAUCAUCACAUUAAAGCCAAAGAAGAGUAGUGAUCAAAUGUUAUUAUUGCAAAAAAUAAAUACAUAAAGUUCUCUCAUAAAACAACAUACAACUAUGUAAAACAUUUAAAUGCAACAACAAACGCGAUCAAAAUCGCAACUAAGGUAACAAUUGACCCAACAGCAUAAUGAUACCAAGCCUCUUUAUCAAUGGCAUAUUUUCUAAUAUUCCUAAUCUUCAAGCGCAUUUCAUCCAUCUUCAAGCGCAUUACAUCCAUCUUCAACCGCAUCGCAUCGAUCUUCAUCUUGCGAUCAUCGAUGACAUCGGCGACAUGCAACUCCAGUUCCAUAUUCUUAUCCUCAAUUAUUUUCAAUUUUUUCUUCAAAUAUUUGUUUUCUUUUUCAACCAAAUUUAACUUCUCGACAAGAAUUUUUAUGUGGGUUGGAAUUUUCGGUUCACAUACGUCCUAGAUUAAAAACAUAUAUGUCACAUUGGUCGUCAUAGUUGUCAUAAACACUAAAUAAAACAAAUAGUUAUAAAAGAUAAUAUAUACCACAUCCGAAUCAUAGACAGGACGAGGGCCGACGGUGGCGGAUACCAAAACCAUCGCACUAUAUAAUAACAAAAAAUAAUGAAAGUGAGUAAUUUAUACAAGUAUGUAUUUAAAUCAUACAAGUAAGAUUUUUUUUGAUUUUAAAAAGAAGAUAAGAACAAGAGGCUCACCACGGUGGUGCUCGCAGUUGGUGUGCACGGCCAAACUUAGACAAAUAUUAAGGAAAAUGAAGCUUGGAGGUCGAGUUUGGAGAGGAGAAAGCUUAAGUAGAGUGGCUCGGGCAUUUCAUCGAACACGUCAUGUGCAUGAACUAGAGUGGCAAGAGCAUGGCAUGGUCACACUUCAACAACCAAAAAAACAGGGGAUAUGGCGGGCAGGGGCGAGGGUUUAUAUAGGCAAAACUUUAGUCCCGGUUCUUGCCACGCACCGGGACUAAAGGCCCGUGCUUCCCGCCUUCUUGUCCGCCGAAAAAGGGCCUUUAGUCCCGGGUCGUGGCUCCACCCGGGACUAAAGACCCCCUUUAGUACCGGUUGGAGUCACACUCCGGGACUAAAGGACCCUGCUUCCCGCCUUCUGUUCUGCCCGAAAAAGGGCCUUUAGUCCCGGGUCGUGGCGCCACCCGGGACUAAAGGGGUCUUUAGUCCCAGAUCGAGCCCCGAGCCGGGACUAAAGAUCCACCUGUAUAAGCGGGAGUUAGAAAAUUUCGAACCCAAAUCGUCCAUUUUCUCUUCUUCUUCCUCUCGUUCUCCUGCCCGGCGCGGCAAGCGACGAACUCGACGACGCCGUCAGGCUGCCCGUCGUCCUGCUCGCCGCCGCCUGCCGUCGCCAUCGUCCUGCUCGCCGCCGCCGUCCUCCUCGCCGCGCGCAGCCGUCCUCCUCGCCGCGCGCCGCCGUCCUCCUCGCCGUGCGCCGUCGACACCCCCGGCCGGUAAGCCCCACGCCCCCUCCUCCCCAACACUCCGGCCAGCACAAGCAAAAUCUGAAAAAGGAGAAGAAAGGAAGAAAAAGGAGAAGAAAAGAAGAAAAAGGAGAAGAAAGGAAGAAAAAGGAGAAGAAAGGAAGAAAAAGGAGAAUAAGAAAAGGUGGAGAAGAAAAUAAUAAAAAGGAGAAUAAGAAGAGGAUUAGGAGAGGAGAAGAAGAGGAAAAAUAGAAGAAGAGGAGAGGAGACGAAGUAGUAGAAGAAUAGGAGAAGUAGAAGUAGAAGUAGAAGAAUAGGAGAAGUAGAAGUAGAAAUAUAAUUUUGCUAUUGUAUAUGCUUAAGUGUUAAUAGUUUAAUUUUUCUAUUGUAUAUGCUUAAGUGUUAAUAGAAGAAUAGGAGAAGUAGAAGUAGAAGUAGAAGAAUAGGAGAAGUAGAAGUAGAAAUAUAAUUUUUCUAUUGUAUUUUUAGAGUUUAGGUUCUAGCCAAGACCCGGGACUAAAGGUCAUCCUAUAUAAAACGAGCCUUCGAAGUUUCCAACCCCUCUUAUAUAGUUUGUUAGUUUAUUAGUUAAUCAAAUGUCCGUUUUUUGCAGAACUAUGGAUCCACAUAUCAGGAACCUUGAAGAGGAAGAACUUCUCGAAGAUAUAAUCAAAGACGGCCCCGACGUUGAACCAGCUGAAUCUCCGACGUCAUAUCUAAACGACUCUGGAUAUGGAAUGGAGGUCGAGCGACACGAAGAUGAAGCCGAUGGGGCAGGAGAUAGUGUUGGAAAUAUGCCCUAGAGGCAAUAAUAAAUUAGUUAUUAUUAUAUUUCUUAGUUCAUGAUAAUCGUUUAUUAUCCAUGCUAUAAUUGUAUUGAUUGGAAACACAAUACUUGUGUGGAUACAUAGACAAAACACUGUCCCUAGUAAGCCUCUAGUUGACUAGCUCGUUGAUCAAAGAUGGUCAAGGUUUCCUGGCCAUAGGCAAGUGUUGUCACUUGAUAAUGGGAUCACAUCAUUAGGAGAAUCAUGUGAUGGACUAGACCCAAACUAAUAAACGUAGCAUGUUGAUCGUGUCAUUUUGUUGCUACUGUUUUCUGCGUGUCAAGUAUUUAUUCCUAUGACCAUGAGAUCAUAUAACUCACUGACACUGGAGGAAUGCUUUGUGUGUAUCAAACGUCGCAACGUAACUGGGUGACUAUAAAGAUGCUCUACAGGUAUCUCCGAAGGUGUUAGUUGAGUUAGUAUGGAUCGAGACUGGGAUUUGUCACUCCGUGUGAACGGAGAGGUAUCUCGGGGCCCACUCGGUAAUACAACAUCACACACAAGCCUUGCAAGCAAUGUGACUUAGUGUAAGUUGCGGGAUCUUGUAUUACGGAACGAGUAAAGAGACUUGCCGGUAAACGAGAUUGAAAUAGGUAUGCGGAUACUGACGAUCGAAUCUCGGGCAAGUAACGUACCGAAGGACAAAGGGAAUGACAUACGGGAUUAUACGAAUCCUUGGCACUGAGGUUCAAACGAUAAAGAUCUUCGUAGAAUAUGUAGGAUCCAAUAUGGGCAUCCAGGUCCCGCUGUUGGAUAUUGACCGAGGAGUCUCUCGGGUCAUGUCUACAUAGUUCUCGAACCCGCAGGGUCUGCACACUUAAGGUUCGACGUUGUUUUAUGCGUAUUUGAGUUAUAUGGUUGGUUACCGAAUGUUGUUCGGAGUCCCGGAUGAGAUCACGGACGUCACGAGGGUUUCCGGAAUGGUCCGGAAACGAAGAUUGAUAUAUAGGAUGACCUCAUUUGGUUACCGGAAGGUUUUCGUGCAUUACCGGAAAAGUUUCGGGCUCAUCGGUAGUGUACCGGGAGGCCGGGAGGGGUGCCGGGGACCAUCGGGAGGGGUGUCACGCCCCAAGGGGUCUCAUGGGCUAUGGGAAGAGAUAAACCAGCCCCUAGUGGGCUGGAAUAAGUUCCCACUAAGGCCCAUAAGGUUUGAGAAGGAAAAAAACACAAGGUGGAAAGAGUUUCCAAGUGGGAAGGUGGAAUCCUACUCCAAGUAGGAUUGGAGUAGGACUCCUCCACCUCCAAUUUCGGCCAAACCUUUAGGUUUUGAGGCUGCCUCCUCCCCUCCCUCCCACCUAUAUAUACGGAGGUUUUAGGGCUGAUUUGAGACGACUUUUCCACGGCUGCCCGACCACAUACCUCCAUAGUUUUUCCUCUAGAUCGCGUUUCUGCGGAGCUCGGGCGGAGCCCUGCUGAGACAAGGUCAUCACCAACCUCCGGAGCGCCGUCACGCUGCCGUAGAACUCUUCUACCUCUCCGUCUCUCUUGCUGGAUCAAGAAGGCCGAGAUCAUCGUCGAGCUGUACGUGUGCUGAACGCGGAGGUGCCGUCCGUUCGGUACUAGAUCGUGGGACUGAUCGCGGGAUUGUUCGCGGGGCGGAUCGAGGGACGUGAGGACGUUCCACUACAUCAACCGCGUUCUCUAACGCUUCUGCUGUACGAUCUACGAGGGUACGUAGAUCACUCAUCCCCUCUCGUAGAUGGACAUCACCAUGACAGGUCUUCGUGCGCGUAGGAAAAUUUUUGUUUCCCAUGCGACGUUCCCCAACAGUGGCAUCAUGAGCUAGGUUCAUGCGUAGAUGUCUUCUCGAGUAGAACACAAAAAGUUUUGUGGGCGGUGAUGUGCGUUUUGCUGCCCUCCUUAGUCUUUUCUUGAUUCCGCGGUAUUGUUGGAUUGAAGCGGCUUGGACCGACAUUACUCGUACGCUUACGAGAGACUGGUUUCAUCGUGACGAGUAACCCCCUUUGCUCAAAGAUGACUGGCAAGUGACGGUUUCUCCAACUUUAGUUGAAUCGGAUUUGACCGAGGAGGUCCUUGGAUGAGGUUAAAUAGCAAUUCAUAUAUCUCCGUUGUGGUGUUUGCGUAAGUAAGAUGCGAUCCUACUAGAUACCCUUGGUCACCACGUAAAACAUGCAACAACAAAAUUAGAGGACGUCUAACUUGUUUUUGCAGGGUAUGAUUGUGAUGUGAUAUGGCCAAUGAUGUGAUGUGAUAUAUUGGAUGUAUGAGAUGAUCAUGUUGUAAUAGAAAUAUCGACUUGCACGUCGAUGGUACGGCAACCGGCAGGAGCCAUAGGGUUGUCUUUAUACUAACAUAUGUGCUUGCAGAUGCGUUUACUAUUUUGCUAGGAUGUAGCUUUAGUAGUAAUAGCAUAAGUAGCACGACAACCCCGAUGGCAACACGUUGAUGGAUGAUCAUGGUGUGGCGCCGGUGACAAGAAGAUCGUGCCGGUGCUUUGGUGAUGGAGAUCAAGAAGCACGUGAUGAUGGCCAUAUCAUGUCACUUAUGAAUUGCAUGUGAUGUUAAUCCUUUUAUGCACCUUAUUUUGCUUAGAACGACGGUAGCAUUAUGAGGUGAUCUCUCACUAAAAUUUCAAGACGAAAUUGUGUUCUCCCCGACUGUGCACCGUUGCGACAGUUCUUCGUUUCGAGACACCACGUGAUGAUCGGGUGUGAUAGACUCAACGUUCACAUACAACGGGUGCAAAACAGUUGCACACGCGGAACACUCGGGUUAAGCUUGACGAGCCUAGCAUGUGCAGACAUGGCCUCGGAACACAUGAGACCGAAAGGUCGAGCAUGAAUCGUAUAGUUGAUAUGAUUAGCAUAGGCAUGCUUACCACUGAAACUAUUCUCGACUCACGUGAUGAUCGGACUUGAGAUAGCGGAUUUGGAUCAUGUACCACUCAAAUGACUAGAGAGAUGUACUUUUUGAGUGGGAGUUCUUAAGUAAUAUGAUUAAUUGAACUAAUUGUCAUGAACAUAGUCUAAUGGUCUUUGCGAAUUACGAUGUAGCUUGCGCUAUAGCUCUACUGUUUUUAUAUGUUCCUAGAGAAAAUUUAGUUGAAAAUUGAUAGUAGCAACCUUUGCAGACUGAGUCUGUAAAACCGAGGAUUGUCCUCGUUGCUACGCAGAAGGCUUAUGUCCUUAAUGCACCACUCGGUGUGCUGCACCUCGAGCGUCGUCUGUGGAUGCUAUGAACAUCCGACAUACACGUAACUGAUGACUACACGAUAGUUUAGUGCAAGAUACUUGAUGGCUUAGAAGCAAGGCGCCGAAAACGUUGUAAAACGUCACGGAACAUAAGUGAUGUUCCGAAGAGAUGAAAUUGUGAUUUCAUGCUUGUGCCCUUGUUAAGAGGUUCGAGACCUCCAAACAAGAUUCUUUGUCCACAAAGUAAAGGAGAAAAGCUCAAUCGUUGAGCGUGUGCUCAGAUUGUCUGAGUAGGAGUUAAUCUUCCAGAUGAGAUAAUCAAGUGGGAGUUAAUCUUCCAGAUGAGAUAGUGAUGGUUCUCCAAAAGUCACUGCCACCAAGCUUUGAGAGCUUCGUGAUGAACUAUAACAUAUCAAGGAUAGAUACAAUGAUCUUUGAGCGAUUCGCGACGUUUGACACUUCGAAAGUAGAAAUCAAGAAGGAGCAUCAAUAGUUGAUGGUUUGAAAAACCACUAAGUUUCAAGAAAGGCGAGGGCUAGAAGGGAUACUUCAUGAAACGGCAAAACAGUUGCUGCACUAAUGAAGAGACCCAAGAUUAAACCCAAACCCGAGACUAAGUGCUUCUGUAAUAAGGGGAACAGUCACUGAGGCGGAGCAACUCUAGAUACUUGGUAGAUAAGAAGGCUGGCAAAAGUCGAGAGAAGUAUAUUUGAUAUACAUAAUGUUGAUGUGUACUUUACUAGUACUCCUAGUAGCACGAGGGUAUUGGAUACCGGUUCGGUUGCUAAGUGAUUAGUAACGCGAAAUGAAAGCUACGGCAUAAACAGAGACUAGCUAAAGGCGAGGUGACGAUACGUGUUGGAAGUGUUUCCAAGGUUGAUAUGAUCAAACGUCACACGCCCCCUUUACCAUCGGGAUUGGUGUUGAACCUAAAUAAUUGUUAUUUGGUGCUUGCGUUAAGCAUGAACAUGAUUGGAUCGUGUUUAUUGCAAUACGAUUAUUCAUUUAAGGAGAAUAAUGGUUACUCUAUUUUCUUGAAUAUUCACCUUCAAUGGUUUAUUGAAUCUCGAUCGUAGUGUUAUACAUGUUCAUGAUAUUGGUGCCAAAAGAUACGAGUUAAAGAUGAUAGUACCACUUACUUAUGGCACUGCCGCUUGAGUCAUGUUAGUAUAAAUUGCAUGAAGAGGCUCCAUGCUGAUGGAUCUUUGUAUUCACCUGAUUUUGAAUCACUAGUGACAUGCAAAUCAUACCACAUGAGCAAGGCCUUGUUUUCAUUGAGAUGAAAUAAGAUAGUAACUUGUUGGAAGUGAUACAUUUUGAUGUAUGCAGUCCAAUGGGUGCUGAGGCACGCAGUGGAUAUCAUUAUGUUCUUACUUCACUUACGAUUUGAGUAGAUACAGGAGUAUUUACUUAAUGAAUCACAAGUCUAAAAUGUUGAAAAGUUCAAUUCCGUUUCAGAGUGAAGUUCGUCGUAACAAGAGGAUAAACUGUCUACGAUAUGAUCAUGGAAAUGAAUAUCUGAGUUACGAGUUUUGGUACGCAGUUAAGACAAUGUGGAAGUUGUUUCGCAGUUCAUGCCACCUGGAACAUCAUAGUGUGAUGAUGUGUCUAAACGUCAUAGCCACGCACUAUUUGGUAUGGUGCAUACUAUGAUGUCUCUUAUCGAAUUACCACUAUCGUUUAUGGGUUAUGCAUUAAAGACAACCGCACUCACUUUAAAUAGGGCACCGCGUAUUUCCGUUGAGAUGACACAGUAUAGACUGAGGUUUAGAGAAAUCUAAACUGACGUUUCUUGAAAGUUUGGGGUUUCGACACUUAUGUGAAAAAGUUUCAGUCUGAUAAGCUCGAACCCAAAGCGGAUAAAUGCAUCUUCAUAGGAUAUCCAAAACAGUUGGGUACAUCUCCUAUCUCAGAUCUGAAAGCAAAGUGUUUGUUUCUAGAAACGGAUCCUUUCUCGAGGAAAGGUUUCUCUCGAAAGAAUUGAGUGGGAGGGUAGUAGAACUUGAUGAGGUUAUUGAACCAUCACUUCAACCAGUGUGUAGCAGGGCGCAGGAAGUUGUUCAUGUGGCGCCUACACCAAUUGAAGUGGAAGCUGAUGAUGAUGAUCAUUGAGCUUCGAAUCAAGUUACUACAAACCUCGUAGGUCGACAAGGUCGCGUACUGCUGCAGAGUAGUACGGUGACCCUGUCUUGGAGGUCAUGUUGUUGAGCAACAGUGAACCUACGAGUUAUGGAGAAAGCGAUGGUGGGCCCAGAUUCCGACAAAUGGCUGGAAGCCAUGAAAUCCGAGAGAGGAUCCAUGUAUGAAAACAAAGUGUAGACUUUGAAAGAACUACUUGAUGGUCAUAGGACUAUUGAGUAAAAAUGGAUCUUUAAAAGAAGACAGACGAUGAUGGUGAUAAGUCACUAUUAAGAAAAGCUCGACUUGUCGCAAAGAUGUUUUCGACAAGAUCAAACAGUUGACUAUGAUGAGACUUUCUCACUCGUAGCGAUGCUAAAGGUCUGUUAGAAUUAUGUUAGUAGUUGUUGCAUUAUUUAUGAAAUAUUGCACGUAGGAUGUCAAAACAUUGUUUCCUCAACGGUUUCCUUGAGCAAACAUUGUAUGUGAUACAACCAGGAGGUUUUGUCGAUCCUAAAGAUACUAGCAAGUAUGCAAGCUCCAGCGAUCCUUCAAUGGACUGGUGCAAGCAUCUCGGAGUUGGAAUAUAUAUACUUUGAUGAGAUGAUCAAAGAUUUUGGGUUUAUACAAGGUUUAUGAGAGACUUGUAUUUCCAAAGAAGUGAGUGGGAGCACUAUAGAAUUUCUGAUAGGUAUAUGUGGUUGACAUAUUGUGGAUCAGAAGUAAUGUAGAAUUUCUGUAAAGCAUACAAGGUUGUUUGAAAGAAGUUUUCAAAGGAGUACCUGGAUUACGCUACUUGAAGGUUGAGCAUCAAAGAUCUAUGGAGAUAGAUCGAAAGCGCUUAAUAGAAGUUUCAACAAGAUGCAUGCCUUGACAAGUUUUUGAAAGAGUUCAAAAUAGACCAGCAAAGAAGGAGUUCUUGGUUGCGUUGUGAGGUGUGAAUUUGAGUAAGACUCAAAACCCGACCACGGUAGAAUAAAGAGAAUAGACGAAGGUCGUCUUCUAUGCCUUAGCCGUAGAAUCUAAAGUAUGCCAUGCUGUGUACCGCACCUGAAGUGUGCCUUGACUCAAAGUCUGUUGAGAGGUACAGAGAGUGAUCCAUGAUUGAAUCACUAGCAUCGGUCAAAAUUUAUCCUUGGUAACAAAUGGACUAAGGAAUUUUUCUCGAUUAUGGAGGUGGUUAAAGAGUUCGUCGUAAAGGGUUACGCCGAUGCAAGCUUUGACACUAAUCCGAAUAACUAUGGGUAGUGAAACGGAUUCAUACAGUAGAGUAGAUAUUUGGAGCAUUUCCGAAUAGCACGUAGUAGCAGCAUCUAUAAGAUGGCAUAAAGAUUUGUAAAGAACGCACGGAUCUGAAAGUUUCAGAGCCGUUGACUAAAAACCUCUCUCACGAGCAAGACGUGAUCAGACCCCAUAACUGUACGGGUGUUGGAUUCGUUGGAAUCACAUGGUGAUGUGAACUAGAUUAUUGACUCUAGUGCAAGUGGGAGACUGUUGGAAAUAUGCCCUAGAGGCAAUAAUAAAUUAGUUAUUAUUAUAUUUCUUAGUUCAUGAUAAUCGUUUAUUAUCCAUGCUAUAAUUGUAUUGAUUGGAAACACAAUACUUGUGUGGAUACAUAGACAAAACACUGUCCCUAGUAAGCCUCUAGUUGACUAGCUCGUUGAUCAAAGAUGGUCAAGGUUUCCUGGCCAUAGGCAAGUGUUGUCACUUGAUAAUGGGAUCACAUCAUUAGGAGAAUCAUGUGAUGGACUAGACCCAAACUAAUAAACGUAGCAUGUUGAUCGUGUCAUUUUGUUGCUACUGUUUUCUGCGUGUCAAGUAUUUAUUCCUAUGACCAUGAGAUCAUAUAACUCACUGACACCGGAGGAAUGCUUUGUGUGUAUCAAACGUCGCAACGUAACUGGGUGACUAUAAAGAUGCUCUACAGGUAUCUCCGAAGGUGUUAGUUGAGUUAGUAUGGAUCGAGACUGGGAUUUGUCACUCUGUGUGAACGGAGAGGUAUCUCGGGGCCCACUCGGUAAUACAACAUCACACACAAGCCUUGCAAGCAAUGUGACUUAGUGUAAGUUGCGGGAUCUUGUAUUACGGAACGAGUAAAGAGACUUGCCGGUAAACGAGAUUGAAAUAGGUAUGCGGAUACUGACGAUCGAAUCUCGGGCAAGUAACGUACCGAAGGACAAAGGGAAUGACAUACGGGAUUAUACGAAUCCUUGGCACUGAGGUUCAAACGAUAAAGAUCUUCGUAGAAUAUGUAGGAUCCAAUAUGGGCAUCCAGGACCCGCUGUUGGAUAUUGACCUAGGAGUCUCUCGGGUCAUGUCUACAUAGUUCUCGAACCCGCAGGGUCUGCACACUUAAGGUUCGACGUUGUUUUAUGCGUAUUUGAGUUAUAUGGUUGGUUACCGAAUGUUGUUCGGAGUCCCGGAUGAGAUCACGGACGUCACGAGGGUUUCCGGAAUGGUCCGGAAACGAAGAUUGAUAUAUAGGAUGACCUCAUUUGGUUACCGGAAGGUUUUCGUGCAUUACCGGAAAAGUUUCGGGCUCAUCGGUAGUGUACCGGGAGUGCCGGGAGGGGUGCCGGGGACCAUCGGGAGGGGUGUCACGCCCCAAGGGGUCUCAUGGGCUAUGGGAAGAGAUAAACCAGCCCCUAGUGGGCUGGAAUAAGUUCCCACUAAGGCCCAUAAGGUUUGAGAAGGAAAAAAACACAAGGUGGAAAGAGUUUCCAAGUGGGAAGGUGGAAUCCUACUCCAAGUAGGAUUGGAGUAGGACUCCUCCACCUCCAAUUUUGGCCAAACCUUUAGGUUUUGAGGCUGCCUCCUCCCCUCCCUCCCACCUAUAUAUACGGAGGUUUUAGGGCUGAUUUGAGACGACUUUUCCACGGCUGCCCGACCACAUACCUCCAUAGUUUUUCCUCUAGAUCGCGUUUCUGCGGAGCUCGGGCGGAGCCCUGCUGAGACAAGGUCAUCACCAACCUCCGGAGCGCCGUCACGCUGCCGGAGAACUCUUCUACCUCUCCGUAUCUCUUGCUGGAUCAAGAAGGCCGAGAUCAUCGUCGAGCUGUACGUGUGCUGAACGCGGAGGUGCCGUCCGUUCGGUACUAGAUCGUGGGACUGAUCGCGGGAUUGUUCGCGGGGCGGAUCGAGGGACGUGAGGACGUUCCACUACAUCAACCGCGUUCUCUAACGCUUCUGCUGUACGAUCUACAAGGGUAUGUAGAUCACUCAUCCCCUCUCGUAGAUGGACAUCACCAUGACAGGUCUUCGUGCGCGUAGGAAAUUUUUUGUUUCCCAUGCGACGUUCCCCAACAGAUAGGUCCAAUGGCAGAGAAGGUGAUGAUAGCUCCACUGAUGGAGAAGCCGGUGGAGAAGCCGGUGAAGAAAUAAUAAAGUCCGGCGAGGUAUACAUAUGAAGUUCGACAAUCACUUGUAAUAUGUGAAAAAUAUUGGAGAUAGCUCUAUAUUGUAUACAUAUACAUUCAUUUGAUGAAUGUUUCUCCCUCUUAGGCCUCCACAUCGAGCAAAUCUACGAAACGAGGCCCGACUAGAAAGUUGGAUGCACGGACGCAUUACACCUUUGAGGUGAUAUUGCCUACGGGCGAACCCAAGCUUCCUAAGAAUGCUGCUGACACAUUCAAGAAGCAAUGCGGAGUUCUCAUUAGGGAUCACGUCUCGAUCAGCGUUCGGGAGUGGAACAAGCGCAAAGGGGAAGCCGAUAGUGACUAUGUCGCCGAAAGGUACAAAGAUAAUCUUUGGAAUGAUCUCAUGUCACAUUUCAACUUGCCAGAAUGUGAGAAUGAAGACGCCGCAGACAAACUGAGGGCCAAAGUCAAGCAGUGGACUCUAAAGAAGAUGGCCGAACUGUUUCGUAGCUGGAAGAAGAAGCUAUGGAAAAACUAUCUAGAGACCAAUAAAGUGCCAGUAUUCGAGGGGUAUCUAGCCAAGCAGACGAAUCACUGGAAAGAAUUUCAAGAGUACAAGGAGUCAGAAGAUGCCCAGGCAUUAUCAAAAUAGAACAAGAUAAAUGCUGACAAAAAGAAAUAUCACCACAAGCUGGGGCCAGGGGGCUAUGAGACUGCCAUCCCAAAGUGGGAAAAGAAAGAGCAAGAUCUGAUAGAUAAAGGCUGUUGGAAUUAUGCCCUAGAGGCAAUAAUAAAUGUAUAGUUAUUAUUAUAAUUCCUGUAUCAAGAUAAUAGUUUAUUAUCCAUGCUAUAAUUAUAUUGAAUGAAGACUCAUUUACAUGUGUGGAUACAUAGACAAAACACCGUCCCUAGCAUGCCUCUAGUUGGCUAGCCAGUUGAUCGAUGAUAGUCAGUGUCUUCUGAUUAUGAACAAGGUGUUGUUGCUUGAUAACUGGAUUACGUCAUUGGGAGAAUCACGUGAUGGAUUAGACCCAAACUAAUAGACGUAGCAUGUUGAUCGUGUCAUUUUGUUGCUACUGUUUUCUGCAUGUCAAGUAUUUAUUCCUAUGACCAUGAGAUCAUAUAACUCACUGACACCGGAGGAAUGCUUUGUGUGUAUCAAACGUCGCAACGUAACUGGGUGACUAUAAAGGUGCUCUACAGGUAUCUCCGAAGGUGUUAGUUGAGUUAGUAUGGAUCAAGACUGGGAUUUGUCACUCCGUGUGACGGAGAGGUAUCUCGGGGCCCACUCGGUAAUACAACAUCACACAUAAGCCUUGCAAGCAAUGUAACUUAGUGUAAGUUGCGGGAUCUUGUAUUACGAAACGAGUAAAGAGACUUGCCGGUAAACGAGGUUGAAAUAGGUAUACGGAUACUGACGAUCGAAUCUCGGGCAAGUAACAUACCGAAGGACAAAGGGAAUGACAUACGGGAUUAUACGAAUCCUUGACACUGAGGUUCAAACAAUAAGAUCUUCGUAGAAUAUGUAGGAUCCAAUAUGUGCAUCCAGGUCCCGCUGUUGGAUAUUGACCGAGGAGUCUCUCGGGUCAUGUCUACAUAGUUCUCGAACCCGCAGGGUCUGCACACUUAAGGUUCGACGUUGUUUUAUGCGUAUUUGAGUUAUAUGGUUGGUUACCGAAUGUUGUUCGGAGUCCCGGAUGAGAUCAUGGACGUCACGAGGGUUUCCGGAAUAGUCCGGAAACGAAGAUUGAUAUAUAGGAUGACCUCAUUUGAUUACCGGAAGGUUUUCGGAGUUACCGGGAAUGUACCGGGAAUGACGAAUGGGUUCCGGGAGUUCACCGGAGGGGGGCAACCCACUCCGGGGAAGCCCAUAGGCAUUUGGGGGGGGGGGUCACACCAGCCCUUAGUGGGCUGGUGGGACAGCCCACCAAUCCCCUAUGCGCCAAGAAAGAAAAAAUCAAAGGAAAGAAAAAAAAAGGAAGAAGUGGGAAAGGGGAAGGACUCCCUCCCACCAAACCAAGUAGGACUCGGUUUGGGGGGGGGGGGAGAGUCCUCCCCCCUGGCUCGGCCGACCCCUUGGGGAGCCCUUGGACCCCAAGGCAAGGUCCCCCUCCCUCCUCCUAUAUAUAUGGGGCUUUUAGGGCAGAUUUGAGACGACUUCCUCACGGCUGCCCGACCACAUACCUCCAUAGUUUUUCCUCUAGAUCGUGUUUCUGCGGAGCUCGGGCGGAGCCCUGCUGAGACAAGAUCAUCACCAACCUCCGGAGCGCCGUCACGCUGCCGGAGAACUCUUCUACCUCUCCGUCUCUCUUGCUGGAUCAAGAAGGCCGAGAUCAUCGUCGAGCUGUACGUGUGCUGAACGCGGAGGUGCCGUCCGUUCGGUACUAGAUCGUGGGACUGAUCGCGGGAUUGUUCGCGGGGCGGAUCGAGGGACGUGAGGACGUUCCACUACAUCAACCGCGUUCUCUAACGCUUCUGGUGUACGAUCUACGAGGGUACGUAGAUCACUCAUCCCCUCUCGUAGAUGGACAUCACCAUGAUAGGUCUUCGUGCGCGUAGGAAAAUUUUUGUUUCCCAUGCGACGUUCCCCAACAAAGGCAUCGUACCUGAACCACUCUGUGAUGAGUGGGAAGUGAGAGCAGGAAAUUGGUUCCUUGCGCAUGGUGGGUCGUACGAUGAAAAAAAUAGGGGACCUCAUCUGCCCUGACAAUCUUAGGAUACCCAGGGAUAAUUGGAUAAGGAUAGUGAAAGAAAUUAAGGAGGGACAAAGAAAGUUCACUGCAGAUAGAGAUAAAGAUUUGCUCACACUGGUCCUCGGCAAUGACGAACAUGGAGGACGAACGCGAGGCUUCGGUCCAUCUUACCCGUGGUGGCUUGGGUUUGCCAGAGACCAAGACACUUACAGAAGCCGAGAGAGAGCAAAGAAGCGACAGCAGGAUGAGGAGAAUGACAAGUUCAACCAGUUGCUUGCCAGGAUUAACGAGCAACAGAAGCAGAUUGAUAAGCUUAGAGGAGUACCGCGCCAGAAAGAUCCUGCACUUGAUAUUACCGGCGCCCCAUCUAAGCGGAAAAGCAGCGUGGCCGAAUCUGAGGCCCCGCCCGGCGAUGAACGAAGAACAAUACAGGGUGGUCCCGGCUACCCCGUGGAUGGAAUCAAGGAGUCAACAUCAUGUGAACUCCAUCAGAAAUUCAAGAACAUAUCCAUGAAGGUGGUUGUUGGACAAGCUUUACCUUCUGACCCUGAUGCACGCUCGCAUGGCUGUGAGAUUCCAGCUGGCUUUGCUAAAGUCGGGGUGGAUGAAAUCAUGACGGGGUUUAGUGAUAUGGAGCUCGACAUAGCUGGACCCGAAGAUGAGAGGACACUCGGAGAAGUACUGGGUGGAGUCAUCCUAUGACAAGAACUACAUCAAGCUUCCAAGCUCGGCCCCAAGGACAACACCGCCUCCGAGUCGUCGCAGGGCACCUACACCUCCAUUACCUCCAAGUCCUCCACAUGACGUCGGCCAGCACAACACGAGUCCAUCUCUAUCUCCGCCGUCGCCCGCUCCGGAUACAAAGACUGAGCCUGCCACGGAUACAAAGCGGGAGCGUGCCACCAAGAACGCUUCGCCGCCGCCCGCUCCGGAUACAAAGCCUGAGCCUGCCACGGAUACAAAGCGGGAGCGUGCCACCAAGAACGCUCCGACGCCCCCGCUCCGGAUACAAAGCCUGAGCCUGCCACGGAUACAAAACGGGAGCAUGCCACCAAGAACGCUCCGCCGACGAUUCCUAAGCCACAGAGCACCCCAAAGCGCAAACGGUCGCCCCUCCCAAAGGUACGUCAUGCUAAUCUUCCUAUCGGACCUUAUGAUCGUACCCCCUUCCAUCACAGUAUGACUUACACCAUAAGCCUGAUGACUAUACACGCACAUUGCCAGCACAACACGAGUCCAUCUCGAUCACCGCCGCCGGACUUGGGUCGUGCGUCUCUGCCGCCGCCCGCUCCGGAUACUAAGCGGGAGCGUGCCACCAAGAACACUCCGCCGACGAUUCCUAAGCCACAGAGCACCCCAAAGCGCAAACUGUUGCCCCUCCCAAAGGUACGUCAUGCUAAUCUUCCUAUCAGACCUUAUGACUUACACCAUAAGCCUGAUGACUAUACACGCUGUUGAGGCAUAGUUUAUGCCUAAGUAAUUUUGGUGAUUGAUGACAGUACCGUACAGGACUAAUCGUGUGUGUCAAGGUUUCAGGUAACACUCGUCAACGACACAAGACGACACGUCUCCUCUCUUCUGGAACGGAAGCACGUCGCUCUCUACGAUUCUCCUUAUUUGAGUCAUAGGAAAGCCGUACUAUUAAGAGGGGAUCCGUAGUGGAAAGGUUUGGGUGGAAUCUAUCUUUACACACGCACACUUCACAUUCUCCCUUUCCUUAUCUUUUGGAGCGGCCCUCGCCUAUUUGUCUCGGUUAUCUCUGCAAAAUGGUCCUCAGCGGUAGUACCGCUGGCCAGCGGUAGUACCGCCCCUGGUCAGCGGUAGUACCGCUCCAGGUGUUUUGUUCCACCUACCUAGCGGUAGUUUGUGGACGGACCCUUUUGCGAAGACUUUCCCGGCGGUAGUAGUGCUUGUGCACUACCAAGGGGCCGGCGGUAGUACCGCUGGUGUCAGCGGUAGUACCGCUGGAGGCUCAGCGGUAGUACCGCUGGUGUGAGCAGUAGUACCGCUGGAGGCCCAGCGGUAGUACCGCUGCAGCCAGCGGUAGUACCGCCAGGCAGCGGUAGUACCGCUCAGGCACAGCGAUAGUACCGUUGGUGCUUGGGCAGAGAGUGGGAAAACGGUCUGAUUUUUUCCCCCACUAUAUAAAGGGUUCUUCUAGCUGAGGAACCCUAUCUUUUACCUCUCUAAGCUCCAUUGUUGCUCCACAAGCUUAAAAGUUCCCGAUCUCUCUCCCUAGCCAAUCAAACUUGUUGAUUCUUUAGGGAUUGGUUGAGAAGGCCUAGAUCCACACUUCCACCAAGAGAAAAGUUGAUUCCCCCACCUAUCCCUUGCGGAUCUUGUUACUCUUGGGUGUUUGAGCAUCCUAGACGGUUGAGGUCACCUCGAAGCCAUAUUCCAUUGUGGUGAAGCUUCGUGGUCUUGUUGGGAGCCUCCAAGCUUUGUGUGGAGUUGCCCCAACCUUGUUUGUAAAGGUUCGGUCGCCGCCUUCAAGGGCACCUAUAGUGGAAUCACGGUACCUUGCAUCGUGCGAGGGCGUGAGGAGAAUACGGUGGCCUUAGUGGCUUUUUGGGGAGCAUUGUGCCUCCACACCGCUCCAACGGAGACGUACUUCCUGUCAAAGGGAAGGAACUUCGGUAACACAUCCUCGUCUCCAUCGGUUCCACUUGUGGUUAUUUCUAUCCUUUACUUUGUAUUAGUUUUUGCUUGUGACUUUAUCUUAGUCGGCUUAAUAGCUCUCGUUGUUAGAUUCUAUCGGGGUCACCUCUUUGUCAUAUUAUUUGUGAAACCACAUAGUGUUUACCUUAACUUGCUAAGAUUAAUUAAAAAGUGGUCGUUGUCUAUUCACCCCCCCUCUAGCCAACCAUAUCGAUCCUUUCAAUUGGUAUCAGAGCCACAUCUCUUUAUUAAGGGUUUAACCACCCGAAGAGUAUGGAAGGCGAAGAGGAAGUGAACCAUGGGCAACCCGAGGACAUGGACUUGACUUCGGUCACAAGGGACGACUUGAAUACAGCUAUGGCAGCCCUCAAGACGUCCUUGACGAGCGAAGUCAAAACCAUGCUUAAGGAAUUAAUUGAUGGUCUUAAAAGUUCACCCGAACCGGUUUUAGUGGUUAAACCCACCAUUUCCGAUUCGGAGGCCAACUCCUCUAAGGAAGCGGCUAAAGGUAUGCAACCUGCUUCACCUCAAGAAAAGGAUGGGACUGGAACAUAUGCCUCUGUUCCACCUCCCAUGACAUAUGGAGGACCCGUUCUCGCACCUCGUCUUAAUCCUGUUGGUCCUCCUCCUAAACUUGUGAAAGGUGACUUUGCUAACUGGGUAUUUUCUAUUAAGUCUCAUUUGAAUCACAGCUCAACAAACUUGUGGAGAAUUAUCGAGCAAGGAUAUUACCCCCAUGACCCAAGCAACCUCACUCCAAGAGAAGAUGCAGACAAUCAAUAUAAUCACUAUGCGUUGUUUAUUCUCCAGUCUGCUGUGCCACCUGAAGAUCUUCCCCACUUACGUCCCUUCACAUUGGUCAAGGAUUGUUGGGAGCAUAUUAUGGUGUUGUAUAAGGGAAGCUCAAGUAUUCAACGAUCCAACUAUGAAGUGAUACUUGAUCAGGCCGAUGAGUUUGUGAUGAAGGAAGAAGAGGACCCUCGUGAUCUCUAUCGGAGGGUGACUGCUAUUGCUGUGGCACUAAAGGACCAUGGGAGUAAGGAUGUGGAUGACACUUGGGUCAAGCGCAAGUUUCUCAAAGCCAUCAUGCCUUUCAAUAAAGCCAUGUCAUCUGUCAUUCGUCAGCGGCCAGACUGUUGGGGAACGUCGCAUGGGAAACAAAAAUUUUCCUACGCGCACGAAGACCUAUCAUGGUGAUGUCCAUCUACGAGAGGGGAUGAGUGAUCUACGUACCCUUGUAGACCGUACAGCAGAAACGUUAGUGAACGCGAUUGAUGUAGUGGAACGUCCUCACGUCCCUCGAUCCGUCCCGCGAACUAUCUCGCGAUCAGUCCCACGAUCUAGUGCCGAACGGACGGCACCUCCGUGUUCAGCACACGUACAGCUCGACGAUGAUCUCGGCCUUCUUGAUCCAGCAAGAGAGACGGAGAGGUAGAAGAGUUCUCCGGCAGCGUGAUGGCGCUCCGGAGGUUGGUGAUGAUCUUGUCUCCGCAGGGCUCCGCCCGAGCUCCGCAGAAACGCGAUCUAGAGGUAAAACCGUGGAGAUAUGUGGUCGGGCUGCCGUGGCAAAAGUUGUCUCAAAUCAGCCAUAAUACCUCAGUAUAUAUAGGAGGGAGGGGGAGGGAAGAGGCAGCCUCAAACCCUCAAGGUUUGGCCGAAAUUGGAGGUGGAGGAGUCCUACUCCGAUCCUACUUGGAGUAGGAUUCCACCUUCCCACUUGGAAACUCUUUCCACCUUGUGUUUUUUCCUUCUCAAACCUUAUGGGCCUUAGUGGGAACUUAUUCAAGCCCACUAGGGGCUGGUUUAUCUCUUCCCAUAGCCCAUGAGACCCCUUGGGGCGUGACACCCCUCCCGAUGGUCCCCGGCACCCCUCCCGGCACUCCCGGUACACUACCGAUGAGCCCGAAACUUUUCCGGUGACCAAAACAGGACUUCCUAUAUAUCAAUCUUUACCUCCGGACCAUUGCGGAGCUCCUCGUGACAUCCUGGAUCUCAUCCGGGACUCCGAACAACAUUCGGUAACCAACCAUAUAACUCAAAUACGCAUAAAACAACGUCGAACCUUAAGUGUGCAGACCCUGCGGGUUCGAGAACUAUGUAGACAUGACCCAAGUGACUCCUCGGUCAAUAUCCAAUAGCGGGACCUGGAUGCCCAUAUUGGAUCCCACAUAUUCUACGAAGAUCUUAUCGUUUGAACCUCAGUGCCAAGGAUUCAUAUAAUCCCGUAUGUCAUUCCCUUUGUCCUUCGGUAUGUUACUUGCCCGAGAUUCGAUCGUCAGUAUCCGUAUACCUAUUUCAAUCUCGUUUACCGGCAAGUCUCUUUACUCAUUCCGUAAUACAAGAUCCCGCAACUUACACUAAGUCACAUUGCUUGCAAGGCUUGUGUGUGAUGUUGUAUUACCGAGUGGGCCCCGAGAUACCUCUCCGUCAUACGGAGUGACAAAUCCCAGUCUCGAUCCAUACUAACUCAACUAACACCUUCGGAGAUACCUGUAGAGCAUCUUUAUAGUCACCCAGUUACGUUGCGACGUUUGAUACACACAAAGUAUUCCUCCGGUGUUUGUGAGUUAUACGAUCUCAUGGUCAUAGGAACAAAUACUUGACACGCAGAAAACAGUAGCAACAAAAUGACACGAUCAACAUGCUACGUCUAUUAGUUUGGGUCUAGUCCAUCACAUGAUUCUCCUAAUGAUGUGAUCCCGUUAUCAAGUAACAACACUUGCCUAUGGCCAGGAAACCUUGGCCAUCUUUGAUCAACGAGCUAGUCAACUAGAGGCUUACUAGGGACAGUGUUUUGUCUAUGUAUCCACACAAGUAUUGUGUUUCCAAUCAAUACAAUUAUAGCAUGGAUAAUAAACGAUUAUCAUGAACAAAGAAAUAUAAUAAUAACUAAUUUAUUAUUGCCUCUAGGGCAUAUUUCGAACACAGACUUCCACUCCUUGUCUUCCAAUGAAGUGUUGGAUGAGUUCAUUGCAAUGUCAAUCAUGAACGAAAUAGCCGACAAUGCACUUGCUCGUGUCCGAUCAAAAACCACUUCACCCAAACUUGCGUUGAAAGCAAGAGCAAUGCUUGAAGAAGAAGAAGAAGAUGAGGAAGAGGAGAGCUGCCCGGAAGACACAAAGUAUGCCUAUCAUGAGCACAUGGCUCUUGCAUCAAGGCAAUUCUGGGGAAAUAAAAGGAACUCAAGACCAACCUUCAACAAGAACAACUCAAGUGGAUUCAAACCCAAACAACGAGUAAGGACAUGUUAUAACUGUGGCAACGUGAGUCACUUCGUGGCAGAAUGCUCCUAUGAGAAGAGAGAAGACAACGGAGGCAAGCUCAUUCGCAAAGACAAAACCAAAUAAUUUCCAAUCAAGAACAACUUUGUGAAGAAACCUCACCCAAAAGGAAUGGUGGCCCUGGAGGAGUAUCCUUCUGAUGAUGAUGAUGAUGAUGAUACAGUGGCAACGUCAACUGUUGCUAUAGCCACUACCCCUUCCCAGAAGGUGUCUCUCUUCAACGCCCCCAACGAGAACCACAUCACCAAGUGCCUCAUGGCAAAAGGUACCAAUCAGGUAACUCCUAUCAUUAAGACCAACAUUGCUUCUUCUCCUUCACUGUUAAAUUGUGUAGAAGAUAGUGAUGUUGGAGAACUUAAUGAGCAUGAUCUUGAUAAGUUUCUAUGCACUAUUAAGGGAGAAACCAAGAAGCAUUUUGUUGCUCUCUUGGAACAACUGGGUGAGGCCACUGACCUCAUUGAGUCUCAUGAGGAGACCAUCUCCGAGCUUCAUGGACAUAGCCGUGACUAUGCCGAUGAAAUUGCCGAAUUAUCUAGUACUCUAGAAGAAGAGCGCACUCUUCGUUUGGCUCUUGAGGAGUCAUAUAACGAUGACUGCACUAAAAUGCAAAAGAAACUAGAUCAUGAUGUUGUUCUUACUCGCAUGCUUAAAUCUCAAAAGUAUGCUCUUGAGGUUGGCCGUGACAGACUCAAAGAAGAGUUUGACAUACUUGACAAGGCCCACAAAGCCUUGAAAGGUGUUAAUUUCGCUCUGAAAGAGUCUCAUGAUCAACUCCAAGCAAAGCUUACCAAGGAGAUCUCUACUUGUCCUCCCUUUGUGUUAAUUGAUAAUACUUGUGCAACUAACCCCUGUUGUGAGCAUGUUCAUCUUGUGGAGGAAAAUGCCAAGUUAAAGGAGAAACUUGAGAAGGGCCUUGUGUCAUGCAGACAAGGUGAGAAGAGUCUGAACGAUCUCUUGAGCACUCAAAAGGGUGUUGUAGGAAAGGAAGGACUUGGACUUACCUCCAAGUCAAAAGGUAAAAGGAAGAACAAGAACAAACGAUCUCUCACCCUCAUGGAAAUCUUUGUCAAGGAGGGUGAGGGGACUCAGAAGGUGAACAGGAACAAGGUGGACUAUGGGAACCCCAAGAAGGGCAAAACCGCUCCUACUAACACAGCCGGCAAACUCAAUUCCUCUUAUGUGUUACGUUGUGCUAGUGAUGGGCAUGUUUAUGCCAGAUUUGUUGGUUCCUACGAUGAAGAUAUUGAAUGGGCUAUCUGGGUUCCUAAUACCCUUGUCUCUAACAUGAAAGGACCCAUUAAAAAAUGGGUACCUAAAACCAAGCCUUGAUCUAUUGCAGGAGUUUGCUUCCGGUGGGGUGUCAUGGUUGCUCUAUAGUGGAGCAAAAAAUCAUAUGACCGGAAGCAAGGACUUAGUGGUGGAUGUGCAUCCUUCUCCAUCUAUGCCCACCCAUGUCCAAUUUGCCGAUGCAUCCUCGUCAAAGGUAUUGGGAUUUGGUAAGGUGGUCGUCUCUCAAGAUUUGUCUAUUGAGAAGGUCAUGCUUGUUGAGUCUCUUGCCUACAAUUUACUUUCCGUUCGUCAACUUGCAGUCAUGGGUUUUUCCACAUUCUUUAAUAUUGACACUGUGGUCCUCCUAAGGAGCAAGACUCUUAAAGUAGCCUAUGUUGGACAUGUCGAAAAUGGUCUCUAUGUGGUAAACUUUUCAAAGCGACCCACUAAGACUGCGACAUGUUUAAUGGCUAAAGUUGACGUGGGCUGGCUUUGGCAUCGCCGUUUAGCUCAUGUCAAUAUGAGAUCUUUGCAAAGUCUUCUGACAGGGGACCAUGUUCGUGGACUAACAAAUGUGAGCUUUGCUAAAGAUCGUGUUUGCAGUGCUUGCAUUGAAGGAUAGAUUCAUGAAACUGCUCAUCGUCCAAUGACUCUUAUCUACACUAAGAGGCCAUUGGAACUUCUCCACAUGGAUCUGUUUGGUCCUCCAACAUUUGAUAGUCUUGGAGGCAGAAAGUAUUGCUUAGUCAUUGUUGACGAUUACUCAAGAUAUACCUGGGUAUAUUUCUUCAAAAGGAAGAGUGAAACUCAACAAACGGUCAUCAACUUUGCUAAUGAAGCGCAACGUCAACAUGAAGCAAAGAUCUUGAUGAUUAGGAGUGACAACGGCACCGAGUUCAAGAACUACACCCUAGAUGAGUUUCUAGGUGAUGAGGGAAUAAAGCACCAAUAUUCUGCACCAUAUACCCCUCAGCAAAACAGCGUGGCAGAAAGGAAGAACCGGACCUUGAUAGACGCUGCAAGAACAAUGAUGGCAGAAUUCAAAUCUCCAUACAACUUCUGGGCAGAGGCCAUCAACACAACAUGUCAUGCGUCCAAUCGGCUCUACAUCCGCAAAGGCUUGAACAAGACUCCGUAUGAGAUUCUAACUGGAAACAAACCCAAUCUCAAGUACUUCCGGGUAUUCGGUUGUAAGUGUUUCAUUCUUAAAAAGGGAGCUCGGUUAGCUAAAUUUGAUUCUAGAGUACAUGAGGGUAUCGGUUAUGCUACAAACUCUCAUGCUUACCGUGUCCUCAACAAGUCCACCGGACUAAUUGAGGAGACGUGUAACGUAGAGUUCGACGAAAAUAAUGGCUCCCAAGUGGAGCAAAGUGGUCUUUGUGAUAUAGGUGAUGAAAUUCCUCCCAAAGCCAUAAGAAGAAUGGGGAUUGGUCAAAUACUCCCCAUUGAGGAACCCCUUGUGGCCGAAGGAGAAGGACAAUGCUCUACUCAAGUGGAGCCAUCACCCCCACAAGCCCCACACGCUUCCGAUGAACAAAGAGAAGACUCUCAACAAGUUGAUCAAGCUCUCGGUCAAGAUCAAUUGCCUAACAAUGGUGAUAUGCCCACUCAAGCACUACCCCAAGACCUUGAACCAGCACGAGAUCAAGAUCAAGAGCAACCACUAAUACAAGAUCAAACCAGUGAACUUGCUCAAGUCGAAGGACAAGAUGAUCAGGAGACUGUCUCACAAUUCCCGUCUGGAGCUCCAACAACCGGCUCAAGACGCAAGGGCAAACAAGCGAAACAAGGCGAUGCUCCUCCGUUAUCUAAUGAAGAACUCUUGGAGCGUCGAGCAGCCAAGAAUGCGAACAAGCUGAGAGUCAAAUCACACCUUAUGAAGAAUGUUCUUGGUAGUUUAAAAAGGGGAGUAUCUACUCGUCAACAGCUUUGGAAUUAUUGUGAGCAUCACGCGUUUGUCUCGUAUUGUGAACCUCAACAGUUUUUCCUCGGGUUCGAGAUUAACCAAGGUCUAGAAGGGACAUUCAUCAAACAAGCCAAAUACACUCAAGACAUGCUCAAGCGGUUCGAGCUCGAAGAUGUCAAACCGGUCAAGUUUCCCAUGCCAACCAGAUGCAAGCUUGACAGUGAUCCCAAUGGUAAAGUUGUGGAUCAAAAGGUAUACCGCUCCAUGAUUGGAUCCCUCCUUUACCUCUGUGCAUCUAGACCGGAUAUUAUGUUGAGUGUAGGGAUAUGUGCACGGUUUCAAUCCGCACCAAAAGAAAGUCAUUACAUGGCUGUCAAACGAAUCUUUCAAUAUUUGGCUCAUACCCCAAACUUUGGCCUCUGGUAUCCCAAAGGAGCAAACUUCAAUCUAGUUGGCUAUUCUGACUCAGAUUGGGCUGGAGAUUGUGUGGAGAGGAAGUCAACGUCUGGAGGAUGCCAAUUCCUUGGUCGCUCUUUGGUAAGUUGGUCUUCAAAGAAGCAGAACUGCGUCUCCUUAUCAUCCACCGAGGCUGAGUAUGUGGCGGCUGCAAGUUGUUGUGCUCAAUUGCUAUGGAUGAGGCAAACUUUAAAGGAUUAUGGUGUCACUUGUGACAAAGUGCCUCUUCUAUGUGACAAUCAAACCGCCAUCAAGAUUUCCCUCAACCCAGUGCAACAUAGCAAAACCAAACAUAUUGAUAUUCGUCAUCACUUCAUCCGUGAACAUAUCAAGCUAGGUGAUAUUGAGGUUCACUUCAUCCACACCGAAGAGCAACUUGCAGAUAUUUUCACCAAGCCACUAGAUGAAGCAAGGUUCCGGGAGUUAAGGCAUGAGCUAAAUAUCAUUGAUUCAAGUAAUGUGGAUUGAAACUAGGCAUAUUGCACCUCACUUCACAUUCCAUCUUGGUCUAGAUGUAGGCAUGGACAUAGGGGGAGUGUUGUUCUCUCAAUGAACUCUCCCUUCCCCCAUUAUGCGUAAAUCAAUCUAGUCUUUCACUUUAGCCAUUGUCAAAUGGUACUUGUGCUUCAAAGACGAGCAUUGGUCAUGAACCCAAGGAUAACUCUUCGCGGUGUCAUACCAUUGUCUCAAACAUAGGUGGCCUCGGCCACCGCCCCUCCAUCCUCUCUUGCGUAUAAAGGAGAGGAUAUACAAUGACAAGUCAGUACUUUUUCUUGGUAGUCAUCCCUUUUUACUCACUUGUCAUGUGCCCAAGUUUUCCCGCUUUCCUUAGCCGUGUUGAAACAUGUACAGCGGUACUACCGCCAGGGUAGCGGUACUACCGCCAGGGGUAGCGGUACUACCGCCAGGACCCCAGCGGUACUACCGCCAGGUAUGGCGGUACUACCGCCAGGAUUCAAAAUCUACCACGACCGGCUAGAAAAUUUCUAGGGUUUCAAGGGGGAGCGGUACUACCGCCAGGGGGAGCGGUACUACCGCCAGGACCCCAACGGUACUACCGCUGCACCCCAGCGGUACUACCGCCAGCCCAGCGGUACUACCGCUGCACCCCAGCGGUACUACCGUUGUCCGUACCCCUUGGGCUAUAUAAAGGGAGGGGGGAGCCCGAUUUUCCCAUCUGUUUCUUCUUCCUCGCGGCUCCUCCCUCCCCUAGACCGAAACCCCCCCGAUUGGAUCUCACUUCGUGGAGCUCCUUCUCCCCGUUGGUGUGGAAGGGCUGCUUCACUUCUUCUUCCUCCUCCAAAGCCAUGAAUCCCGGUAACAAAAGCUCCUCCCUUCUUCUAUUUGGUUGUUCGUCGUGUUCUAGGGUUAGGAGCAUUGGGGAUUGGAUUCAUCUUGUUGAUCCUAUGGCUAGUUAUUGGAUGGCAUGAAUGAAAUAUUUGAGGGGAGUAUAGGUCCAAUGGUUUGUUGUUAUGAUUGCUGCCAUGGUUUAGGAUUUCAUCGUCUUAGAUCGAAUACUUGAACUUUUGGAUUAGAUCUAAAACGUGCUCUCUCUUGCCUAGACAUGUUUGUACCUCGUGUUACUAUGUGUUCCUCAUGACAGUAGGGCUGGGGUGUACGUCUUAGUGUUCAUAUUCAGUCCAUGCCCUCGAAAACGAGUUUUAUAUGUCAGAUUUGAAAGUCAAACCCCUAGCGGUACUACCGCCAGGGGUAGCGGUACUACCGCUAUGACCCCCAGCGGUACUACCGCCAGGACUGGCGGUACUACCGCCAGGAGCAUUCACGGUGUAUUUUUCUUUUGCUUAGCAAUGCAUGUUUCCUUUUUUCUGUGUUUUCAAGAUUCAUUGCCUUGACUUUUCUUGUUGCCUCUUUUUCGCUUUGUGGUCUGUGUCACAGGUGGCUCUGCUCGCCGUUCGAACCCCUCACGGGACACGGCGUCCAAACAGUUUCGCAACUCAGAGGCGCCCGAGGGGUCUGCCACGUCUGGUCUGCCUCCCAAGAAGAAGUCCUUCAAGAAGGCCGCUCACAAGGAAAAGAGGGUCAAUAUCCGUACAAUGUCCCCCAAGGACUUUCUGCAAUUUCGCACCAAGAACCCCUAUCUCAAGGAGAGGGAAGUGAUCGAUGGGGUUGAAAAUGUCUGGGUGAAGGACCAGUGCAGGAUUUAUCGGGAUGUUAUUGCUCCCUUCAAGAAGAACCAUGUCUCUGUUCAGUGGAUUGAUCUGGCACAUCUUCAGCGGAACAUGGACUAGUUUGGUGAUGCCCUCUCUCUGGUUGACAAACUGGGCAUCAAAGACAUCAUCACCUUCAAGACGGACUUUCAUCCCACUGCAGUGGCUCAGUUUUAUGUCACAGUCCAUUUCUCACCUGAUGAUCAGCGCUCCAUGAUCUGGAUGACUGGGUCACAAAAGAUGACCGGUUCCUGGACUGAGUUCAUGCAGUUCCUUCACAUUGACUUUCAGGGUGCUGACACUCCUCUUGGGCUGCGUCCUCAUGCUGCAGCCCCCACCGAUAGGGCCUCCGCAAAGGACAGACUGCAGUCACUGUAUCUGAGGAAGGGGGUGCUUCCCAAGCACCUGGACAUCAUGCAUCGGAUCUUUCGCAACACCCUUUUCCCUCGGAUUGGUAACUUCGAUGAGGUCCAUGGCUACUUGGCUGAGAUGUUGUUACUGUGUGAGGAUGCUAUGUCUCAGGAGUCUGCUAAGCUGGAUAUUGCAGAUGUGAUGUUCACAGAGCUCUGGAACUGCAUCAUCAAUCGUAAGGUUCCUAUCUACGGACCUUACCUGUUCGCAUACAUUUGCCAUAAGUGGGAACAGGCUUUUCCGGAUGAGGUGCUCUACGCACAGUCUGAUUACAUUGUGCAUGACCCAAUCAGGCUUCGCAUCAAGGACAAGUGGGCCAAUCCAUCUACAUCCUCUCAGCACAUGGAUACAGAUACAGAGACCGCUGCUGACAGAGGAACUGCCUCUCAGUCCCGCUCGUCUGCCAUGCCAUCUUGGGCUCUCAAACUACAGGACAAGAUGAAGACACUUUUCUGUAUGCAGGCCAAGGGACAGUACCAGACACAUGUGGCUCAGAAGCAGAGCCGCCAGAGGCAUAAGCGGGUUCUCAGGACCUUGGAUGUGGACAUCUCCAGCGGCUCAGAGGACGACAUCACUCCGGAGGCCACUUGGAUGCAGGCUCAGGGGUACCAGUGGUCUGGCGAUGAGGCAGCAGAGGAGGAGCAGACCGACCAGGAGGGGACAGACGAGUCUGGUGAUCCUGAAGACGAGGAGUAGUUACCUGUGGCAUUAGGUGUGCCCCUUUUUGGUGUCUUGUGCCAAAGGGGGAGAGAGUCUAGGAUUUGCUUUCAUUUCGAACUUUGCAUUGCUUUGCUUUAUCUCAUAUGGUUUGCUUUGAACUUGGUUUGAUUCGGUUGCUAUCUUGUGUGAGACACGAUCUUUCUUAUGUGAGAUUAGAUUUAUUUCCAUCAUAUGCUGUGAGUCAUAUGUCAUAUAUCUCUAUCUUUUUAUUCUCAUAUUAUUCUCUGUGCAAAUCCGGUAUUGUCAUCAAUCCACCAAAAAGGGGGAGAUUGUUGAGGCAUAGUUUAUGCCUAAGUAAUUUUGGUGAUUGAUGACAGUACCGUACAGGACUAAUCGUGUGUGUCAAGGUUUCAGGUAACACUCGUCAACGGCACAAGACGACACGUCUCCUCUCUUCUGGAACGGAAGCACGACGCUCUCUACGAUUCUCCUUAUUUGAGUCAUAGGAAAGCCGUACUAUUAAGAGGGGAUCCGUAGUGGAAAGGUUUGGGUGGAAUCUAUCUUUACACACGCACACUUCACAUUCUCCCUUUCCUUAUCUUUUGGAGCGGCCCUCGCCUAUUUGUCUCGGUUAUCUUUGCAAAAUGGUCCUCAGCGGUAGUACCGCUGGCCAGCGGUAGUACCGCCCCUGGUCAGCGGUAGUACCGCUCCAGGUGUUUUGUUCCACCUACCUAGCGGUAGUUUGUGGACGGACCCUUUUGCGAAGACUUUCCCGGCGGUAGUAGUGCUUGUGCACUACCAAGGGGCCGGCGGUAGUACCGCUGGUGUCAGCGGUAGUACCGCUGGAGGCCCAGCGGUAGUACCGCCAGGCAGCGGUAGUACCGCUCAGGCACAUCGGUAGUACCGCUGGUGCUCGGGCAGAGAGUGGGAAAACGGUCUGAUUUUCCCCCCACUAUAUAAAGGGUUCUUCUAGCUGAGGAACCCUAUCUUUUACCUCUCUAAGCUCCAUUGUUGCUCCACAAGCUUAAAAGUGCCCGAUCUCUCUCCCUAGCCAAUCAAACUUGUUGAUUCUUUAGGGAUUGGUUGAGAAGGCCUAGAUCCACACUUCCACCAAGGGAAAAGUUGAUUCCCCCACCUAUCCCUUGCGGAUCUUGUUACUCUUGGGUGUUUGAGCAUCCUAGAUGGUUGAGGUCACCUCGAAGCCAUAUUCCAUUGUGGUGAAGCUUCGUGGUCUUGUUAGGAGCCUCCAAGCUUUGUGUGGAGUUGCCCCAACCUUGUUUGUAAAGGUUCGGUCGCCGCCUUCAAGGGCACCUAUAGUGGAAUCACGGUACCUUGCAUCAUGCGAGGGCGUGAGGAGAAUACGGUGGCCUUAGUGGCUUUUUGGGGAGCAUUGUGCCUCCACACCGCUCCAACGGAGACGUACUUCCUGUCAAAGGGAAGGAACUUCGGUAACACAUCCUCGUCUCCAUCGGUUCCACUUGUGGUUAUUUCUACCCUUUACUUUGUAUUUGUUUUUGCUUGUGACUUUAUCUUAGUCGGCUUAAUAGCUCUCGUUGUUAGAUUCUAUCGGGGUCACCUCUCUGUCAUAUUAUUUGUGAACCCACAUAGUGUUUACCUUAACUUGCUACGAUUAAUUAAAAAGUGGUCGUUGUCUAUUCACCCCCCCUCUAGCCAACCAUAUCGAUCCUUUCACACGCACAUUGCAGAAGGAAGUGAAAAAGAGCAGAUCACGUGGUGCAAGUGGGAGCAAAUCAAGUUCAACUACAAGCAAGAAAAAAAUCAAACGUUCCUCAGCUUGGACAACAGGCCAAACAGUCGAUCCCACCCCUCAAGGUGUUAACCGAGAAUGUUCCCCCUUCGAUGCAGGGUCUAGCUUUAGAAAGUGCAAAGAAGUUGGCGGCUGCAUGUGGUGUCUCGGUUGAACAAUUGUUGUCUUCCCAAGACGACAAGAUACCCAAGGCUGUGGUAGCCCCUAAGCCACAGUUUGUCUUAGGUGAGCCUUUGGUCAGCAAAGAUGAUCUCCCAACAAAUAUGCAUUACUUGCAUCAAUGGUACUUAAGUGAAUCAAAGAAUGGGAGAGCGAUGAUCGUGCUGAGUGUCCCCAAGGAGUACUACGGCCGCCCUGAACAAAUCCAUAUCGACUUUGAUGAACUCUUCCAGAUGUACAAUGGCGACGCCCUCGACAAAUCGCUUAUGAGUUGCUAUUGUCUGUAAGUUUUUCAAUUCGUUGUCUACAUAUAUAUAACUUGUUUAGUUCUUUCAAUUCAUUGUCUAUAUAUAACUUGUACUCUGUUAUGCAGAAUGAAGAUUCUGUAUUGUAAAAGUAAGUGCAUCCUAAAUAUUGGGUUUAUUGACCCAAAUAAAAUACAUAUAGCGACGCUAACUAAUUAUCCCAAGGAGACGGAGGAAAACCUUCUAAGGUUUCUAAUAGAUCAAAAUUUCUGUGACCACAUACUGUUUCCAUACAACUUCAGGUGAGGGUCUUUACUCUGUUGUGUCCAUUCACUUAUAAGUGUAAUUGAUAAGUUACUGACACUUAUAUAUAUACAUGUGCAGCUUCCAUUGGAUUCUGUUGCACAUUCAAAUUGAUAAGGGAAGAGUUGAUGCCUUCAACCCAUUAUCGAGACCCUUGAAACAGUUCCAAAGCCUGCAGGACAUGCUCCAAGGGUAAUUUUAAUCAUUCUUGCGCUCUAUCGGUCUAUCUCGAUGAUUUUCUGAUAUAUCAAUUAAUGAAAAACUGAGCAAAUCAUUAUCCUUGUCGGGCAGGGUUUGGAAGCGGUUCAAGUGUGUGACUCCCGGUAACUUUCAUGAGAAGCUGACCUUUAAAGCGGCUCAGGUAAGUAGUAGUAUGAUAUACUUCUAUUAAUUUUCAAUACAUUUAUGAUGCUAGAUUGUUAUUUUGAUUAUAUAUAUUCUAUUCUCGUAAAGUGCGACCAGCAGCCACGGGGACGCAUCUAUGCGGAUACUAUGUUUGCGAGACCAUUCGCACGUUUACCUCUGAGCACAAGGAUCACAGAUUCGACGUAAGCAAUGAAAAUUCACACCUCUAUUUUUACCCGUCAUUCUUUGUUAUCAUGAUUGAUAUUCAUAUUCAUCUCCUCUUCUUAUAUAGCACACGGCCAUGACGACGAAGGUCCUACCAGAGCAACGCGCGAUUGCUGUUGCAGAGGAGCUUGCGACCUUUCUGAGGACGGAAGCUAUAGAUGACAAAGGACGAUUUAGUGUAGCUAGGGGCCAUUACUGAUGUCCGUCCAUGUAAUCGAAUAGACGGGCUCUAGUCCCGAUAAUUCAGAUCUCCAUAUAAUUGUAUAUAUAUGCUCGCUUGUAAGAUAAGUUAAUUUUAUAUAUAUGCAUUAUUUCUAUUUUAAAUUAUAUUGAAACUAAUUCCCGAACACCAAACGAGGCAUCACGUUAAUCUCCCGAACACCUAAACCCUAAAACUCUAAAACCCAAAAAUAAUUUCAUUCAAAAAAAAAGCCAAAAACCAGCAAAAUCUGAAAAUCUUGAGUCCCGGUCCGUGUAACGAGCCGGGACUAAAGGGCCUGCCCCUGGGGCGCUACGAGGCGCCCACGUGGAGCACCUUUAGUCCCGGCGUGUAAGAGGGCCGGGACGAAAAGGUUAGGCCUUUAGUCCCGCCCCUUUAGUCCCGGUUGGUGAACCGGGAUUAAAGCCCCUUACGGGCCGGGGAUAUAGGCCCUGUCCCCACUAGUGUGAUUUGAUUAGAGACUUCAAACUUGAUUUUAUAGGCAUUCAAGAAACUAUGAAAAAGGAAUUUUCCUCUAAGUUCUUGAGGAAAUUUGAUCCUAGGGAUAACUUUUGUUGGAAUUGGAUACCUGAUGUAGGAAAGUUUGGGGGUAUUAUUUGUGGGGUCAGGAAUAAUAGUUUUGAUAUCAAAAACUGUGUGGCUUGCAAGUAUGUCAUGAAACUUGAGAUAUGGGAUAAAUGCAUGAAAUAUAGUUGUUGCAUAAUGGCGGUGUAUGGUUCUGCUCAUGAAGAAUAUAAGGUGGAAUUCCUUACUAAAUUGUCAAAUAUGUGUGGUAAUGUUUCGUGUCCAUAUAUUAUUGGGGGAGACUUUAAUAUCUUGAGGUUUACGAACGAGAAGAAUAAAAGGACCAAGCUGGGUCAUUCUUCGGACCUGUUUAAUUCCAUUAUCAACUCCCUCUCCUUAAGAGAAGUUGAUAUGAGUGGUGGUCAAUAUACUUGGUCUAAUAACCAGCAUAAUCCAACCCUAGAAAAACUGGACAAGGUGCUUAUGUCCAACUCUUGGGAAUGUUUAUAUCCCUUUACUUUUGUCAUGAAGAUUGUGUUGGAGCAUAUAUCUCCAUAUGUGGUUUUGGUACUUGAUGACAAUUCCUAUGGACUAAUGGUUGCCUUAAGUUACAUUUAUAGGAUUUGUCCAUAGGCACUUCUUGAAGUCCAUCAGUUGGGUUCAAGGAGUUUAUAUGAUGACCAAGAUGGUAUUCAAGGUAUUAUCCAAAGAAUGGUCAUAGAGGCACAUGGUUGAUCAAGAUCUCAAACAAAGAGUAAAUCAAGAUGAUCAACACACAAAGCGUACAAGAUGUACCGAGAGGGAUCAAGUGAUCCCAUGGUAUGGAUUUGUCCAUAGGCACUUCUUGAAGUCCAUCAGUUGGGUUCAAGGAGUUUAUAUGAUGACCAAGAUGGUAUUCAAGGUAUUAUCCAAAGAAUGGUCAUAGAGACACAUGGUUGAUCAAGAUCUCAGACAAAGAGUAAAUCAAGAUGAUCAACACACAAAGCGUACAAGAUGUACCGAGAGGGAUCAAGUGAUCCCAUGGUAUGGUAAGCAUUGUCCAUUACGUGUUUGUGUACUAACCCAUGGUCUUCGUGAGAGUUCUAUGUGGGGGUUAGGUGUGUUUACAUGGGCUUGCGUCAAAGGGAAGAUCUCAUACAACCCAUGGAGUAUGACGUCAAGUUGUGAUCAUCAUCAAUGGUUGAUCAAGAUCUCAGACAAAGGAUUAAAAUCAAGAAUAGAUCAANNNNNNNNNNNNNNNNNNNNNNNNNNNNNNNNNNNNNNNNNNNNNNNNNNNNNNNNNNNNNNNNNNNNNNNNNNNNNNNNNNNNNNNNNNNNNNNNNNNNGACCCUACGUGGAGUAUCGACGUCCAAACGUAAGUAGGUAGUCAAUACGAAUACCAAUGGUUGGKAUCAAGAAUCUCAGACAAAGAGUAAAUCAAGAUGAUCAACACACAAAGCGUACAAGAUGUAUCGAGAGGGAUCAAGUGAUCCCAUGGUAUGGUAAGCAUUGUCCAUUACGUGUUUGUGUACUAACCCAUGGUCUUCGUGAGAGUUCUAUAUGGGGGUUAGGUGUGUUUCCAUGGGCUUGCGUCAAAGGGAAGAUCUCAUACAACCCAUGGAGUAUGACGUCAAGUUGUGAUCGUCAUCAAGAUUGUGAUGUGUAAGUUCAAGUGGAUCAGCACGAAGAUAGCAUGCUUGAAGCUUGCCGUACAUUGUGGUGGCAAUGGACUUGUGAAGAUAUGCUGAAGAGUGGCUCACCCAUAGUGAGUAUGGGGGAGCAAUCAACUAGUCUUCGUCAAGCCAACACAAUCAAGAAAGGUGGUCCAUCUUGAGGAAGCCAAGAUCAUCAUCAUCUAGCUCAAGAGGACGAGGUGCAAGGUAUAGGUUUGCCCUUGAUAGGUUUUCUGGUUAGGAUAGAUUGCUGUUCUAUCAAGGGGGGCUCUCAAGUGAGUAGCUUGGUCGUAUCGUUCGUUGAGAGCUCAAACCAUUUGCAUCCUUGCAUCAUACUUCUUGGUUCUUGUUUGGUGUUUCUCUUUGUGAGUUUUAGAGCUUAUGGUCAUCUUCGUGACAAGCUCGAGUUCAUCGAAAACGGAGUCCAUAUGCAUCUACUAUGAUGUUUUCGAUGUUGCAGUUUUUGCCGGUUCUUCAUUCAUAGAGAUCUCACAUCUCUAUAUCUUUGGCAUAUUCAUAACCGCAUGGUCUUAAGAUUUCCAACAAGCUUGGGUUUGCUCGAUUCGGAGCUCGUAUGCGAAAGUUAUGGCUCUUUCAGUGGCGAGCGGUAGUACCGCUGGACCUAGCGGUAGUACCGCUAGAGUUGGCGGUAGUACCGCUGGCUCGCGGUAGUACCGCCCCUGGUCAGCGGUAGUACCGCUCCAGGAGCUUAGUACCGCCUGCCUAAGCGGUUGUUCGUGGACGGACCUUUUUGCGAAGACUUUCUUGGCGGUGGUAGUGCCGUUGCACUACCAGGGGCCCAGCGGUAGUACCGUUGGGGCCAGCGGUAGUACCGCUGGAGUGCCAGCGGUAGUACCGUUGCAGCCAGUGGUAGUACCGCUAGCUGGCGGUAGUACCGCUGGAGUGNNNNNNNNNNNNNNNNNNNNNNNNNNNNNNNNNNNNNNNNNNNNNNNNNNNNNNNNNNNNNNNNNNNNNNNNNNNNNNNNNNNNNNNNNNNNNNNNNNNNCAUCUAGUGUAUUAAGUUCAUGAGAACAGAGUAACGCCUUAAGCAAGAUGACAUGAUGUAGAUGGACAAUCUCAUAUCUACGAUAAAAGCCCAUCUUGUUACCCUUGAUGGAAACMAMWCCCUGUGUGCCUUGCUGCCCCUUCUGUCACUGGGAAAGGUCACCACACGGUAUGAACCCAAAACCAAGCACUUCUCCCAUUGCAAGAAUCAUAGAUAUAGUUGGCCAAACAAAACCCAAGACUCGGAGAGACUUACAAGGAUAUCAAAUCAUGCAUAUAAGAAAUCAGCAAAGACUCAAAUAUAAUUCAAAGAUAAUCUGAUCACAAAUCCACAAUUCAUCGGAUCUCCAAACACACCGCCAAAGAGGAUUACAUAGGAUAGAUCUCCAUGAAGAUCAUGGAGAACUUUGUAUUGAAGAUCCAAGAGAGAGAAGAAGCCAUCUAGCUACUAACUACGGACCCGUAGGUCUGAAGUGGACUACUCACGAGUCAUUGGAGAGGCGAUGAUGUUGAUGUAGAAGCCCUCCAACUCCAAAGUCCCCUCCGGCAGGGCACCGGGAAGGGUCUCCAGAUAAGAUCUCGCGGAAACGGAAGCUUGAGGCGGCGGAAAAGUGUUUUCGUGGAUACCCUGAUUUUUUCUGGAUUUUAGGGAAUAUAUAGGCGAAAGAGCUAGGGCAGGGCCCCCCUGUGGCCCCCCUGUGGCUCUCCUGCCUUGGCCCUCAAGUCCCCCGAUCUUCUUCUGUUCUGGAAAAAUUUAUUUCGGGGAUUUUAUUCCGUUUGGACUCCGUUCCAAAAUCAGAUUCGGAAAGAGUCAAAAAACAGAAAAAACAGGAACUGGCACUUGGCACUGAAUUAAUAAGUUAGUCCCAAAAAAGAUGUAAAAGGUAUAUAAAACAUCCAAAGUUGACAAGAUAACAACAUGAAACCAUCAAAAAUUAUAGAUNNNNNNNNNNNNNNNNNNNNNNNNNNNNNNNNNNNNNNNNNNNNNNNNNNNNNNNNNNNNNNNNNNNNNNNNNNNNNNNNNNNNNNNNNNNNNNNNNNNNACUGAAAGCAAAAAGUAAACAAAGCAAAGUAAAAGUGAAAGUGGAUACGAUAGUUGUGAAUAGACCCGGGGGCCGGAGUGUUCACUAGUGGCUUCUCUCAUGAAAGCAAGUAGAUGGUGGGUGAACGAAUUACUGUCGAGCAAUUGAUAGAACCGCGCAAAGUCGUGAGGUUAUCUAUGGCAAUGAUUAUAUCUAUAGGCACCACGUCCAAAACAAGUAGACCGAUACUUUCUGCAUCUACUACUAUUAUCCACACGUCAAUCGCUAUCCAGCAUGCAUCUAGUGUAUUAAGUUCAUGAGAAUAGAGUAACGCCUUAAGCAAGAUGACAUGAUGUAGAUGGACAAACUCAUAUCUACGAUAAAAGCCCAUCUUGUUACCCUUGAUGGCAACAACACGAUGUGUGACCUUGCUGGCCCCCUUCUGUUCACUUAGGGGAAAGUCACCACACGGUAUGAACCCUAAAMCMAGCACUUCUCCAUUGCAAGAAUCAUAGAUAUAGUUGGCCAAACAAACCCUAAGACUCGGAGAGACUUACAAGGAUAGUNAAAUCAUGCAUAUAAGAAUCAGNAAAGACUCAAAUAUAAUUCGAUAGAUAANNNNNNNNNNNNNNNNNNNNNNNNNNNNNNNNNNNNNNNNNNNNNNNNNNNNNNNNNNNNNNNNNNNNNNNNNNNNNNNNNNNNNNNNNNNNNNNNNNNNAACUCACUAACACUUCGGAGAUACCUGUAGAGCAUCUUUAUAGUCACCCAGUUACGUUGCGACGUUUGAUACACACAAAGUAUUCCUCCGGUGUUUGUGAGUUAUACGAUCUCAUGGUCAUAGGAACAAAUACUUGACACGCAGAAAACAGUAGCAACAAAAUGACACGAUCAACAUGCUACGUCUAUUAGUUUGGGUCUAGUCCAUCACAUGAUUCUCCUAAUGAUGUGAUCCCGUUAUCAAGUAACAACACUUGCCUAUGGCCAGGAAACCUUGGCCAUCUUUGAUCAACGAGCUAGUCAACUAGAGGCUUACUAGGGACAGUGUUUUGUCUAUGUAUCCACACAAGUAUUGUGUUUCCAAUCAAUACAAUUAUAGCAUGGAUAAUAAACGAUUAUCAUGAACAAAGAAAUAUAAUAAUAACUAAUUUAUUAUUGCCUCUAGGGCAUAUUUCGAACAGUCUCCCACUUGCACUAGAGUCAAUAAUCUAGUUCACAUCACCAUGUGACUCCAACGAAUCCAACACCCAUAUAGUUAUGGGGUCUGAUCACGUCUUACUCGUGAGAGAGGUUUUAGUCAACGGUUCUGUAACUUUCAGAUCCGUGUGUUCUUUAUAAAUCUUUAUUUCAUCUUAUAGAUGUUGCUACUAUAUACUAUUCGGAAAUACUCCAAAUAUCUACUCUACUAUACGAAUCCGUUUCACUACUCAUAGUUAUUCGGAUUAGUGUCAAAGCUUGCAUCGACGUAACCCCUUAUGACGAACUCUUUAACCACCUCCAUAAUCGAGAAAAAUUCCUUAGUCCAUUUAGUUACUAAGGAUAACUUUGACCGCUGAUCAGUGAUUCAAUCCUGGAUCACUCUGUGUACCUCUUAACAGACUUGCUGCAAGGCACACAGUCAUGUGCGGUACUCAGCAUGGCAUACUUUAGAGUCUACGGCUAAGCCAUAGAAGACGACCUUCGUCUAUUCUCUUUAUUCUGCCGUGGUCGGGUUUUGAGUCUUACUCAAAUUCACACCUUACAACGCAACCAAGAACUCCUUCUUUGUUGAUCUAUUUUGAACUCCUUCAAAAACUUGUCAAGGCAUGCAUUUUGUUGAAACUUUCAUUAAGCGCCUUUUGAUCUAUCUCCAUAGAUCUUUGAUGCUCAACGUUCAAGUAGCGCAAUCCAGGUAUUCCUUUGAAAACUCCUUUCAAACAAGCUUAUAUGCUUUACAGAAAUUCUACAUUACUUCUGAUCAACAAUAUGUCUACCACAUACACUUAUCCGAAAUUCUAUAGUGCUCCCACUCACUUCUUUGGAAAUGCAAGUUUCUCAUAAACCUUGUACAAACCCAAAAUCUUUGAUCAUCUCAUCAAAGUGUAUAUUCCAACUCUGAGAUGCUUGCACCAGUCCAUUGAAGGAUCACUGGAGCUUGCAUACUUGCUAGUAUCUUUAGGAUCGACAAAACCUUCUGGUUGUAUCACAUACAAUGUUUGCUCAAGGAAACCGUCGAGGAAACAAUGUUUUGACAUCCUACGUGCAAUAUUUCAUAAAUAAUGCAUCAACAACUAACAUAAUUCUAACAAACCUUUAGCACCGCUACGAGUGAGAAAGUCUCAUCAUAGUCAACUGUUUGAUCUUGUCGAAAACAUCUUUGCGACAAGUCGAGCUUUUCUUAAUAGUGACUUAUCACCAUCAUUGUUUGUCUUCUUUUAAAGAUCCAUUUUUACUCAAUAGUCUUAUGACCAUCAAGUAGUUCUUUCCAAAGUCUACACUUUGUUUUCAUACAUGGAUCCUCUCUCGAAUUUCAUGGCUUCCAGCCAUUUGUCGGAAUCUGGGCCCACCAACGCUUUCUCCAUAACUCGUAGGUUCACUGUUGCUCAACAACAUGACCUCCAAUACAGGGUUACCGUACCACUCUGUAGUAGUACGCGACCUAGUCAACCUACGAGGCUUGUAGUAACAUGAUCCGAUGCUUGAUGAUCACCAUCAUCAGCUUCCACUUCAAUUGGUGUAGGCGCCACAGGAACAACUUCCUGCGCCCUGCUACACACUGGUUGAAGUGAUGGUUCAAUAACCUCAUCAAGUUCUACUACCCUCCCACUCAAUUUUUUCGAGAGAAACCUUUCCUCGAGAAAGGAUCCGUUUCUAGAAACAAACAUUUUGCUUUCGGAUCUGAGAUAGGAGAUGUACCCAACUGUUUUGGAUAUCCUAUGAAGAUGCAUUUAUCCGCUUUGGGUUCGAGCUUAUCAGACUGAAACCUUUUUCACAUAAGUGUCGAAGCCCCAAACUUUCAAGAAACGACAGUUUAGAUUUCUCUAAACCUUAGUCUAUACUCUGUCAUCUCAACGGAAAUACGCGGUGCCCUAUUUUAAAGUGAAUGCGGUUGUCUCUAAUGCAUAACCCAUAAACGAUAGUGGUAAUUCGAUAAGAGAUAUCAUAGCAUGCACCAUACCCAAUAGUGCGUGGCUAUGACGUUUAGACACAUCAUCACACUAUGAUGUUCCAGGUGGCAUGAACUGCGAAACAAUUUCCACAUUGUCUUAACUGCGUACCAAAACUCGUAACUCAGACAUUCAUUUCUAUGAUCAUAUCGUAGAUAGUUUAUCCUCUUGUUACGACGAACUUCACUCUGAAACGGAAUUGAACUUUUCAACAUUUCAGACUUGUGAUUCAUUAAGUAAAUACUCCAGUAUCUACUCAAAUCGUCAGUGAAGUAAGAACAUAAUGAUAUCCACUGCGUGCCUCAGCACCCAUUGGACUGCAUACAUCAAAAUGUAUCACUUCCAACAAGUUACUAUCUUAUUUCAUCUCAAUGAAAACAAGGCCUUGCUCAUGUGGUAUGAUUUGCAUGUCACUAGUGAUUCGAAAUCAGGUGAGUACAAAGAUCCAUCAGCAUGGAGCCUCUUCAUGCAAUUUAUACUAACAUGACUCAAGCGGCAGUGCCACAAGUAAGUGGUACUAUCAUCAUUAACUCGUAUCUUUUGGCACCAAUAUCAUGAACAUGUGUAACACUACGAUCGAGAUUCAAUAAACCAUUGAAGGUGAAUAUUCAAGAAAAUAGAGUAACCAUUAUUCUCCUUAAAUGAAUAAUCGUAUUGCAAUAAACACGAUCCAAUCAUGUUCAUGUUUAACGCAAGCACCAAAUAACAAUUAUUUAGGUUUAACACCAAUCCCGAUGGUAGAGGGAGCGUGCGACGUUUGAUCAUAUCAACCUUGGAAACACUUCCAACACGUAUCGUCACCUCGCCUUUAGCUAGUCUCCGUUUAUGCCGUAGCUUUCAUUUCGUGUUACUAAUCACUUAGCAAGUGAACCGGUAUCCAAUACCCUCAUGCUACUAGGAGUACUAGUAAAGUACACAUCAACAUCAUGUAUAUCAAAUACACUUCUUUCGACUUUCGCCAGCCUUCUUAUCUACCAAGUAUCUAGAGUUUCUCCGCCUCAGUGACUGUUCCCCUCAUUACAGAAGCACUUAGUCUCGGGUUUGGGUUUAAUCUUGGGUCUCUUCAUUAGUGCAGCAACUGUUUUGCCGUUUCACGAAGUAUCCCUUCUAGCCCUUGCCUUUCUUGAAACUUAGUGGUUUUAAAACCAUCAACUAUUGAUGCUCCUUCUUGACUUCUACUUUCGCAGUGUCAAACAUCGCAAAUCGCUCAAGGAUCAUUGCAUGUAUCCUUGAUAUGUUAUAGUUGAUCACGAAGCUCUCACAGCUUGGUGGCAGUGACUUUGGAGAACUAUCACUAUCUCAUCUGGAAGAUUAACUCCCACUUGAUUCAAGUGACCGUCGUACUCAGACAAUCUGAGCACACGCUCAACGAUUGAGCUUUUCUACUUUACUUUGUGGACAAAGAAUCUUGUUGGAGGUCUCAUACCUCUUAACAAGGGCACAAGCAUGAAAUCACAAUUUCAUCUCUUUAGAACAUCACUUAUGUUCCGUGACGUUUUACAACGUUUUCGGCGCCUUGCUUCUAAGCCAUUAAGUAUUUCGCAUUGAACUAUCGUGUAGUCAUUAGAAACGUGUAUGUCGGAUGUUCACAGCAUCCUUAGAUGACGCUCGAGGUGCAGCACACCGAGUGGUGCAUUAAGGACAUAAGCCUUCUGCGUAGCAACGAGGACAAUCCUCGGUUUUACAGACUCAGUCUGCAAAGUUUGCUACUAUCAAUUUUUAACUAAAUUUUCUCUAGGAACAUAUAAAAAACAGCAGAGCUAUAGCGCAAGCUACAUCGUAAUUCGCAAAGACCAUUAGACUAUGUUCAUGACAAUUAGUUCAAUUAAUCAUAUUACUUAAGAAAUCCCACUCAAAAAGUACAUCUCUCUAGUCAUUUGAGUGGUACAUGAUCCAAAUCCACUAUCUCAAGUCCGAUCAUCACGUGAGUCGAGAAUAGUUUCAGUGGUAAGCAUCCCUAUGCUAAUCAUAUCAACUAUACGAUUCAUGCUCGACCUUUCGGUCUCAUGUGUUCCGAGGCCAUGUCUGCACAUGCUAGGCUUGUCAAGCUUAACCCGAGUGUUCCGCGUGCGCAACUGUUUUGCACCCGUUGUAUGUGAACGUUGAGUCUAUCACACCCGAUCAUCACGUGGUGUCUCGAAACGAAGAACUGUCGCAACGGUGCACAGUCGGGGAGAACACAAUUUCGUCUUGAAAUUUUUGUGAGAGAUCACCUCAUAAUGCUACCGUCGUUCUAAGCAAGAUAAGGUGCAUAAAAGGAUUAACAUCACAUGCAAUUCAUAAGUGACAUGAUAUGGCCAUAAUCACGUGCUCCUUGAUCUCCAUCACCAAAGCAUCGGCACGAUCUUCUUGUCACCGGCGUCACACUAUGAUCUCCAUCAUCAUGAUCUCCAUCAAUGUGUCGCCAUCGGGGUUGUCGUGCUACUCAUGCUAUUACUACUAAAGCUACAUCCUAGCAAAAUAGUAAACGCAUCUGCAAGCACAAACGUUAGUUUAAAGACAACCCUAUGGCUCCUGUCGGUUGCCGUACCAUCGACGUGCAAGUCGAUAUUUACUAUUACAACAUGAUCAUCUCAUACAUCCAAUAUAUCACAUCACAUCGUUGUCCAUAUCACAUCACAAGCAUACCCUGCAAAAACAAGUUAGACGUCCUCUAAUUUUGUUGUUGCAUGUUUUACGUGGUGACCAUGGGUAUCUAGUAGGAUCGCAUCUUACUUCCGCAAACACCACAACGGAGAUAUAUGAAUUGCUAUUUAACCUCAUCCAAGGACCUCCUCGGUCAAUUCCGAUUCAACUAAAGUUGGACAAACUGACACCCGCCAGUCAUCUUUGAGCAACGGAGUUACUCGUAGCGAUGAAACCAGUCUCUCGUAAGCGUACGAGUAAUGUCGGUCCGAGCCGCUUCGAUCCAACAAUACCGCGGAAUCAAGAAAAGACUAAGGAGGGCAGCAAAACGCACAUCACCGCCCACAAAAACUAUUGUGUUCUACUCGAGAAGAUAUCUACGCAUGAACCUAGCUCAUGAUGCCACUGUUGGGGAACGUCGCAUGGGAAACAAAAAAUUUCCUACGCGCACGAAGACCUAUCAUGGUGAUGUCCAUCUACGAGAGGGGAUGAGUGAUCUAAGUACCCUUGUAGACCGUACAGCAGAAGCGUUAGUGAACGCGGUUGAUGUAGUGGAACGUCCUCACGUCCCUCGAUCCGUCCCGCGAACUAUCUCGCGAUCAGUCCCACGAUCUAGUGCCGAACGGACGGCACCUCCGUGUUCAGCACACGUACAGCUCGACGAUGAUCUCGGCCUUCUUGAUCCAGCAAGAGAGACGGAGAGGUAGAAGAGUUCUCCGGCAGCGUGAUGGCGCUCCGGAGGUUGGUGAUGAUCUUGUCUCCGCAGGGCUCCGCCCGAGCUCCGCAGAAACGCGAUCUAGAGGUAAAACCGUGGAGAUAUGUGGUCGGGCUGCCGUGGCAAAAGUUGUCUCAAAUCAGCCCUAAUACCUCAGUAUAUAUAGGAGGGAGGGGGAGGGAAGAGGCAGCCUCAAACCCUCAAGGUUUGGCCGAAAUUGGAGGUGGAGGAGUCCUACUCCAAUCCUACUUGGAGUAGGAUUCCACCUUCCCACUUGGAAACUCUUUCCACCUUGUGUUUUUUCCUUCUCAAACCUUAUGGGCCUUAGUGGGAACUUAUUCCAGCCCACUAGGGGCUGGUUUAUCUCUUCCCAUAGCCCAUGAGACCCCUUGGGGCGUGUCACCCCUCCCGAUGGUCCCCGGCACCCCUCCCGGCACUCCCGGUACACUACCGAUGAGCCCGAAACUUUUCCGGUGACCAAAACAGGACUUCCUAUAUAUCAAUCUUUACCUCCGGACCAUUGCGGAGCUCCUCGUGACAUCCUGGAUCUCAUCCGGGACUCCGAACAACAUUCGGUAACCAACCAUAUAACUCAAAUACGCAUAAAACAACGUCGAACCUUAAGUGUGCAGACCCUGCGGGUUCGAGAACUAUGUACACAUGACCCAAGUGACUCCUCGGUCAAUAUCCAAUAGCGGGACCUGGAUGCCCAUAUUGGAUCCCACAUAUUCUACGAAGAUCUUAUCGUUUGAACCUCAGUGCCAAGGAUUCAUAUAAUCCCGUAUGUCAUUCCCUUUGUCCUUCGGUAUGUUACUUGCCCGAGAUUCGAUCGUCAGUAUCCGUAUACCUAUUUCAAUCUCGUUUACCGGCAAGUCUCUUUACUCAUUCCGUAAUACAAGAUCCCGCAACUUACACUAAGUCACAUUGCUUGCAAGGCUUGUGUGUGAUGUUGUAUUACCGAGUGGGCCCCGAGAUACCUCUCCGUCAUACGGAGUGACAAAUCCCAGUCUCGNNNNNNNNNNNNNNNNNNNNNNNNNNNNNNNNNNNNNNNNNNNNNNNNNNNNNNNNNNNNNNNNNNNNNNNNNNNNNNNNNNNNNNNNNNNNNNNNNNNNUGGAGCCUUGCCCCCUCCUCCUCCCCGUGACCCGCCGCCGGACGCUCUCCCGUUCUCCUCCGUGACCCGCCGCCGGAGCYYGCCCCCUCCUCGUCCCCCGCGACCCCCCUCCUCCACCACCAUGCCCCUGCUCCACCACCUGCCCCCCUCCUCUCCGUGCCCCUGCUCCACCACCGCGCUGGUGCCCUCCUCCCCGCGACCCCCUCUUAUCCACCAUUGCGCCACCCCUCGCCCUCGUGCCCUCUCCUCCCCGCGACCCCCUCCUCCACCAGCUCCGGCCAGGUCACCCACCGCCCCGACCGUCACCGCCCCGGCUGCCCACUACUAACCAAGGUGAUUUUUUUUUCUUUUUUUGCUAAUUAAUAGAUUUAGUGGUACUAGCAAAAGGGUCCAUGCGUUGCAACGGGAGAAAGAAAUACCACACGGCACACGCUCUUAAUUUAUAAAAAAUGUCUAUAAUUUGAGAAUUUAUAGUUACGAUACAAAUAAAGAUGGUCUUAUCCUACAAAAAUGCAGUUCAAAAUUUCACAGGUCUUCUAUUUUAACACGGCUUGCAUGUAGAUUUAAUACGUACAAAGAAUCGGUCAAGUAACCUUCAGUUUCAUCUCUAAUCCUGAUUUUGUUGAUGUGUUCAUCCCCAACCCGGAUGAGUACCGGUAUGAAAGAAAGACGAAUAAUGACUUAUUUAUUAAGAUUGCACCCUAGAUAGUAUUUUUAUUAAACGUUUAACAGAUAAAAUAAUAUCAUAUUUAAAUUCUACAUAUUUUUCUAAUCAAAUUCCAUGUAUAUUAUGUUAAAUUUGGAGUUACCAUUUAAAAGAUAUGAGUAUUUAAAAAAUAUUUAAUAUAUACUACGAGUUUAAUGUCAUAAAUAGUAAGGGUUUUUUUAUAAAAUCGCCUCGGUGGGUUUUCCGACGGAAGCGAUAGCCUCUUUAUUAUUAGGUAAAGAUAUAUAGUUUAGUUGGUAGGCUAGUUAAUUAGUAGAUUUAGUGGUAGUUUAGUUAGUUGGUAGAUUAUCUUUAGGUAGUUGGUAGUUUAGUUAGUUGGUAGGUUUAAUUAGUUAAUUAGUAGAUUUAGCAGGUAGUUUAGUGGUAGAUUCUGUUUUCUUAAUUAGUGGUAGCUAGAUUCUUUUUUAGUUACUUAGUGGUAGAUUAUGUUUUUGUUAUUUUUUUAUUGUUUAGUGUUGUAUAGGUUUAGCGAUAGGUUUAGUUAGCUUGGUUAGUUAGGUUAUUUAGUUAGUUAGCUUAAUAGAAAGAAGAUGAAGAAGUAGAAGAAGAGGAGGAGGAGAAGAGGAGAGGAGGAGGAGGAGGAGAAGAAGAAGAAGAAGAAGAAGAAGAGGAGAAUAAAAAACAAGAAGGAGAAGAAGAGAAGAAGAGAAGAAGAGAAGAAACAAUAAUUAGCCAUUUAGCUCCAAAAUAGCCAUAAUAAGUCCAAAAUAGACAUAAGAACCUUGGUUAGCUCAUGAAUAUUAUAUUCGUAGCUUGUUUUCCUUCUAAAAUAGACAUAAUUAGCCAUAUAGAUACCAAAAAAGAACAUAAUUAGAUAAUUUAGCUCCAACAAGAGGAGGAANNNNNNNNNNNNNNNNNNNNNNNNNNNNNNNNNNNNNNNNNNNNNNNNNNNNNNNNNNNNNNNNNNNNNNNNNNNNNNNNNNNNNNNNNNNNNNNNNNNNCCCUACCCUCGUAGGACGGAAACGAAAAGGUUAGGUUGGUAAGUAGCUUUCGUUUCGNGAAGGCAGUACAUGAUCACCAUUGUGGUGUGUAUGCAUUACAAUUUUGUCUAAGCCGUAAUUUCCAGGUAAAAAUGCUCAUUUCAAAGCAUUAACCACGAUAGUUGCGGCCAUUCGGAGUCAACUCUCUCAGUCUCUUCUCUAAGUAUUUAGUCAUCUACUCCCUCCGUAUCGAAAUAUUUAUAAUUGUAGUAGGCUAAGUUAGCCUACUACAACUACACAUAUUUGGUACAGAGGCAGUACAUGGUAUAAUAUAUUAAGAUUAUUGUUGGUUAUAAUGUGUACGAACAAUACAAAAACAAUGGUAAUGUUCUUAAUACUUCUCGCCACUUUUCUAUGUGUUCAUUUUAUAUUCUAGCAAUAUCUAGCUAGCAUCCCUCCAUGAGGGAGCACUAACUAGUAGCGCUAGAAAUGGUAAAAAAAUAUUCUUAAUAAGUCAUGUAAUGUAGAUAAUUGUUAAUAUACAAUAAAUAGAGGUUAAAACUUAAAGGAAUUUUUUAGGUAAGGGUUUAAAAAUUAACCCGGGUACCUUUAGGUAAAAUUAAACCGUUGGAANNNNNNNNNNNNNNNNNNNNNNNNNNNNNNNNNNNNNNNNNNNNNNNNNNNNNNNNNNNNNNNNNNNNNNNNNNNNNNNNNNNNNNNNNNNNNNNNNNNNUUAGUGGAAUUUAGACUUAACNGUUUAAUGUAAUUUUGGAGGUAACCACUUGGUGAAAGGUAAUGGUAAAGGCCCUUAAGGGACCCUUGGUUUUUUUACCCUACCAACUUUGUAACGCAGUUUACUUUCAGUUUUGUUUCAUGUUUGCUUGUUGCCAUUUUAUUUCUAGAUUUACAANACCUUUUUCCAUCCAUGUCACUUANCUUUUUAACAUCUCUUCGCCGAACUUGUGCACCUAUACAACUGAUAAUUGUAUUAGGUGUNUUGGGGACACAAGAGACUUCUUGUAUCUUAAUUGCAGGGUUGUUUGAGAGAGACCUAUCUUCAACCUCUACUUCCCCGAGUUCGAUAAACCUUAGGUCAUCCACUUGAGGAAAAUUGUUGCUGUCCUAAAAACCUCUACGCUUGAAGGCCCAACAUAGUCUACAAGAAUAGAAGCGUGCGUAGACAUCACCUCCCGUCGCAUGCACAGAUGAGAUAGAGUGCCGCCGAUCCGGAACUCAAGACCCCACGUGCAUCCAUCACCAUGCUUGCCAGUCAUCACCACUGCAACCCAUGAUGCCAUCCGCAACACCGAAGGCACAACGCAAGAUGCACGUGGCCAGGCACAGUCCACCGUGGCCGCACGAGUUCCCAUCUCCGCAAGCCAACGACCCCCCCGGGGUAACUUUUCCACCGGUUUAACGGGGGGCCCUUGGACCCCCGGGUAACCGGGAAACCCGGGGGGUAGGUUCCGUUGGGAACGGUAACCGUUCNNNNNNNNNNNNNNNNNNNNNNNNNNNNNNNNNNNNNNNNNNNNNNNNNNNNNNNNNNNNNNNNNNNNNNNNNNNNNNNNNNNNNNNNNNNNNNNNNNNNUGCAUGCUUUGCGANAUUGUACNCANCUUCAAUGUCACAUUAUCCAUGACAGCCCGAAGUAUGUGUAGAUUGGGUUGUUUUCCCGUUAUGUUUAGUUGCUCUACGAUCCGAUGCGGAAUUUCGUCAGUGCCUCCCUGUUGUUCUCCCGGGAUGCACAUCCUCUCUGUUUAUUGCGGAGACGUGUAUCAGGAGAACAGCGGGGAGGUGCUGCCGAAAUUUUUGCGUUUGGAUCCAGAGCAGACCAUGGAAACGAACCACCUACACAUACUCGGGUGGGAUUAGGACCUAUCUUUUACCUAUUAGCGUGUAGGUUGCCUGGACGUAAUAAAAAUGGAAAACCUGAUUAACCGAUGAAUAUAAAUGCUAAAUUAUAUAUAAAUAUAUUUCUUCUGUCUUUAGUAGCUAGGCAAGAUGAGUGAUCGUGCAUGGAUGUAUACCGGUCACCCUAGUCAGAAAGNGAUGACGAAAGAAUGGUUUGUAAAAACAAGGAAUUUGNGAAAGCCGACAUUCGCAAAUGGCCAGGAAAGAAACUAUUUGCCCCCUUGGCCCUUGGAUUGCGACAACUUAUAAAAAAGGACUAACGAGAGGGCUGGUAAAUUUAUAACCGGGUGGUUGGAACCAUUUUCCAAUUCGGGNGUAGGNNNNNNNNNNNNNNNNNNNNNNNNNNNNNNNNNNNNNNNNNNNNNNNNNNNNNNNNNNNNNNNNNNNNNNNNNNNNNNNNNNNNNNNNNNNNNNNNNNNNAGCUGUCGCGUUGAUUUGAUCGAGAAGCUGUGCUCGAGCGCCGAAACGGGGGCAGCAAGCGGGGGAGAGGUACGACCACGGAGGCGGGUGGGUUGAGGUCGGCCGCGGCGGCGAGUGGUGUGGCAGCGGUCUGGGCACAGGCCAGGGUGGACCAGGGUCGACGCGAUGCGCUUGAGCGCCGCAACGGGGGCAAUGGCCGGGGAGAGGUACGGACCACGGAGGCGGGUGGUUGAGAUCGGCCGCGGCGGCGAGUGGUGUGGCAGCGGACUGGGCACAGGCCAUGGUGGCCCAGGGUCGACGGGAGGAGGCGAUGCGUACGGGUAUAAUUUUUGCAGCGAAUCAUUUUUUACUUUGCGUUACAGAUAAAUGAUGGAGCGCGGGUUGAAUAACAAAAAUUACAGGGCUUUUUANAAAAAUGCCACGAUAGGUUUUUCAACGGAAGCAAUAGCCGUUUUAUAUUAGGGGUAUAGAUUGUAGUCUCCUUGAUAGUACAUCAAGUGCAUCCCGAGACUAGAAAAUUUCGGGGACCACCGAAGGGUCCCGUAAACGGUUACCGGGUCCGUACGGGGUUUUCCGGAACCGUAACCGUUAAACGGGACCUUAAACGUUCGGGUACCCUUAACCCCGUUAAAGGGCCCGUAGGGGUUUACGGGAACCGUUCCCGUUACCGUAGGAACGGGUAGACCGUAAAGGAACUUCGUUACGGUGUCACNNNNNNNNNNNNNNNNNNNNNNNNNNNNNNNNNNNNNNNNNNNNNNNNNNNNNNNNNNNNNNNNNNNNNNNNNNNNNNNNNNNNNNNNNNNNNNNNNNNNCGUUAACCGUACGGAACGUUACGAACGUUAACUCCGGGUCGGGAAACCGUUAAACGUAAACCGUAACCGUAAACCGGGAAACGGAAAACCGGGAAAAAGGGUAAGUACGAACUACGGUACGGUAUUAGCGAAUCCUUGACACUGAGGUUCAAACAAUAAGAUCUUCGUAGAAUAUGUAGGAUCCAAUAUGUGCAUCCAGGUCCCGCUGUUGGAUAUUGACCGAGGAGUCUCUCGGGUCAUGUCUACAUAGUUCUCGAACCCGCAGGGUCUGCACACUUAAGGUUCGACGUUGUUUUAUGCGUAUUUGAGUUAUAUGGUUGGUUACCGAAUGUUGUUCGGAGUCCCGGACUGAGAUCCACGGACGUCACGAGGGUUUCCGGAAUAGUCCGGAAACGAAGAUUGAUAUAUAGGAUGACCUCAUUUGAUUACCGGAAGGUUUUUCGGAGUUUACCGGGGAAUGUACCGGGGAAUGACGAAUGGGUUCCGGGAGUUCACCGGAGGGGGGGCAACCCACUCCGGGGGAAGCCCAUAGGCAUUUUGGGGGGGGGGGUCACACCAGCCCCUUAGUGGGCCUGGGUUGGGGACAGCCCACCAAUCCCUAUGCGCCAGAAACGAAAAAAACUACCAAAGGAAAGAAAAAAAAACGGAAAGAAGUAGGAAAGGGGAAGGGACUACCUCCCGAACCAAACCAAGUAGGACUACGUUGGGGGGGGGGUAGGACGUGGACNNNNNNNNNNNNNNNNNNNNNNNNNNNNNNNNNNNNNNNNNNNNNNNNNNNNNNNNNNNNNNNNNNNNNNNNNNNNNNNNNNNNNNNNNNNNNNNNNNNNUUGGCAGUCUCAGUCUACAUCAUGUCAUCUUGCUUAAGGCGUUACUCUAUUCUCAUGAACUUAAUACACUAGAUGCAUGCUGGAUAGCGAUUGACGUGUGGAUAAUAGUAGUAGAUGCAGAAAGUAUCGGUCUACUUGUUUUUGGACGUGGUGCCUAUAGAUAUAAUCAUUGCCAUAGAUAACCUCACGACUUUGCGCGGUUCUAUCAAUUGCUCGACAGUAAUUCGUUCACCCACCAUCUACUUGCUUUCAUGAGAGAAGCCACUAGUGAACACUCCGGCCCCCGGGUCUAUUCACAACUAUCGUAUCCACUUUCACUUUUACUUUGCUUUGUUUACUUUUUGCUUUCAGUUCUCACUUUGCAAACAAUCUAUAAGGGAUUGACAACCCCUUCAUAGCGUUGGGUGCAAGCUCUUUGUGUUUGUGCAGGUACUUGGUGACUUGACGCAAUCCUUCCUCUGGAUCGAUACCUUGGUUCUCAAAACUGAGGGAAAUACUUUACCGCCACUAAUGCCUACAUCACCCCUCUCCGCUUCGAGGGAACACCAACGCCAAGGCUCCAAGGCCACGGGGGGAAUCCGUUUGCGAAUAUUUGCCCGAAGGGAACGUCCCGUAAAAAGGCGUAGCCGUAGCAGAAGGAUUUCCUGGGUUCCGUCCGGUUAGUCCGAGGGAGUAUCAAGACAAGAUANNNNNNNNNNNNNNNNNNNNNNNNNNNNNNNNNNNNNNNNNNNNNNNNNNNNNNNNNNNNNNNNNNNNNNNNNNNNNNNNNNNNNNNNNNNNNNNNNNNNGUUAAACGGUUUACCAAUUUUACCCGUAAAAACGUAACGAACCCUCCAAUUUCGUUCCAAACCUUUAAGUUCUAACUCGUUUGUCAACAUCNCUGGCAGUGUACGGAAGGUUGCCAGUUCCCAUGCAAGUCUCCUAGCGUUGCCAUGAUCAACGCUGUUGGUAUGUUCCGAUUAUGCAAUGUCUUCAGAACAUGUAGUCCUCAUACGGUACCUUUCUAUGAGAUCUGUAAAACCUUGUCCAUUCCCCCCUACUCAUCAUUGGGUGCGUAUGUUGCUCCUCAAAAACAGUUACUUACCCAUUUUUCCAUCCCUGAACACCACUGCCAUGCGUGCUCUGCAUCCAUGCCUAUUCACCCUGUUUCUCUUUCGCUGUGCUACUAAGUUUUUAUGCAAAUCUGGUUCCUUCCUUGAUGCACUAGGACAUUUUUCUUACUAAAUGCUUCAUACCACUUCGAGGUAUCCAACACCUAACCAACGUUUCGUUUUUUCCNCCUAAUUCCGUUGGGCCGUCCUUUUCCCCUCCUUGACUNUCGAACACUCUCGAACUUCCUCUACCUGUAUUAUGUAUNNNNNNNNNNNNNNNNNNNNNNNNNNNNNNNNNNNNNNNNNNNNNNNNNNNNNNNNNNNNNNNNNNNNNNNNNNNNNNNNNNNNNNNNNNNNNNNNNNNNAGGAAGUCCGGUGGGGACCGUUGGAAGUUCGCGGGGAUGUUCGCGGGCGGAGUCAGGGACGUGAGGACGUUCCACUACAUCAACCGCGUUCUCUAACGCUUCUGCUGUACGAUCUACGAGGGUACUAGAUCACUCAUCCCUUCUCGUAGAUGGACAUCACCAUGAUAGGUCUUCGUGCGCGUAGGAAAAUUUUUGUUCCCAUGCGACGUUCCCCAACAGUGGUAUCAGAGCUAGGUUCAUGCGUAGAUGUCUUCUCGAGUAGAACAUAAAAAGGUUUUGUGGGCGGUGAUGUGCGUUUUGCUGCCCUCCUUAGUCUUUUCUUGAUUCCGCGGUAUUGUUGGAUUGAAGCGGCUUGGACCGACAUUACUCGUACGCUUACGAGAGACUGGUUUCAUCGUUACGAGUAACCCCCCUUUGCUCAAAGAUGACUGGCAAGUGACGGUUUCUCCAACUUUAGUUGAAUCGGAUUUGACCGAGGAGGUCCUUGGAUGAGGUUAAAUAGCAACUCAUAUAUCUCCGUUGUGGUGUUUGCGUAAGUAAGAUGCGAUCCUACUAGAUACCCUUGGUCACCACGUAAAACAUGCAACAACAAAAUUAGAGGACGUCUAACUUGUUUUUGCAGGGUAUGAUUGUGAUGUGAUAUGGCCAAUGAUGUGAUGUGAUAUAUUGGAUGUAUGAGAUGAUCAUGUUGUAAUAGAAAUAUCGACUUGCACGUCGAUGGUACGGCAACCGGCAGGAGCCAUAGGGUUGUCUUUAUACUAACAUAUGUGCUUGCAGAUNNNNNNNNNNNNNNNNNNNNNNNNNNNNNNNNNNNNNNNNNNNNNNNNNNNNNNNNNNNNNNNNNNNNNNNNNNNNNNNNNNNNNNNNNNNNNNNNNNNNAACGGUUCCGAACUAAAUAAAGUUUUAAAACGUUAAACUGGGAAAAAAGGGUAACACUUAAUUUUUGUUAAAUAAAGUAAGCAUAUGUUUCUAUAUAAUUAGGUAACGAACCUUUUCUUAACGAAAUAAGUUAAUUAGCUUUAUGAAAAAUUGGAACAUUACUCUCAAAAAAGAACAUUUUUUGAACAUAUAUUUUUUGUUGAAAAGAAUGUUUUUUGUUUUUUUUGUUGUACAUUUCUAAAUUUGAUAUUCUUAGUAAAAAAAUGAAACUUUUUUUGGGAAUGCUGAAGUUCUUCUAAAAAAGUGCGAACAUAUUUUUUUGUAAACAAAAAAAAGGAGAGCGGACGUUUGAGCUCGGCCUCCAUGGAGGCCGAAAAGUUUUUUUGAAAUAAUUUCCAAAAAAUUUCGAAAACUUUUUCGGUUUCAAAAAAAAUCCUGAAAAAAAAAUAUAGGAAGUAAAGAAGGAUGUUAUGCGUAUGUGUGCAAAAAAUUUAGGAUGAAAUACCUUUAAAAUACGAANNNNNNNNNNNNNNNNNNNNNNNNNNNNNNNNNNNNNNNNNNNNNNNNNNNNNNNNNNNNNNNNNNNNNNNNNNNNNNNNNNNNNNNNNNNNNNNNNNNNGAGCUUGCACCCAACACUAUGAAGGGGUUGUCAAUCCCUUAUAGAUUGUUUGCAAAGUGAGAUCUGAAAGCAAAAAGUAAACAAAGCAAAGUAAAAGUGAAAGUGGAUACGAUAGUUGUGAAUAGACCCGGGGGCCGUAGUGUUCACUAGUGGCUUCUCUCAUGAAAGCAAAUAGACGGUGGGUGAACGAAUUACUGUCGAGCAAUUGACAGAACCACGCAAAGUCGUGAUGUUAUCUAUGGCAAUGAUUAUAUCUAUAGGCAUCACAUCCAAAACAAGUAGACCGAUACUUUCUGCAUCUACUACUAUUACUCCACACGUGGACCGCUAUCCAGCAUGCAUCUAGUGUAUUAAGUUCAUGAGAACAGAGUAACGCCUUAAGCAAGAUGACAUGAUGUAGAUGGACAAUCUCAUAUCUACGAUAAAAGCCCAUCUUGUUACCCUUGAUGGAAACAACACGAUGUGUGCCUUGCUGCCCCUUCUGUCACUGGGAAAGGUCACCACACGGUAUGAACCCAAAACCAAGCACUUCUCCCAUUGCAAGAAUCAUAGAUAUAGUUGGCCAAACAAAACCCAAGACUCGGAGAGACUUACAAGGAUAUCAAAUCAUGCAUAUAAGAAAUCAGCAAAGACUCAAAUAUAAUUCAAAGAUAAUCUGAUCACAAAUCCACAAUUCAUCGGAUCUCCAAACACACCGCCAAAGAGGAUUACAUAGGAUAGAUCUCCAUGAAGAUCAUGGAGAACUUUGUAUUGAAGAUCCAAGAGAGAGAAGAAGCCAUCUAGCUACUAACUACGGACCCGUAGGUCUGAAGUGGACUACUCACGAGUCAUUGGAGAGGCGAUGAUGUUGAUGUAGAAGCCCUCCAACUCCAAAGUCCCCUCCGGCAGGGCACCGGGAAGGGUCUCCAGAUAAGAUCUCGCGGAAACGGAAGCUUGAGGCGGCGGAAAAGUGUUUUCGUGGAUACCCUGAUUUUUUCUGGAUUUUAGGGAAUAUAUAGGCGAAAGAGCUAGGGCAGGGCCCCCCUGUGGCCCCCCUGUGGCUCUCCUGCCUUGGCCCUCAAGUCCCCCGAUCUUCUUCUGUUCUGGAAAAAUUUAUUUCGGGGAUUUUAUUCCGUUUGGACUCCGUUCCAAAAUCAGAUUCGGAAAGAGUCAAAAAACAGAAAAAACAGGAACUGGCACUUGGCACUGAAUUAAUAAGUUAGUCCCAAAAAAGAUGUAAAAGGUAUAUAAAACAUCCAAAGUUGACAAGAUAACAACAUGAAACCAUCAAAAAUUAUAGAUNNNNNNNNNNNNNNNNNNNNNNNNNNNNNNNNNNNNNNNNNNNNNNNNNNNNNNNNNNNNNNNNNNNNNNNNNNNNNNNNNNNNNNNNNNNNNNNNNNNNACUGAAAGCAAAAAGUAAACAAAGCAAAGUAAAAGUGAAAGUGGAUACGAUAGUUGUGAAUAGACCCGGGGGCCGGAGUGUUCACUAGUGGCUUCUCUCAUGAAAGCAAGUAGAUGGUGGGUGAACGAAUUACUGUCGAGCAAUUGAUAGAACCGCGCAAAGUCGUGAGGUUAUCUAUGGCAAUGAUUAUAUCUAUAGGCACCACGUCCAAAACAAGUAGACCGAUACUUUCUGCAUCUACUACUAUUAUCCACACGUCAAUCGCUAUCCAGCAUGCAUCUAGUGUAUUAAGUUCAUGAGAAUAGAGUAACGCCUUAAGCAAGAUGACAUGAUGUAGAUGGACAAACUCAUAUCUACGAUAAAAGCCCAUCUUGUUACCCUUGAUGGCAACAACACGAUGUGUGCCUUGCUGCCCCUUCUGUCACUGGGAAAGGUCACCACACGGUAUGAACCCAAAACCAAGCACUUCUCCCAUUGCAAGAAUCAUAGAUAUAGUUGGCCAAACAAAACCCAAGACUCGGAGAGACUUACAAGGAUAUCAAAUCAUGCAUAUAAGAAAUCAGCAAAGACUCAAAUAUAAUUCAUAGAUAAUCUGAUCACAAAUCCACAAUUCAUCAGAUCUCGACAAACACACCGCCAAAGAGGAUUACAUCGGAUAGAUCUCCAUGAAGAUCAUGGAGAACUUUGUAUUGAAGAUCCAAGAGAGAGAAGAAGCCAUCUAGCUACUAACUACGGACCCGUAGGUCUGAAGUGGACUACUCACGAGUCAUUGGAGAGGCGAUGAUGUUGAUGUAGAAGCCCUCCAACUCCAAAGUCCCCUCCAGCAGGGCACUGGAAAGGGUCUCCAGAUGAGAUCUCGCGGAAACGGAAGCUUGCGGCGGCGGAAGAGUGUUUUCGUGGAUGCCCUGAUUUUUUUUCUGGAUUUUAGGGGAAUAUAUAGGUGAAAGAGCUAAGGCAGGGGAGCGCCAGGGAGGCCACAAGCUUGGUAGCCGCCGCCCCUGGUGGCGGCUACAGGGCUUGUGGGCCCCCUUUGGCUCUCCUGCCUUGGCCCUCAAGUCCCCCGAUCUUCUUCUGUUGUGGAAAAAAUUAUUUCGGGGAUUUUAUUUCGUUUGGACUCCGUUUCAAAAUCAGAUCUGAAAAGAGUCAAAAACACAGAAAAAACAUGAACUGGCACUUGGCACUGAAUUAAUAAGUUAGUCCCAAAAAAGAUAUAAAAGGUAUAUAAAACAUCCAAAGUUGACAAGAUAACAGCAUGAAACCAUAAAAAAUUAUAGAUACGUUUGAGACGUAUCAGGAGCCCACAAGCCAGGGUGGCGCGGGCCCCCGUGGCCGCGCCUUGAGGGCUUGUGGGGUCCCUGUAGGCCCCCUGCCCUGAUUCUCCGGCUUCCCGAUCCUUUUUUGUUUCAAAAAAAAAUCUUUUUGGCAGUUUCAUUCCGUUUGGACUCCGUUCAAAAUCCUCCUCUGAAAGGGGUCAAAACCAUGGAAAAAAACAGGAACUGGCACUUCGCACUGAGUUAAUAAGUUANNNNNNNNNNNNNNNNNNNNNNNNNNNNNNNNNNNNNNNNNNNNNNNNNNNNNNNNNNNNNNNNNNNNNNNNNNNNNNNNNNNNNNNNNNNNNNNNNNNNUUACUUUCUUCGCAUUUGAUGAAUAGGAACACCGUACUGUUAAAGGGGGUCAAAGUAACACUAUGGAAUGAAUUUCCUCAUGAUGCUCAACCCAAGCCAAAUCCUACCAAAAGCCUCAAGUGAGGAAUAUAUGAGUGACAUGAGGACUCUCACAGUUGAGGGUCCCGACCGUUUCGAUAACCACGCCAAGUCACUGGUCUUAUCCACUCCAACGGUCAUAUUAUUUAAGGGCAUUAGUGUCAAAUCAUGUCGAGAUGCUCCCAGGCUAUAAAUAGCCGCCCCCACAACCACUAGCUGGUUGGCUGCUCCGUUAGAAACUGACACUUGUCAUAAGAGCAACCCAAAUUCCUCAGAGCCUUCGAGAGUAAUUCAUCAGUGAGGAAAUACACCACCCACCGAAACCACAAACCAAACCUAGUGAUUGAGCAUCACUGAAGAAGUUGUUCCUGUGUGGGACUGAAGCCUUUUACCUUUGAGGACUGUGCAUCCUCCAGACGGUUAGGCGUCAUGGUCUAGAGCAAUCCAGCAGUCAAUUGUGGAUCGCCGGGUGACCGAGUUUGUGAGGGUUUGGAAGUCUGCCCUGAAGACUUACCACGAGUGUUGGGCGAGGACUGUGUGUUCUUAGCUCAAGGAGAAUACGGUAGGGACUGUGUGUCCCGGGACUGGGUGUCCUUUGGUUUCAAUACCAAGCCGCUCCAAACCAGAUGUACAACUGUCACAGCAGUUGGAACUGGGUCAUCAACGGCUGUCGUCUCUGAGAAUCGGGUUCUAAUUCCUCAACUCUUUACUUUCUCUGUAUUAUGUGUUGAUGACUUUCACUGUGACUGUUUGAAGAAUUUGCUGAAGACUUUCUCUGAAUUUCCUCAACCCCAAAUUCUUCACAAUAGUUAAUCAUCAUCUGUGUUCUGCGUGCCUGCUUACUGUGCGAUCUGUUUUCACAUUCUUCACUCUAAAAUACUGCUGGUGUGAACGUUUGCACGUCUGAUCCUUUACUGUUUCCGCUGUAAGUUAGUCAUCAGUGAGGAAUUUCCUCAAAAGGAAUUUCCUCAGUGAUGAAAUUCUAAAAAUNNNNNNNNNNNNNNNNNNNNNNNNNNNNNNNNNNNNNNNNNNNNNNNNNNNNNNNNNNNNNNNNNNNNNNNNNNNNNNNNNNNNNNNNNNNNNNNNNNNNUUACUUUCUUCGCAUUUGAUGAAUAGGAACACCGUACUGUUAAAGGGGGUCAAAGUAACACUAUGGAAUGAAUUUCCUCAUGAUGCUCAACCCAAGCCAAAUCCUACCAAAAGCCUCAAGUGAGGAAUAUGAGUAACAUGAGGACUCUCCUAGUUGAGGGUCCCGACCGUUUCGAUAACCACGCCAAGUCACUGGUCUUAUCCACUCCAACAGUCAUAUUAUUUAAGGGCAUUAGUGUCAAAUCAUGUCGGGAUGCUCCCAGGCUAUAAAUAGCCGCCCCCACAACCACUAGCUGGUUGGCUGCUCUGUUAGAAACUGACACUUGUCAUAAGAGCAACCCAAAUUCCUCAGAGCCUUCGAGAGUAAUUCAUCAGUGAGGAAAUACACCACCCACCGAAACCACAAACCAAACCUAGUGAUUGAGCAUCACUGAAGAAGUUGUUCCUGUGUGGGACUGAAGACUUUUACCUUUGAGUACUGUGCAUCCUCCAGACGGUUAGGCGUCAUGGUCUAGAGCAAUCCAGCAGUCAAUUGUGGAUCGUCGGGUGACCGAGUUUGUGAGGGUUUGGAAGUCUGCCCUGAAGACUUACCACGAGUGUUGGGCGAGGACUGUGUGGUCUUAGCUCAAGGAGAAUACGGUAGGGACUGUGUGUCCCGGGACUGGGUGUCCUUUGGUUUCAAUACCAAGCCGCUCCAAACCAGAUGUACAACUGUCACAGCAGUUGGAACUGGGUCAUCAACGGCUAUCGUCUCUGAGAAUCGGGUUCUAAUUCCUCAACUCUUUACUUUCUCUGUAUUAUGUGUUGAUGACUUUCACUUUGACUGUUUGAAGAAUUUGCUGAAGACUUUCUCUGAAUUUCCUCAACCCCAAAUUCUUCACAAUAGUUAAUCAUCAUCUGUGUUCUGCGUGCCUGCUUACUGUGCGAUCUGUUUUCACAUUCUUCACUCUGAAAUACUGCUGGUGUGAACGUUUGCACGUCUGAUCCUUUACUGUUUCCGCUGUAAGUUAGUCAUCAGUGAGGAAUUUCCUCAAAAGGAAUUUCCUCAGUGAUGAAAUUCUAAAAAUCUNNNNNNNNNNNNNNNNNNNNNNNNNNNNNNNNNNNNNNNNNNNNNNNNNNNNNNNNNNNNNNNNNNNNNNNNNNNNNNNNNNNNNNNNNNNNNNNNNNNNAUUGUCUUUACCCACCAGUGCAGAAUCAAUCAAUAGUCUCGGUUCGUAAGGACCUUUAGUGCCGGUUGCCAUUUGCAUCUGACGGCUCCGUGACUUGCAAUUGUCUUUACCCACCAGUGCAGAAUCAAUCAAUAGUCUCGGUUCGUAAGGACCUUUAGUGCCGGUUCUGCAACCGGCACUAAAGGGUGGGGACUAAAGCCCCCGCCCUUUAGUGCCUUUAGUCCCCAUCCUUUAGUGUCGGUUCGUCACGAACCGGGACCAAAGGCCCACCACAUGGCACGAGCCUGCUCCGGGGGCUGGGGACCUUUAGUCCCCGACUAAAAGGUUUAGGGGUUUUGGGUUUAUGGUUUAUUUUUUCUUUUAAUUUUGUGUUUUCCAUUUAAUUUUUUUUCAUUCUAAAUAUAUUUUACGGUACUACAUAUCGUACUCGUUAUGCAUAUAUAAAAAUAGAAUUUCUCAUAGAACCGAUCAUAAUAAAGCAAAUACGGUUUCUGUCGUCCGUCGUGGCUGUUUUGCAGAAAAACCCCUGUCUUUGUUACAAUUUAACCCGCAGUCCUCAAGUUAGCCUGAAACGGUACAUGCCGGAGAAAGAAGAAACACCCGCACAAUGCUGCCUACCCUCCCGAUCCCAUCUGGACCUCGAGCCCGCCGCCACCUCCUUCCACGUCCCACGCCGCCGACCGUCGUCUCGAGCAGCCGUCGCCUACUGCGGGCCUUCUCGCCGGCGAGGCGAGGCGAGGCUGAGGGGGCCGUGCGUGCCCGCGAGGAGGCGGGGCCGAGGAGGCAGGAGGACCCCUGCCGGCGGUGCUCCUCGAGUACUUGGUGAGGGCGGGGGGCGGCGCGCGGGGGCGAGCCUACUGCGCCGCCCUUGUCGGCCCCGCGGGGGUCGGCAAGACGGCCAUCGUCGAGGGCCUCGCGCAGCGAAUCACUGCCGGGAACAUCCCCGACACGCUCGUCGGCUUACGCAUCAUGGAGGUUGACAUGGGGGUCCAUGGUUGCCGGGACGCACUGGCACGGCAUGUUCGAGCAGCGCUUCAAAGACGCCAUCAACCAGGCCGAGGAGGCGCAAGGCAAGGUGAUCCUUUUCAUUGACGAGAUGCACAUGUUGUAGGCGCCAGCGGCGAUAGGGGAGGCCCCGUGGAGUCACUCUUUCCUGGGAUGCAAACAUAGUGUUUUACUCUGUUUUCACUGCGUCAAGUUUCAGUUUCUGCCCAACUCAAAAUUAAAAAGGUUUCAGCUUCUUUUGUUUUAUGAUUUAGUUAUGUGUUGGAGUUUUAUCUUUAUCGUGGGUUAAAGUGUAGCAUUUUCAUGCCAGGGACAACAACAGGGUCAAGCAAAGAAAUCAUGACACUGAAGGUAUGAUUUUUUCUCGUGUUACUACGUACCGAUGACCUUAUGGGCUUAUGACCCAAAAGAUGAAUACAUUAAUGCAAACGAAUACCAUUUAUGCUGUUAGCAAUUGGAAGUGCUCCUCUAUUUAUUUGCAGUAACAUGUAUGGCAUGCUUCACCUCUUCUUUAGCCAAAAUAUGAAAUUUCAAAUGAUACAUNNNNNNNNNNNNNNNNNNNNNNNNNNNNNNNNNNNNNNNNNNNNNNNNNNNNNNNNNNNNNNNNNNNNNNNNNNNNNNNNNNNNNNNNNNNNNNNNNNNNUGCCAGCGGUAGUACCGUUGCAGCCAGUGGUAGUACCGCUAGCUGGCGGUAGUACCGCUGGAGUGCCAGCGGUAGUACCGCUGCAGCCAGCGGUAGUACCGCUGGAGCUCGGGCAGAAAGUGGGGGUAACGGUCUGAUUCCUUCCCCCACUAUAUAAAGGGGGUCUUCUUCCCCCUUGGUCUUAUCCAUCCGUUGAGCUCUUGUUCUACCUCCAUUGUUGACAUUCUUAGAGCUUGAUUACUCUCAAUCCCUCCAAUGAUUCUUGCUUGUUCUUGAGGGAAAAGAGAGAGGAGAUCUAGAUCCACAUCUCCACCAAUCACUUUCUCCUCUAUGUGAGGGGAACCCCUUGGAUCUUGAUCUUGGAGUUCUUUGUGAGCUCCUUGUUCUUCCUCUCAUAUUUCUCCAUAGCUUUUGUUGUUGUGGAGGGAUUUGAGUGUGAGGGACUUGACCACUUCGUGUGUUCUUGCCAUUGCAUUAGUUGCAUCGGUUUGAGUUCUCCACGGUGAUACGUGGAAGUGAGAAGUUGAGAAGCUUACUACCUUUGGUACUUAGUACCCUUGAUAUUGUUCUUCGUGGAUGCUUUGGCGUCCUAGAAGCUUGGUGGUGUCUCGGAGCUCAAUCAUUCUGGUGUGAAGCUCCGGGAAGCGUCGGGGUCUCCAAUUAGGUUGCAGAGAUUGCCCCAAGCAAUUUGUACGGGUACCGGUAACCGCCCCCAAGGGUUGCCACGUGUACGGGUUCGGUGACCGCCCCCAAGGGUUGCCAUUUGUACGGGUUCGGUGACCGCCCUCAAGGGUCCCUUAGUGGAAUCACGACAUCUUGCAUUGUGCGAGGGCGUGAGGAGAUUACGGUGGCCUUAGUGGAAUCUUGGGGAGCAUUGUGCCUCCACACCGCUCUAACGGAGAUUAGCAUCCGCAAGGGUGUGAACUUCGGGAUACAUCAUCGUCUCCCCGUGCCUCGGUUAUCUCUUACCCGAACCCUUUACUUAUGCACUUUACUUUGUGAUAGACAUAUUGUUUAUUGUAAUAUAUCUUGCUAUCACUUAGUUGUUUAUCUUGCUUAGCAUAAGUUGUUGGUGCACAUAGGUGAGCCUAGUUGUUUGUAGGUUUUGUGCUUGGCAUAUUAAACGUUAGUUUUAUUCCGCAUUUGUUCAAGCCUAAACCUUAACUAUUUUAAAGCGCCUAUUCACCCCCCCCCUUCUAGGCGACAUCCACGUCCUUUUCAACAUUCAUUAUGUGCGUUGCCGUUGAUUUCCAUCAACUAUUGGGAAGUACAACAUAGAACAUAGUGACCUUGUCACAUUCAAUUCUUAGGGAUUGCUUUGUUACUCCACUUAAACGAAAAAUUGUGCAUACCUUAAAAGUAGAACUCACUAUCAGGUGUAUUUUAAGGUAUAUUUUCUCUGAGUCUCAUUGCUGUUUCAUAUUCAUCAGGUGUUAAGGAGAACACUAACAGAAGAAAAUUAGAUCGAGCUGACAGUUGCCUUUCUUCCAUAAACCCUGACACAGAAGCAGUUGAGAAACAACAGGAUGAACAAGUGUGCUCAACAGAAAACAGUUUAACCGCAGUUCCUGUUUCUGAAGUAAGGACAGGAACGCCAAGAUCUGACCCUUCUGAUACAUGGAUGUAUGUAAGAAUGCUUUCGGUACAUACAUUCUGCUGGGUACUAAAUAAAUCAGAUUUCUGUAAAUUGCUAGAGAAUUUAAUCAGGAGGGCAAAUAAUUGUGGGUGAAAAUUACUUAACUGAUUUUGGGGGGUUAUGAUUGUAAUCGUACUGUGGAAUUUUGUAAUGGGGCUCAACUUUGCUAUCUAAAUCUAGAUGUUUUCGGAAUCUCUCUAAUUCAGAUUUUCCGUGCACAUCUUUGGGAGAAGGUCCAUGAAAGUGUUGUUAUGGAUCUUUGCCAAGUUCUGGAUCAGGAGUUGGAUGCACUAGAGAUUAAGACAGUACAGAAGGAGACAAUACAUCUGAGGAAGAGUUACAAGAUGAACAGUUCAUGUGCAGAUGUCCUCCUUUUUGCUGCACAUAGGUGGCAGAUGUCCAAACCAAGCUUAUGACAGUCUGAAUCCUCUGUGCACAUAGGUGACAUAUGAUUUUGUUGCAUCCAUUAACUUCCAAUUUCUUGCCAUUGUCUGAAUCCUCUGUGCUUAUGUUGAUUAAUAUUUAUUGCAGGAGUGAUGAUUGGACUUGAUCUAGCUUAUAAUUUGCACUCCGUUUGGCAACUGGUUCCCUGGGUCAAAGCCCCUCCUCCAGCAAGCAAUGAACAAGAUCAUGAAGGUAAUAACCAUGCUAAUUGUAACAAAUCUAGAUCCAUGGCAUUAUCUGUGUUGUUAAACUGAUUGAAAGCCCCCUGUGACGCCCUCGGCUUAAUCGUACGCUAACCAUACACGCAAAUGCGUACGAUCAAACCCAAGGACUCACGGGAAGAUAUCACAACACAACUCUAGACACAAAUAAAAUAACAUCAGCUUCAUAUUACAAGCCAGGGGCCUCGAGGGCUAGAAUACGAAAGCUCGAUAAACACACGAGUCAGCGGAAGCAACAAAUAUCUGAGUACAGACAUAAAACAUGGGGUGCCUUAGAGAAGGCUAGCACAAAAGAUACAACGAUCGAACGAGGCGAGGCCUCCUGCCUGGGAACCUCCUAACUACUCCUGAUCAUCAGCGGCCUCCACGUAGUAGUAGGCACCGUCGGGGUAGCAGUCGUUGGUGGCGGGGACCUCCAUCUCCUGGGCUUCAUCAUCUGGUCGCAGCAAACGGAUCAAGGGGACAAGGGGGGAGCAAAGCAGCGGUGAGUACUCAUCCAAAGUACUCGCAAGUCUUACAUCAGAACUAUUCUAUUUAUGCAUCAGUAUCAAAGAAGGGGGGGGGUUAUAUGUGGACUGACUGCAGCAAUGCGAGAAUAGAGAGGGAAGGCCUAGUCCUAUCGAAGACUAGCAUCUUCAGGGUCUUGCAGCAAUAGACGAGAGUAGAACAGGGGGGGGGNNNNNNNNNNNNNNNNNNNNNNNNNNNNNNNNNNNNNNNNNNNNNNNNNNNNNNNNNNNNNNNNNNNNNNNNNNNNNNNNNNNNNNNNNNNNNNNNNNNNCAUACGCAUCUAAUACACCAAUUAUUCUUUUUCAUUUAUCUUUUCUCUCAACACUCAUCUCUCAUCUCUCUGUUAACACAGACAGAGAAGUUCUUUUGCUACUCCACCUAGAGGAACACAAACUUCGAAUCCUUCUACCGGAGUCCACCGUCGACGGAUCGAGGCCCCGUUUGCCGGAACGGAACCGUGACGUCGAGGAGAACGGUAAGGUGGGAGGAGCCCGAGGAGGGGCUCACCGACGGUGACGUGACGGCCCGGUGAAGCCGGAGUUCGCACGUAGUUGACGGUGGAGACGGACGUGGAGGCGGUGACGGUGACGGUGGUGGUGACGUGCCGGCGAGGAGGAGCCGGUGAGGAGGGCCCCGGUGAGGAGAGGCCCCCGGAGGUGGAGCCGCCGACGGGGAGGGGCGGCCACCGUAGAGAGGGCCGCCGGAGAGGGACCUCCCGGGAGGGCCGGCCGCCGAGAUGGGGGGGCCGAGGUGGCCGGCACCCCUGCCGGCGGGGUGGAGGCCGAGAGGGGGCUCGCCGCGGAGAGAGGGGAGGAGCCGCCGGGGGGUGAGGGGGAUGAGGGGCCGCCGGGGGUGAGGGGGAUGAGGGAGGCGGCCGUGGGGAGGGGAGGCCGCCGGGGUAGGAGGAGGCGGUGGAGGGAGGAGGCCGGCGGGGGAGGGGGCUGCCGGCGGGGGGAAGGGCGGCCGCCGGUUGGGGAGGGAGAGGGGCGAGAUGGGGGGAGGCGAGAUGGGGGAGAGGGGCGACAGGAGGGAUGGGGCUCUCGUGGGGAGGGAGCCACGGGAGGUGGGAGGAGAUGGCGCGUGGGGUGGGGAGCGUCGGUGGUUGGGGUGGGGCCCCCCACGAGGGGGGGGGGGGGGCUGGCGGCGGCGGCGUGGGAAUGGGAGGGAGUUGGCGUGGGGGGGCUUGACCGCCAGGGGGGGCGUUAGGGUUCGGCCGGUUGGGCCCCUUUUGGCCCAGCUGGGCCGGCUGGGGGGGGGGGGCUUUCUCUCUUUCUUUUUUUGAUUUGUUUUUAUUUUGUUUUACCUUUUUCCUUUUCUUUUUAUUAAUCCUUUCUUUCAGUUUUCUUUUCUUUCUUUUAUUAUUAUUUCUUUAAUACUUUCCCUUACAUAUAUAUCCUUUUAACACUUGUAAUGAACCGAUAAAGUGCUUCCCUUUGCUUUCAAUUCAUCGAUCCGGACAGACGCGAAUCCACGCGGGUCUGAGAUGGGAAUUCGAUGACGUGGCAUCAUUAGCGGUUGAUCACUGUAGCUUAAUUACAAUCACUACUGUAGCAAAAGUCGAGGAUGUCACAAUUCUCCCCUACUAACAAGAAUUCUCGUCCCGAGAAUUAAGAGGUANNNNNNNNNNNNNNNNNNNNNNNNNNNNNNNNNNNNNNNNNNNNNNNNNNNNNNNNNNNNNNNNNNNNNNNNNNNNNNNNNNNNNNNNNNNNNNNNNNNNUGGCAUCAUGAGCUAGGUUCAUGCGUAGAUGUCUUCUCGAGUAGAACACAAAAAGUUUUGUGGGCGGUGAUGUGCGUUUUGCUGCCCUCCUUAGUCUUUUCUUGAUUCCGCGGUAUUGUUGGAUUGAAGCGGCUUGGACCGACAUUACUCGUACGCUUACGAGAGACUGGUUUCAUCGUGACGAGUAACCCCCUUUGCUCAAAGAUGACUGGCAAGUGACGGUUUCUCCAACUUUAGUUGAAUCGGAUUUGACCGAGGAGGUCCUUGGAUGAGGUUAAAUAGCAAUUCAUAUAUCUCCGUUGUGGUGUUUGCGUAAGUAAGAUGCGAUCCUACUAGAUACCCUUGGUCACCACGUAAAACAUGCAACAACAAAAUUAGAGGACGUCUAACUUGUUUUUGCAGGGUAUGAUUGUGAUGUGAUAUGGCCAAUGAUGUGAUGUGAUAUAUUGGAUGUAUGAGAUGAUCAUGUUGUAAUAGAAAUAUCGACUUGCACGUCGAUGGUACGGCAACCGGCAGGAGCCAUAGGGUUGUCUUUAUACUAACAUAUGUGCUUGCAGAUGCGUUUACUAUUUUGCUAGGAUGUAGCUUUAGUAGUAAUAGCAUAAGUAGCACGACAACCCAGAUGGCAACACAUUGAUGGAUGAUCAUGGUGUGGCGCCGGUGACAAGAAGAUCGUGCCGGUGCUUUGGUGAUGGAGAUCAAGAAGCACGUGAUGAUGGCCAUAUCAUGUCACUUAUGAAUUGCAUGUGAUGUUAAUCCUUUUAUGCACCUUAUUUUGCUUAGAACGACGGUAGCAUUAUAAGGUGAUCUCUCACUAAAAUUUCAAGACGAAAUUGUGUUCUCCCCGACUGUGCACCGUUGCUACAGUUCGUCGUUUCGAGACACCACGUGAUGAUCGGGUGUGAUAGACUCAACGUUCACAUACAACGGGUGCAAAACAGUUGCGCACGCGGAACACUCGGGUUAAGCUUGACGAGCCUAGCAUGUGCAGACAUGGCCUCGGAACACAUGAGACCGAAAGGUCGAUCAUGAAUCAUAUAGUUGAUAUGAUUAGCAUAGGGAUGCUUACCACUGAAACUACUCUCGACUCACGUGAUGAUCGGACUUGGGAUAGUGUAAGUGGAUCAUGAACCACUCAAAUGACUAGAGAGAUGUACUUUUUGAGUGGGAGUUUAGCAUAUAAUUUGAUUAAGUUGAACUCUAAUAAUCUUGAACAUAGUCUAAGUCCACUUUGAAUAUAUUUGUGUUGUAGAUCAUGGCUCACGCAAGUGUCAUCCUGAAUUUUAAUACGUUCCUAGAGAAAGCUAAGUUGAAAGAUGAUGGAAGCAACUUUGUAGACUGGGCUCGUAAUCUUAAGCUAAUCUUACAAGCUGGAAAGAAGGAUUAUGUCCUUAAUGCUGCGCUAGGAGAUGAACCACCCGCUACGGCUGAUCAGGAUGUUAAGAACGCUUGGUUAGCACGUAAGGAGGACUACUCAAUAGUUCAAUGUGCAGUCUUGUAUGGCUUAGAGCCGGGACUUCAACGUCGCUUUGAGCGUCAUGGAGCAUUUGAGAUGUUCCAGGAGUUGAAGUUUAUCUUUCAGAAGAACGCCCGGAUCGAGAGGUAUGAGACCUCCGAUAAAUUCUAUGCUUGCAAGAUGGAGGAAAACUCGUCUGUCAGUGAACAUGUGCUCAAAAUGUCUGGGUACUCAAACCGUCUAGCUGAACUGGGGAUUGAACUCCCGCAAGAAGCUAUCACUGACAGAAUCCUCCAAUCACUGCCGCCAAGCUAUAAAGGCUUUGUGUUGAACUACAACAUGCAAGGGAUGAACAAGUCUCCCGGCGAGUUGUUUGCGAUGCUGAAAGUCGCAGAGUCUGAACUCCGUAAAGAGCAUCAAGUGUUGAUGGUGAGCAAGACCACUAGUUUCAAGAGAAACGGCAAAGGCAAGAAGGGCAAUUCGAAGAAGAGCGGCAAGCCUGUUGCCAAUCCGCCGAAGAAACCCAAGGCUGGACCUAAGCCUGAAACAGAGUGCUUCUAUUGCAAGGGUAUGGGUCACUGGAAGCGCAAUUGCCCCAAGUAUCUGGCAGAUAAGAAGGCGGGCAAAGAAAAAUCAGGUAUAUUUGAUAUACAUGUUAUUAAUGUGUACUUAACCGGCUCUCGUAGUAGUGCCUGGGUAUUCGAUACCGGUUCUGUUGCUCACAUUUGCAACUCGAAGCAGGAACUGCGGAAUAGACGAAGGCUGGCGAAAGACGAAGUGACGAUGCGCGUAGGAAACGGUUCCAAGGUUGAUGCGAUCGCCGUCGGCACAGUGUCACUUCAACUACCAUCGGGAUUAGUGAUGAACUUAAAUCAUUGUUAUUUAGUGCCUGCGUUGAGCAUGAACAUUAUAUCUGGAUCUUGUUUAUUGCGAGACGGUUACUCUUUUAAGUCUGAUAAUAAUGGUUGUUCUAUUUCUAUGAGUAACAUCUUUUAUGGUCAUGCACCGAAUGUGAGAGGAUUGUUCAUAUUGAAUCUUGAUAGAGAUACGCAUAUACAUAACAUUGAGACCAAAAGAGUUAGAGUAAACAAUGAUAGCGCCAUAUUUUUGUGGCACUGCCGCUUAGGUCAUAUUGGUGUAAAGCGCAUGAAGAAACUCCAUGCUGAUGGACUUUUGGAGUCACUUGACUUUGAUUCACUUGACACGUGCGAACCUUGCCUCAUGGGCAAGAUGACUAAGACUCCGUUCUCCGGAACAAUGGAGCGUGCGAGUGACUUGUUGGAAAUCAUACAUACCGAUGUGUGUGGUCCAAUGAGCGUGGAGGCACGCGGCGGAUAUCGUUAUUUCCUCACCUUCACUGACGAUCUAAGUAGAUAUGGUUAUGUCUACUUGAUGAAGCACAAGUCUGAAACAUUUGAAAAGUUCAAGCAAUUUCAGAGUGAAGUGGAAAAUCAUCGUAACAAGAAGAUCAAGUUCCUACGGUCUGAUCGUGGGGGUGAAUAUCUGAGUUUCGAGUUUGGUACUCACUUAAGACAAUGUGGAAUUGUUUCGCAGUUAACACCGCCUGGAACACCACAGCGUAAUGGUGUGUCCGAACGUCGUAAUCGUACUUUGUUAGAGAUGGUGCGAUCUAUGAUGUCUCUUACUGAUUUGCCGUUAUCAUUUUGGGGUUAUGCAUUAGAAACAGCUGCAUUCACUUUAAAUAGGGCACCAUCAAAAUCCGUUGAGACGACACCAUACGAACUGUGGUAUGGCAAAAGACCAAAGUUGUCGUUUCUUAAAGUUUGGGGAUGUGAUGCUUAUGUCAAAAAGCUUCAGCCUGAAAAGCUGGAACCCAAAGCGGAAAAGUGCGUCUUCAUAGGUUACCCAAAGGAGACAGUUGGGUACACCUUCUAUCUCAAAUCCGAGGGCAAAGUGUUUGUUGCUAAAAACGGAACUUUUCUCGAGAAGGAGUUUCUCUCGAGAGAAUUGAGUGGGAGGAAGAUAGAACUUGACGAGGUUGUCGAACCUCUCAUCCCUCUGGAUGGUGGCGCAGGGCAAGGGGAAACCUCUGUCGUUGCGACGCCGGUUGAGGAGGAAGUUAAUGAUGAUGAUCAUGAAACUCCAGUUCAAGUGUCUGUUGAACCACGCAGGUCGACGAGAUCACGCGCUGCUCCAGAGUGGUACGGUAAUCCCGUCUUGUCAAUCAUGUUGUUAGACAACAAUGAACCUGCAAAUUAUGAAGAAGCAAUGGUGGGCCAAGAUUCCAACAAAUGGCUAGAAGCCAUGAAAUCCGAGAUAGGAUCCAUGUAUGAGAACAAAGUGUGGACUUUGGAGAUACUACCUGAAGGCCGCAAGGCUAUUCAGAACAAAUGGAUCUUUAAGAAGAAGACGGACGCUGACGGUAAUGUGACCGUUUAUAAAGCUCGACUUGUGGCAAAGGGUUUUUCACAAGUUCCAGGAGUUGACUACGAUGAGAUCUUCUCACCCGUAGCGAUGCUUAAGUCCGUCAGAAUCAUGUUAGCAAUAGCUGCGUUUUUCGAUUAUGAAAUCUGGCAGAUGGAUGUCAAAACGGCAUUCCUUAAUUGUUUCCUUAAGGAAGAGUUGUAUAUGAUGCAACCCGAAGGUUUUGUCGAUCCUAAAAAUGCUGACAAGGUGUGCAAGCUCCAGCGAUCCAUUUAUGGACUGGUGCAAGCAUCUCGGAGUUGGAACAAACGCUUUGAUGAGGUGAUCAAAGCAUUUGGGUUUAUACAAGUGGUUGGAGAAUCUUGUAUUUACAAGAAAGUGAGUGGGAGCUCUGUGGCGUUUCUAAUAUUAUAUGUGGAUGACAUAUUACUGAUUGGAAACAACGUAGAGUUUUUGGAGAGCAUAAAAGGUUACUUGAAUAAAAGUUUCUCUAUGAAGGACCUAGGAGAAGCUGCUUACAUUCUAGGCAUUAAGAUCUAUAGGGAUAGAUCAAAACGCCUGAUAGGACUUUCGCAAAGCACAUACCUUGAUAAAGUUUUGAAGAGGUUCAAAAUGGAACAGUCCAAGAAAGGGUUCUUGCCAGUGUUACAAGGUACGAGAUUGAGUAAGACUCAGUGCCCAGCAACUGAUGAAGAUAGAGAGCAUAUGCGCUCCGUCCCCUAUGCUUCAGCCAUAGGCUCUAUCAUGUAUGCAAUGCUGUGCACUAGACCGGAUGUUUGCCUGGCCAUAAGUAUGGCGGGUAGGUUCCAGAGUAAUCCAGGAGUGGAUCACUGGACGGCGGUCAAGAAUAUCCUGAAGUACCUGAAAAGGACUAAGGAGAUGUUUCUCGUGUAUGGAGGUGACGAAGAGCUCGCCGUAAAAGGUUACGUCGGUGCAAGCUUUGACACAGAUCCGGACGACUCUAAGUCGCAAACCGGAUACGUAUUUAUUCUUAAUGGGGGUGCAGUAAGCUGGUGCAGUUCCAAGCAAAGCGUCGUAGCAGAUUCUACAUGUGAAGCGGAGUACAUGGCUGCCUCGGAGGCGGCUAAGGAGGGUGUCUAGAUGAAGCAGUUCAUGACGGAUCUUGGAGUGUUGCCAAGUGCACUGGAUCCAAUAACCUUGUUCUGUGACAACACUGGUGCCAUUGCCUUAGCAAAGGAACCAAGGUUUCACAAGAAGACCAGACACAUCAAACGGCGCUUCAACCUCAUCCGCGACUACGUCGAGGAGGAGGACGUAAAUAUAUGCAAAGUGCACACGGAUCUGAAUGUAGCAGACCCGCUGACUAAACCUCUUCCACGGCCAAAACAUGAUCGACACCAGAACUGUAUGGGUGUUAGAUUUAUUACAAUGUAAUUCACAUGGUGAUGUGAGGGCUAGAUUAUUGACUCUAGUGCAAGUGGGAGACUGUUGGAAUUAUGCCCUAGAGGCAAUAAUAAAUGUAUAGUUAUUAUUAUAAUUCCUGUAUCAAGAUAAUAGUUUAUUAUCCAUGCUAUAAUUGUAUUGAAUGAAGACUCAUUUACAUGUGUGGAUACAUAGACAAAACACCGUCCCUAGCAUGCCUCUAGUUGGCUAGCCAGUUGAUCGAUGAUAGUCAGUGUCUUCUGAUUAUGAACAAGGUGUUGUUGCUUGAUAACUGGAUCACAUCAUUGGGAGAAUCACGUGAUGGACUAGACCCAAACUAAUAGACGUAGCAUGUUGAUCGUGUCAUUUUGUUGCUACUGUUUUCUGCAUUUCAAGUAUUUAUUCCUAUGACCAUGAGAUCAUAUAACUCACUGACACCGGAGGAAUGCUUUGUGUGUAUCAAACGUCGCAACGUAACUGGGUGACUAUAAAGGUGCUCUACAGGUAUCUCCGAAGGUGUUAGUUGAGUUAGUAUGGAUCAAGAAUGGGAUUUGUCACUCCGUGUGACGGAGAGGUAUCUCGGGGCCCACUCGGUAAUACAACAUCACACAUAAGCCUUGCAAGCAAUGUAACUUAGUGUAAGUUGCGGGAUCUUGUAUUACGAAACGAGUAAAGAGACUUGCCGGUAAACGAGGUUGAAAUAGGUAUACGGAUACUGACGAUCGAAUCUCGGGCAAGUAACAUACCGAAGGACAAAGGGAAUGACAUACGGGAUUAUACGAAUCCUUGACACUGAGGUUCAAACAAUAAGAUCUUCGUAGAAUAUGUAGGAUCCAAUAUGUGCAUCCAGGUCCCGCUGUUGGAUAUUGACCGAGGAGUCUCUCGGGUCAUGUCUACAUAGUUCUCGAACCCGCAGGGUCUGCACACUUAAGGUUCGACGUUGUUUUAUGCGUAUUUGAGUUAUAUGGUUGGUUACCGAAUGUUGUUCGGAGUCCCGGAUGAGAUCAUGGACGUCACGAGGGUUUCCGGAAUAGUCCGGAAACGAAGAUUGAUAUAUAGGAUGACCUCAUUUGAUUACCGGAAGGUUUUCGGAGUUACCGGGAAUGUACCGGGAAUGACGAAUGGGUUCCGGGAGUUCACCGGAGGGGGGCAACCCACUCCGGGGAAGCCCAUAGGCAUUUGGGGGGGGGUCACACCAGCCCUUAGUGGGCUGGUGGGACAGCCCACCAAUCCCCUAUGCGCCAAGAAAGAAAAAAUCAAAGGAAAGAAAAAAAAGGAAGAAGUGGGAAAGGGGAAGGACUCCCUCCCACCAAACCAAGUAGGACUCGGUUGGGGGGGGGAGAGUCCUCCCCCCUGGCUCGGCCGACCCCUUGGGGAUCCCUUGGACCCCAAGGCAAGGUCCCCCUCCCUCCUCCUAUAUAUAUGGGCUUUUAGGGCAGAUUUGAGACGACUUCCUCACGGCUGUCCGACCACAUACCUCCAUAGUUUUUCCUCUAGAUCGUGUUUCUGCGGAGCUCGGGCGGAGCCCUGCUGAGACAAGAUCAUCACCAACCUCCGGAGCGCCGUCACGCUGCCGGAGAACUCUUCUACCUCUCCGUCUCUCUUGCUGGAUCAAGAAGGCCGAGAUCAUUGUCGAGCUGUACGUGUGCUGAACGCGGAGGUGCCGUCCGUUCGGUACUAGAUCGUGGGACUGAUCGCGGGAUUGUUCGCGGGGCGGAUCGAGGGACGUGAGGACGUUCCACUACAUCAACCGCGUUCUCUAACGCUUCUGCUGUACGAUCUACGAGGGUACGUAGAUCACUCAUCCCUUCUCGUAGAUGGACAUCACCAUGAUAGGUCUUCGUGCGCGUAGGAAAAUUUUUGUUUCCCAUGCGACGUUCCCCAACAGUGGUAUCAGAGCUAGGUUCAUGCGUAGAUGUCUUCUCGAGUAGAACAUAAAAGGUUUUGUGGGCGGUGAUGUGCGUUUUGCUGCCCUCCUUAGUCUUUUCUUGAUUCCGCGGUAUUGUUGGAUUGAAGCGGCUUGGACCGACAUUACUCGUACGCUUACGAGAGACUGGUUUCAUCGCUACGAGUAACUCCGUUGCUCAAAGAUGACUGGCGGGUGUCAGUUUGUCCAACUUUAGUUGAAUCGGAAUUGACCGAGGAGGUCCUUGGAUGAGGUUAAAUAGCAAUUCAUAUAUCUCCGUUGUGGUGUUUGCGGAAGUAAGAUGCGAUCCUACUAGAUACCCAUGGUCACCACGUAAAACAUGCAACAACAAAAUUAGAGGACGUCUAACUUGUUUUUGCAGGGUAUGCUUGUGAUGUGAUAUGGACAACGAUGUGAUGUGAUAUAUUGGAUGUAUGAGAUGAUCAUGUUGUAAUAGUAAAUAUCGACUUGCACGUCGAUGGUACGGCAACCGACAGGAGCCAUAGGGUUGUCUUUAAACUAACGUUUGUGCUUGCAGAUGCGUUUACUAUUUUGCUAGGAUGUAGCUUUAGUAGUAAUAGCAUGAGUAGCACGACAACCCCGAUGGCGACACAUUGAUGGAGAUCAUGAUGAUGGAGAUCAUAGUGUGACGCCGGUGACAAGAAGAUCGUGCCGAUGCUUUGGUGAUGGAGAUCAAGGAGCACGUGAUUAUGGCCAUAUCAUGUCACUUAUGAAUUGCAUGUGAUGUUAAUCCUUUUAUGCACCUUAUCUUGCUUAGAACGACGGUAGCAUUAUGAGGUGAUCUCUCACAAAAAUUUCAAGACGAAAUUGUGUUCUCCCCGACUGUGCACCGUUGCGACAGUUCUUCGUUUCGAGACACCACGUGAUGAUCGGGUGUGAUAGACUCAACGUUCACAUACAACGGGUGCAAAACAGUUGCGCACGCGGAACACUCGGGUUAAGCUUGACAAGCCUAGCAUGUGCAGACAUGGCCUCGGAACACAUGAGACCGAAAGGUCGAGCAUGAAUCGUAUAGUUGAUAUGAUUAGCAUAGGGAUGCUUACCACUGAAACUAUUCUCGACUCACGUGAUGAUCGGACUUGAGAUAGUGGAUUUGGAUCAUGUACCACUCAAAUGACUAGAGAGAUGUACUUUUUGAGUGGGAUUUCUUAAGUAAUAUGAUUAAUUGAACUAAUUGUCAUGAACAUAGUCUAAUGGUCUUUGCGAAUUACGAUGUAGCUUGCGCUAUAGCUCUGCUGUUUUUUAUAUGUUCCUAGAGAAAAUUUAGUUAAAAAUUGAUAGUAGCAAACUUUGCAGACUGAGUCUGUAAAACCGAGGAUUGUCCUCGUUGCUACGCAGAAGGCUUAUGUCCUUAAUGCACCACUCGGUGUGCUGCACCUCGAGCGUCAUCUAAGGAUGCUGUGAACAUCCGACAUACACGUUUCUAAUGACUACACGAUAGUUCAAUGCGAAAUACUUAAUGGCUUAGAAGCAAGGCGCCGAAAACGUUGUAAAACGUCACGGAACAUAAGUGAUGUUCUAAAGAGAUGAAAUUGUGAUUUCAUGCUUGUGCCCUUGUUAAGAGGUAUGAGACCUCCAACAAGAUUCUUUGUCCACAAAGUAAAGUAGAAAAGCUCAAUCGUUGAGCGUGUGCUCAGAUUGUCUGAGUACGACGGUCACUUGAAUCAAGUGGGAGUUAAUCUUCCAGAUGAGAUAGUGAUAGUUCUCCAAAGUCACUGCCACCAAGCUGUGAGAGCUUCGUGAUCAACUAUAACAUAUCAAGGAUACAUGCAAUGAUCCUUGAGCGAUUUGCGAUGUUUGACACUGCGAAAGUAGAAGUCAAGAAGGAGCAUCAAUAGUUGAUGGUUUUAAAACCACUAAGUUUCAAGAAAGGCAAGGGCUAGAAGGGAUACUUCGUGAAACGGCAAAACAGUUGCUGCACUAAUGAAGAGACCCAAGAUUAAACCCAAACCCGAGACUAAGUGCUUCUGUAAUGAGGGGAACAGUCACUGAGGCGGAGAAACUCUAGAUACUUGGUAGAUAAGAAGGCUGGCGAAAGUCGAAAGAAGUGUAUUUGAUAUACAUGAUGUUGAUGUGUACUUUACUAGUACUCCUAGUAGCAUGAGGGUAUUGGAUACCGGUUCACUUGCUAAGUGAUUAGUAACACGAAAUGAAAGCUACGGCAUAAACGGAGACUAGCUAAAGGCGAGGUGACGAUACGUGUUGGAAGUGUUUCCAAGGUUGAUAUGAUCAAACGUCGCACGCUCCCUCUACCAUCGGGAUUGGUGUUAAACCUAAAUAAUUGUUAUUUGGUGCUUGCGUUAAACAUGAACAUGAUUGGAUCGUGUUUAUUGCAAUACGAUUAUUCAUUUAAGGAGAAUAAUGGUUACUCUAUUUUCUUGAAUAUUCACCUUCAAUGGUUUAUUGAAUCUCGAUCGUAGUGUUACACAUGUUCAUGAUAUUGGUGCCAAAAGAUACGAGUUAAUGAUGAUAGUACCACUUACUUGUGGCACUGCCGCUUGAGUCAUGUUAGUAUAAAUUGCAUGAAGAGGCUCCAUGCUGAUGGAUCUUUGUACUCACCUGAUUUCGAAUCACUAGUGACAUGCAAAUCAUACCACAUGAGCAAGGCCUUGUUUUCAUUGAGAUGAAAUAAGAUAGUAACUUGUUGGAAGUGAUACAUUUUGAUGUAUGCAGUCCAAUGGGUGCUGAGGCACGCAGUGGAUAUCAUUAUGUUCUUACUUCACUGACGAUUUGAGUAGAUACUGGAGUAUUUACUUAAUGAAUCACAAGUCUGAAAUGUUGAAAAGUUCAAUUCCGUUUCAGAGUGAAGUUCGUCGUAACAAGAGGAUAAACUAUCUACGAUAUGAUCAUAGAAAUGAAUGUCUGAGUUACGAGUUUUGGUACGCAGUUAAGACAAUGUGGAAAUUGUUUCGCAGUUCAUGCCACCUGGAACAUCAUAGUGUGAUGAUGUGUCUAAACGUCAUAGCCACGCACUAUUGGGUAUGGUGCAUGCUAUGAUAUCUCUUAUCGAAUUACCACUAUCGUUUAUGGGUUAUGCAUUAGAGACAACCGCAUUCACUUUAAAAUAGGGCACCGCGUAUUUCCGUUGAGAUGACAGAGUAUAGACUAAGGUUUAGAGAAAUCUAAACUGUCGUUUCUUGAAAGUUUGGGGCUUCGACACUUAUGUGAAAAAGGUUUCAGUCUGAUAAGCUCGAACCCAAAGCGGAUAAAUGCAUCUUCAUAGGAUAUCCAAAACAGUUGGGUACAUCUCCUAUCUCAGAUCCGAAAGCAAAAUGUUUGUUUCUAGAAACGGAUCCUUUCUCGAGGAAAGGUUUCUCUCGAAAAAAUUGAGUGGGAGGGUAGUAGAACUUGAUGAGGUUAUUGAACCAUCACUUCAACCAGUGUGUAGCAGGGCGCAGGAAGUUGUUCCUGUGGCGCCUACACCAAUUGAAGUGGAAGCUGAUGAUGGUGAUCAUCAAGCAUCGGAUCAUGUUACUACAAGCCUCGUAGGUUGACUAGGUCGCGUACUACUACAGAGUGGUACGGUAACCCUGUAUUGGAGGUCAUGUUGUUGAGCAACAGUGAACCUACGAGUUAUGGAGAAAGCGUUGGUGGGCCCAGAUUCCGACAAAUGGCUGGAAGCCAUGAAAUUCGAGAGAGGAUCCAUGUAUGAAAACAAAGUGUAGACUUUGGAAAGAACUACUUGAUGGUCAUAAGACUAUUGAGUAAAAAUGGAUCUUUAAAAGAAGACAAACAAUGAUGGUGAUAAGUCACUAUUAAGAAAAGCUCGACUUGUCGCAAAGAUGUUUUCGACAAGAUCAAACAGUUGACUAUGAUGAGACUUUCUCACUCGUAGCGGUGCUAAAGGUUUGUUAGAAUUAUGUUAGUUGUUGAUGCAUUAUUUAUGAAAUAUUGCACGUAGGAUGUCAAAACAUUGUUUCCUCGACGGUUUCCUUGAGCAAACAUUGUAUGUGAUACAACCAGAAGGUUUUGUCGAUCCUAAAGAUACUAGCAAGUAUGCAAGCUCCAGUGAUCCUUCAAUGGACUGGUGCAAGCAUCUCAGAGUUGGAAUAUACACUUUGAUGAGAUGAUCAAAGAUUUUGGGUUUGUACAAGGUUUAUGAGAAACUUGCAUUUCCAAAGAAGUGAGUGGGAGCACUAUAGAAUUUCGGAUAAGUGUAUGUGGUAGACAUAUUGUUGAUCAGAAGUAAUGUAGAAUUUCUGUAAAGCAUAUAAGCUUGUUUGAAAGGAGUUUUCAAAGGAAUACCUGGAUUGCGCUACUUGAACGUUGAGCAUCAAAGAUCUAUGGAGAUAGAUCAAAAGGCGCUUAAUGAAAGUUUCAACAAAAUGCAUGCCUUGACAAGUUUUUGAAGGAGUUCAAAAUAGAUCAACAAAGAAGGAGUUCUUGGUUGCGUUGUAAGGUGUGAAUUUGAGUAAGACUCAAAACCCGACCACGGCAGAAUAAAGAGAAUAGACGAAGGUCGUCUUCUAUGGCUUAGCCGUAGACUCUAAAGUAUGCCAUGCUGAGUACCGCACAUGAUGUGUGCCUUGCAGCAAGUCUGUUAAGAGGUACACAGAGUGAUCCAGGAUUGAAUCACUGAUCAGCGGUCAAAGUUAUCCUUAGUAACUAAAUGGACUAAGGAAUUUUUCUCGAUUAUGGAGGUGGUUAAAGAGUUCGUCAUAAGGGGUUACGUCGAUGCAAGCUUUGACACUAAUCCGAAUAACUAUGAGUAGUGAAACGGAUUCGUAUAGUAGAGUAGAUAUUUGGAGUAUUUCCGAAUAGUAUAUAGUAGCAACAUCUAUAAGAUGAAAUAAAGAUUUAUAAAGAACACACGGAUCUGAAAGUUACAGAACCGUUGACUAAAACCUCUCUCACGAGUAAGACGUGAUCAGACCCCAUAACUAUAUGGGUGUUGGAUUCGUUGGAGUCACAUGGUGAUGUGAACUAGAUUAUUGACUCUAGUGCAAGUGGGAGACNNNNNNNNNNNNNNNNNNNNNNNNNNNNNNNNNNNNNNNNNNNNNNNNNNNNNNNNNNNNNNNNNNNNNNNNNNNNNNNNNNNNNNNNNNNNNNNNNNNNUUGACUAGCUCGUUGAUCAAAGAAUGGUCAAGGUUUCCUGGCCAUAGGCAAGUGUUGUCACUUGAUAAUGGGAUCACAUCAUUAGGAGAAUCAUGUGAUGGACUAGACCCAAACUAAUAAACGUAGCAUGUUGAUCGUGUCAUUUUGUUGCUACUGUUUUCUGCGUGUCAAGUAUUUAUUCCUAUGACCAUGAGAUCAUAUAACUCACUGACACCGGAGGAAUGCUUUGUGUGUAUCAAACGUCGCAACGUAACUGGGUGACUAUAAAGAUGCUCUACAGGUAUCUCCGAAGGUGUUAGUUGAGUUAGUAUGGAUCGAGACUGGGAUUUGUCACUCUGUGUGAACGGAGAGGUAUCUCGGGGCCCACUCGGUAAUACAACAUCACACACAAGCCUUGCAAGCAAUGUGACUUAGUGUAAGUUGCGGGAUCUUGUAUUACGGAACGAGUAAAGAGACUUGCCGGUAAACGAGAUUGAAAUAGGUAUGCGGAUACUGACGAUCGAAUCUCGGGCAAGUAACGUACCGAAGGACAAAGGGAAUGACAUACGGGAUUAUACGAAUCCUUGGCACUGAGGUUCAAACGAUAAAGAUCUUCGUAGAAUAUGUAGGAUCCAAUAUGGGCAUCCAGGUCCCGCUGUUGGAUAUUGACCGAGGAGUCUCUCGGGUCAUGUCUACAUAGUUCUCGAACCCGCAGGGUCUGCACACUUAAGGUUCGACGUUGUUUUAUGCGUAUUUGAGUUAUAUGGUUGGUUACCGAAUGUUGUUCGGAGUCCCGGAUGAGAUCACGGACGUCACGAGGGUUUCCGGAAUAGUCCGGAAACGAAGAUUGAUAUAUAGGAUGACCUCAUUUGAUUACCGGAAGGUUUUCGGAGUUACCGGGAAUGUACCGGGAAUGACGAAUGGGUUCCGGGAGUUCACCGGAGGGGGGCAACCCACUCCGGGGAAGCCCAUAGGCAUUUGGGGGGGGUCACACCAGCCCUUAGUGGGCUGGUGGGACAGCCCACCAAUCCCCUAUGCGCCAAGAAAGAAAAAAUCAAAGGAAAGAAAAAAAAGGAAGAAGUGGGAAAGGGGAAGGACUCCCUCCCACCAAACCAAGUAGGACUCGGUUUGGGGGGGGGGGGAGAGUCCUCCCCCCUGGCUCGGCCGACCCCUUGGGGAGCCCUUGGACCCCAAGGCAAGGUCCCCCUCCCUCCUCCUAUAUAUAUGGGGCUUUUAGGGCAGAUUUGAGACGACUUCCUCACGGCUGCCCGACCACAUACCUCCAUAGUUUUUCCUCUAGAUCGUGUUUCUGCGGAGCUCGGGCGGAGCCCUGCUGAGACAAGAUCAUCACCAACCUCCGGAGCGCCGUCACGCUGCCGGAGAACUCUUCUACCUCUCCGUCUCUCUUGCUGGAUCAAGAAGGCCGAGAUCAUCGUCGAGCUGUACGUGUGCUGAACGCGGAGGUGCCGUCCGUUCGGUACUAGAUCGUGGGACUGAUCGCGGGAUUGUUCGCGGGGCGGAUCGAGGGACGUGAGGACGUUCCACUACAUCAACCGCGUUCUCUAACGCUUCUGGUGUACGAUCUACGAGGGUACGUAGAUCACUCAUCCCCUCUCGUAGAUGGACAUCACCAUGAUAGGUCUUCGUGCGCGUAGGAAAAUUUUUGUUUCCCAUGCGACGUUCCCCAACAAAGGCAUCGUACCUGAACCACUCUGUGAUGAGUGGGAAGUGAGAGCAGGAAAUUGGUUCCUUGCGCAUGGUGGGUCGUACGAUGAAAAAAUAGGGGACCUCAUCUGCCCUGACAAUCUUAGGAUACCCAGGGAUAAUUGGAUAAGGAUAGUGAAAGAAAUUAAGGAGGGACAAAGAAAGUUCACUGCAGAUAGAGAUAAAGAUUUGCUCACACUGGUCCUCGGCAAUGACGAACAUGGAGGACGAACGCGAGGCUUCGGUCCAUCUUACCCGUGGUGGCUUGGGUUUGCCAGAGACCAAGACACUUACAGAAGCCGAGAGAGAGCAAAGAAGCGACAGCAGGAUGAGGAGAAUGACAAGUUCAACCAGUUGCUUGCCAGGAUUAACGAGCAACAGAAGCAGAUUGAUAAGCUUAGAGGAGUACCGCGCCAGAAAGAUCCUGCACUUGAUAUUACCGGCGCCCCAUCUAAGCGGAAAAGCAGCGUGGCCGAAUCUGAGGCCCCGCCCGGCGAUGAACGAAGAACAAUACAGGGUGGUCCCGGCUACCCCGUGGAUGGAAUCAAGGAGUCAACAUCAUGUGAACUCCAUCAGAAAUUCAAGAACAUAUCCAUGAAGGUGGUUGUUGGACAAGCUUUACCUUCUGACCCUGAUGCACGCUCGCAUGGCUGUGAGAUUCCAGCUGGCUUUGCUAAAGUCGGGGUGGAUGAAAUCAUGACGGGGUUUAGUGAUAUGGAGCUCGACAUAGCUGGACCCGAAGAUGAGAGGACACUCGGAGAAGUACUGGGUGGAGUCAUCCUAUGACAAGAACUACAUCAAGCUUCCAAGCUCGGCCCCAAGGACAACACCGCCUCCGAGUCGUCGCAGGGCACCUACACCUCCAUUACCUCCAAGUCCUCCACAUGACGUCGGCCAGCACAACACGAGUCCAUCUCUAUCUCCGCCGUCGCCCGCUCCGGAUACAAAGCCUGAGCCUGCCACGGAUACAAAGCGGGAGCGUGCCACCAAGAACGCUCCGCCGCCGCCCGCUCCGGAUACAAAGCCUGAGCCUGCCACGGAUACAAAGCGGGAGCGUGCCACCAAGAACGCUCCRCCGCMGCCCGCUCCGGAUACAAAGNNNNNNNNNNNNNNNNNNNNNNNNNNNNNNNNNNNNNNNNNNNNNNNNNNNNNNNNNNNNNNNNNNNNNNNNNNNNNNNNNNNNNNNNNNNNNNNNNNNNUUGUGUUUAUGGCACAUCAUUUACCCAAGAAUCAAAUAGCAUAGAAUUCCAACAAGUGAUUGAAACUGGUUGAGAUCAUGGAAGAACCAACAGGCACCCAAAAGUUCGCACAGAACGUGGUUGUUAUUAUUACGAAUAAUUGGUGACACUUUGUUGGGCGUGGAGUAUUUGAAUAGUAUUUAAAUAGCGCAAUUCUAAUGUAUAUUUCAUGCAAAAUUUCCAGUAUUCAUUUUAAAUUAUUUUUCCUAUUUUCUUUAUUCUUAAAUGGUAAUACAAUUCCACUAAAUCAUUCUUUCUUAGGAGAUUUAAUUAUAAUGAUUUUUUACUUACUUAUUUAUUCUUAAGUGGUAGUACCAGUAGACACGUUUUUUUCUGAAAUUUCAGUAGUGUAUAUAUAUAUACACAAUAAUGUAUAUAUUUAUUUAUUCUUAAAUUUCAAUAUUGUAUAAAUUGUGUGUGAAUUUUACAUUAUUUACUUUUGUUGUUUUCACUUUCUUUUCUCUUAAAUAUUAAUACCUAAUUCAUUCCAUCUUAGAAAACAUUUUUUUAUAUAUUUUUGUGUGUGUAAGUAUAAAUGCAAGUGUUGAAUAAUGUGAGAUUAUAUUAGAAUGCAUAAAUUGCACAGUUAUAUGCUUAUUGUUUGCAUAUUUUCAAAGUGCAAUUUCAGUGCAAAGUUGUGUAGUUUUGAAAUGUUUUUAGUUUUUUCCUUCUUAAAUGGUUUCAUUAUUUCUAAGAAAACUUUAUUGUUUUAGUUUUGUUUGGUUUUUCUAUUUUGAUUUUAUUUCUUCUUAAAGGGAUACAUUAUUUAUGAGAAAACUUCAUUAUUUUAGUUUUUUUUGGUUCUUUUGUAAGGGUAAUAUCAAUGCCAUGAGUUCAUUCUUUCGUAGAAAACUUGGCUUUGUUUCUAGUUUUUAUUUCAUGAAGUUGCGAAAGACAGAUAUUUCUAAUGUAUGGUUAAUGUAUGGAAAUUAAAAGAUUGACUAUUGUGUGGAUGUCUUGAUUACUGAAGCAGUGGCUCUCAAAUUCGGUCUAACACUAGAAAGGGCGGAAUGCAAUCGUCUCAUUAUUAACUCGGAAAAUAUAGACGUGCUUGAUAUCAUGAAAGAUGGAGGAUGAUCGGUGGGUGCGGCCGCGGCGGCGGCAAUCUUCGAUGAUUGUUUUUAUUAUGCACGUGAUUUUGUAAUUAGUGGAGUUGGACAUUGUAAAAGAAAAGCAAAUAAAGUUGUUUAUGCGCUCGAGACUAGACAUGGUUUGAGGAACCUUUAAAUGGAACUGUAAUGAUACGGUGUACUCCCUUCGCCCUAAUAUAACUGUUUCAAGUUACUAGAGCUUUAUAUUGGAGCUACUCCCUACGUUCCAUAAUAUAAGUCUUUUUAGCGAUUUUAUUAAAGGACUACAUACGGAUGUAUAUAGACAUGCUUUAGAGUGUAGAUUCAUUCAUUUUGCUUCGUAUGUAGUCCCUUAGAACAGAGGGAGUAUUAUAAAAUUAAGACGGUUAAUUUGAGACGGAGGGAGUAUGGGUUAUUUUAAUGGAUAAAGUUUUUUGCUUUGAUUUUUCUUUGAAGUAAGAAGAAGAGAGCUACACGGGAGAUUAGAACCCGCGGGCGUUUCGCUGGUGAAACGCCCACACCAGCCUGGCAGCAGGCCAACUUGUGCCGUGGGGAGCUAUGUCUAUGUGCUGUGCAGCAGUAGCGCUGCGCGGUUGCCCGCUCGAUGGGUGCCUGCGGGCACGAGCAGGCCAACUGCUGCGCUGCUGUACAUACUACAACCGCACCAUUGUCCUGUCCCCGGACGGCGACGGCGACGGCGACGGCCGGACGGACGGUUCCCCUUGGCCCUCCGACGCCGACGGGCCCGUACGUGCUGCCUUUUGGGGCGGGCAGAACGGCGUCGCGGCCAGCCAGGGAAUAUUCCUCGUCUUUCUCCCUCCCUGGGCUACUCGAUCAUCGCUUGCUGCCGCGGGUAUCGCCGCCGCCCGCGUGCGAGCGCACGGCUCCGUCCGUCACCCCGGCCGGGCCGCGACGUGCCUUGUUUGUGUUGUUGUCUAGGCGCUCGCGGUCACCGCGGUGGCUCCGUCGACCGAUCACGACCAGCCGUGCCGUGGUGGCGCAGCGGCGGACCGGCCGAGCCCGCCUCACCAUGCAUCCUUUCUCGCAUUGGGCAGUGGGGCCGACGACGGCGCACCGUCGAAACGAAAUCGUCUCCUCUCCACUCUCCAGCAAGUGGUACCCCCGAUUCUCUCUCUCUCUCUCUCUCUCUCUCUCUCAAAAGAAAAGAAGAAAGGUGGUACCCCCGCUGCUUGAUAUUAUUCUCCCUUUCUCAGAUCCAAAUAGACUACUUUUGAACUAGCGCUAGCGCUACUGCCUCCUACUGUAUUAUUCCUAUUCCUUCCUUGCUCCUAGUAGACCUCGUCCUACUCUUCAGUGGGGCCGGCGUACUGGUACGGACCACACUACCUCUCGUUUACGACUACUACGGCGUGCAUGGACAUUAGGCCAAUUCCAAAGCAGUGACGCAUUUUCUCCCUUUGGAUCCCUUCAGAUUUCGUAAGGCCAUCUGCAGCCGUAACAUGUAAAUUUGAAUCCUCAAACGUCCGCGAACGCGACGACUUUAAUUCUACCAUUUGCAAUCACAAUUCUUGUUUUCAAAAAGGGUUUACGUGUAAAACAUGCACGUGAAUCAUUACGUUCGUGUUGGGCAAACAGGACACCGAAUAAAAUUCUUACACUUUAGAUUUCUACAUCCGGAUUGGCCAAACGGGUUUUGGAUGUUUUUUAAUCCAACGGAUCGCCUCAGGAGCUAAUCGAUCGGUUUAAAUAGUCGGGUUAUCAAAAAAAAAGAAGUUUCGGUCACUAUUGUGUCCAUUGUGAACUAAAUGGACUAGCACUCACAACGCGCACAAAACCCGAAGCCAAAACCCCACUACUGUGCCCUUUUUGAACUAAAUAGACUAGCACUCACGGCGGGCACAAAACCCGAAGCCAGUUGCCGAAUAAUCCGAACCCGAAAUACCCGAUCACUAUAUCGGGUAUCAAUUUUGGAAACCCGAAUUUAAUUUUGGUAAUUCGGAUAAUAGGCCACGGUACCCAGAUUACCCGAAUAGCCCGAAUUAUUUGACAGCCCAGUAAAAAUGCUCCACGCAUGGAGAAGGCCCAACCCAAAAACUGCCAUCACUACUCGCUUCCCAGCAAAAUCUAGGUCGGGUCACCAGCCGCCAGGUCACUCGAUCGUGGUAUCGUUUCCUUCUUCCUUUCUCCUAAUGCACAUGCGCUACUCGGUUGUACGACGGCCACCACGACGCAUGGGUGCCACUCAGCUCCAAUCCUCCACCUUCCUAUUGUGGUGCAACAUUGUGCCGCGCCGGACGAUCUUCCUCGAGCCUCGAGGGCGUGCACAAGUGCAGCUCCGCGUCCAAUCCAUCCGCCUACCGACCUCCUGUGAUGUGAAGUUCUUCUCCUAUUCAUGUAAUUCAAGAAAACCCGAACCCGAAUUUUCGGGUACCCGAAUUAUCACAUACUGAUAUUUUUGGCAAUAUUUCGGGUUUCAUUUUUCAUAACCCGAAUUUUCAAAAACCUGAACUACCUUUCGGGUAACCCGAACGCCCAGCCUGAAUUAGCACUGUGAAUCCUUUCAGCUUAUAACAAAGAAGAUCCAUAUGCAUGAUCUAUCUCUUUCACAAAUGGAAUAUUGAUAUUUGCACACGUUCUUUUCAUAUUACGAAAUAUGUUGGCACGACUCUUUUUGAAUAACACUCCUUCUGUACCAUAAUACUAUAAUUAUUAUGAUAUAGAGGGAGUAAAAUAAAAAAAACUCUUUCAUUGUAGUAGAGCUAUCAAUGAACAUGAAUGAGAUGAAUCUGGCACUUAAUUUAUAAUUAUGAGUUGAUGAAAUGCAAUCUAGUGUCGUGUUACCUCAUUCACACAUCAUGAAUCGAUUGACCUAUGCAAUUAACAGAGAAGUUUGAUGCCACCCGCCGGUGCGCUAUUUAAGCCGGUCAGCAUUUGGCUGGCGCUGCAGAAGCACGCAAGGCCAACUCCUCUUCGAAUGGUUGUAGGUGGGACCACUAUGAAAUGAAACAGGGUGCCCGCUUGGGUCCGGGCGCCCUCAUAUCGUCCCUACAUUUGAUCCCAGUUUGAAGGUGUCGGUCAGUCCGGGCGUAUAGUGACGGUGAGUGGUCCGGUUAGGAUAAUUUUUUUACGGAGCAUUGACGAGACGAGCGUUGUAGAUAUUUUAAAAGGAAAUGUGGGGUCCGAAUGUAGAUGCUCUAGGGAUAAAUUGUGUGGCUCAACGUGCCGAGGUAAAUAGACGGAUGUCCAUCAUUUGUUCGCUUAGACUGAUUUUCGGCUCAAAUUUGGGUCAGGUUUGCACCCGCGUGGACAUGCGUCGGGCGCAUGCGACCUUCUCUGCAUGACCGCCCAUGACCGUUUUGUAUGUGGCACACCGUCUUCAUUUUUAUUAUCCCUCCCUCGUUUUCCUGCCAUGGCCGACACGCCUAACCCCUUCCAGGCCACCCCUAUCCCCAUCGUGGUUACCCAGGUUGUGGCCCCGAAGAAACCGAUAAAGGAGAUCACCUCGGAGUAUAGGGCAGCUGAUGAUCCAGAAGUAUAAAGGAUGCAAUAAUCUUUAAGAACAGUAUUUGGUUCAAAUUUAUUGAUUCGAUGCAAGGAAAGUCAAAGAAUAUUUAUAAGCCUUAUCGGUUGAGUUGUCAAUUCCAUCACACCCGGCAUUCACUUUCUUGCAACAAUUUAUUAGUAGCACAAUAAUAUUUUCGGAACGAUAUCAAUAAUAAUGGCAACAGUAGCAAUAGCAACAAUAAUAACAAAUUUAUACCAACAAAGUAAUAGUAACUUGAGCAAAGACAUUAGGAUAAAAGCGUAAGCAUGAAGUGGCCAUGGAUACUUAGAAGAGAUUUAUUGUGUAGUAUAAAAUGUUAGGGUUUAUUGGUGUGACGUUCUGGAGAACGACAACGCUUCUUCUCAAGUUUCUCUUCUCAGCUUCGAUCCCCUUAAAAUUCGUUCAUUUGAACGUAGUCCACAGAACUCCGACGUAGAUUAUGGUUUCUCAUCAUGCAGCGAUAUUUUAUUGUUUUCGAACCGAGCUUCUCCCCUUUCCAUUAUAUAGCAUAACGGAAAUACAAAGUUUUCUCCGAACCAGAAAUAGAGAAAGGGAAAGGAAAGAAGCGAGUUCGGAGCAAUACCAGGAAACCCACCGUCUGCGCCUGUCAUCAGGAACACAAACUAUGGGGUGAAAACCUGGAGUAUCACCCUAAACCGCCUAGAACAGAAGAUACUACCACCACAUAGUAUCACAAAAGACCCUACCAGACCAACAUAACCAAACAACAAGUACUUAACAGACCACUCUAGGUCAACAGGCAUAUAAAGGCAAGCCAAUGGAACAUCUCCAGCUUACACUCUGCUAUUCAACCAACAUGAUCAACAUUACCAGGUCACCAUUCCUCCCGCCCGUCUCCUUCAUCAACAUGCUUGCUUGAUUCUGGCAUUGGUGGCCCGCAUAGCAGCAUCAUUUGCGACGCGUUCUCCUUCAGCAUCUCUGCGCCCUUCUUGGUUAUUUCAGCCAUCCCCGGCUUCUGCAGACCUGCCCAGUAUUGAAUAAAUCAUCUAGACAAAGGCUAGCAAUAUUACCUUUAUUUAAUUGAAUGCCUCUACCAGCCAUAUAGUAAUCUUUAACUUUCAAUAGCGCUUUCGAGCAUGGUGAAUCAUUAACUUUCUGUUUAACCAUAGUCACUGAUGAUUUUCUUAGAUAUUUGGCUCUUACAAUGUCUUGCCACAACACCUCUUUUUUCUCUAUCUUCCACCACCAUUUGGUAGCAGGCUAAUAUUCUGUUUUCUUAAGUCCUUCACUCCAAGCCCUCCUUUCACUUUAGAUCUGCACACCCGCCCCCAUUUCACCAUGUGAUAACUUCUUUUCUUACCAUUACGGUGCCAAAAGAAUUUCCUCCUAGGUUUGUCCCAUCUUUCCAGAGUUGAUUUACUUAUCAGAAACAUAGACAUGUAAUAUAAUGGAAUGUGUGAUAAUACAACAUUAACUUUGAUAAGUCUGGCACCACUAGAUAAGGUUUCACUAAUCCAGGAUUCCAUAUGGUUAAUAAAUUUGUCAUCCACAAACAGCCAGUCACUCCCCUUAAGGCCAACAUAGCUGACUCGGAUACCUAGAUACUUGAUAGGAAAACACCCAAUCUCAAAGUUUAACAUCUUAGCCUAGUUUCUCAUAGUUUCAUCAUUAGCCCCAACUGACAAAAUCUCACUUUUCAGAAAAUUAUUUUUCAAUCCCGACAUGACUUCAAAAAGAUAUAACAACAACUUGAUAUUAAGCGCAUCUAUUGGGUUAUCCUCAAAACAAAGGAUGGUAUCAUCCGCAUACUGUAAGAUAGCAACCCCAUGUGCUACCAAAUCAGCUCCAGCCCUGUAAAAAGCCCAUUCUCCUAAGCCUUAAGGACCAUUUUAGUCAGGCAAUCAGGUGCCAAGUUAAACAGGAAUGGAGAAAGGGGAUCACCCUGUCUCACCCCUUUGGCACUUUGGAAAUAUUCUCCUACUUCAUCAUUCAGUUUCACACUAACUGUACCCCCCACCAGAAUCUUCCUAAUCCAUUCAAUCCACUGAGGAUUAAAGUAUCUUUUCUUAUGACAUUCUAGCAAAAAAAUCCCAGUUUACUUUAUCAUAUGCUUUCUCAAAAGUCUAGCUUAAGCACAAUCCCAAAAAAAAUUUGAGCAUAUGAAUGAUGCAGAAUCUCAUGGAGUGACAUAAUCCCAUCCAUAAUAUCUCUACCUUCAAUAAAAGCAUUUUGGUGUCUACUAAACAAAGUAACAACAAAAGGUUCAAGUCUGAUAGUGAGUACUUUAGUAAUCAGCUUAUGUAUACAUCUAAGCAGACAUAUAGGUCUUAAUUGUUGGAUUUUAUCAGCCCCAACCACCUUGGGGAGUAAUGUGAUAAUACCAUAAUCGAGCCUAUCCAUAUCAAGUUUAUUCUCAUAGAACCAGUCAAAGAGCAACAUCACGUCAUUUUUCACCACACCCCAACAGUAUUGAAAAAUUCGAUUGGAAUAUUGUCAGGACCAGGAGCUUUGCUAUGCUUCAUAGAGAAUAAAGCAUUUUUAAUUUCAGUAUCCGAGAAAGGUCUCAAGAGAAUAAAGUUGUCUACCUCGGUCAAUCUUUCUUGUUCUUUCCACAUGUUACUACCUAUCCCACAUAAGUUUCCAGGGGCAGGUCCAAAGAGCUCUUUAUAGAAAUCAGUAGCAUUCUUAAGAAGGUCCUUGUUCCCUUCAAUAACCAUAUCACCACAACUAAGAGAAAAAAAGUAUUUCUCCUUCUCCUACCAUUCACAGUCCUGUGGAAAUACUCAGUAUUACUAUCACCCUUAAGCAACCAGUUGUCAUGAGACUUUUGUAGCCAUGAUACUUCCUCCUCAAUUAAUAGGUUAUUUAAUUCUACCGAAAGGUCAACUUUCUUGCAAUACAACCGAGAUGUUAAAGUAUCAGUUUCUUGCAGUCUUUCUAGAUGUCCGAGCUCCUCUCUCAACCACUUCCUUCUUUUUCUAGCCUUACCAAAAUCGUUCGAUCCCCAACCUUUAAAGAAGUUUUUAAAUCUUUUUAACUUGAUAUUCAUAAUGUCAAUAGGAUUCCUUGAACACACAUGACUCAACCAUAUCUUGGCCACCAGAGGUAAGAAGUCAGAAUUUUGCAACCAAUUUAAGUCGAAUUUGAAACCCCUAUUUUUUGAAAUAGUGGGAAUAUUAUCAUCGGUAUUUAAAAUCAAAGGGAAAUGAUCCGAGAUCUCUCUCACAAUCUGAAAAGGACGUGGAUGUCGCCUAGAGGGGGGGGGUGAAUAGGCGCUUUAAAAUAGUUAAGGUUUAGGCUUGAACAAAUGCGGAAUAGAACUAACGUUUAAUAUGUCAAGCACAAAACCUACAAACAACUAGGCUCACCUAUGUGCACCAACAACUUAUGCUAAGCAAGAUAAACAACUAAGUGAUAGCAAGAUAUAUUACCAUAAACAAUAUGUCUAUCACAAAGUAAAGUGCAUAAGUAAAGGGUUCGGGUAAGAGAUAACCGAGGCACGGGGAGACGAUGAUGUAUCCCGAAGUUCACACCCUUGCGGAUGCUAAUCUCCGUUAGAGCGGUGUGGAGGCACAAUGCUCCCCAAGAUGCCACUAAGGCCACCGUAAUCUCCUCACGCCCUCGCACAAUGCAAGAUGCCGUGAUUCCACUAAGGGACCCUUGAGGGCGGUCACCGAACCUGUACAAAUGGCAACCCUUGGGGGCGGUCACCGAACCCAUACAUGUGGCAACCCUUGGGGGCGGUUACCGGUACCCGUACAAAUUGCUCGGGGCAAUCUCCACAACCUAAUUGGAGACCCCGACGCUUCCCGGAGCUUCACACCACACUGAUUGAGCUCCGAGACACCACCAAGCUUCUAGGACGCCAAAGCAUCCACGAAGAACAAUAUCAAGGGUACUAAGUACCAAAGGUAGUAAGCUUCUCAACUUCUCACUUCCACGUAUCAUCGUGGAGAACUCAAACCGAUGCAACUAAUGCAAUGGCAAGAACACACGAAGUGGUCAAGUCCCUCACACUCAAAUCCCUCCACAACAACAAAAGCUAUGGAGAAAUAUGAGAGGAAGAACAAGGAGCUCACAAAGAACUCCAAGAUCAAGAUCC
rnacentral:lncRNA from 1 species